AGUCACUCAGUUGGGAUGGGUGGGAGUAGGAGGUUUGUGGGGUGGCUUGUGCGGAGGAGUUGGCAGCUUCUUUCCAGGACCUGGUUGCUUCUCUGCUGGAGUUGAAGGAGGCUUAAUCUUCCGAGGUGGCUUGUAUGAGUCUUCAGCAUUCUCAGCUGGAGGGUGACCAGGGUUGUGACCAUAAUGUGGUGGCUUCUCUCCCUUAGGUGGUUUGCCAACUGGGGUUGGUGGCUUGUAUGAGUCUUCAGCAUUCUCAGCAGGAGGGUGACCAGGGUUGUGACCAUAAUGUGGUGGCUUCUCUCCCUUAGGUGGUUUGCCAACUGGGGUUGGUGGCUUGUGUUCUGGGAGUGGCUUCUCCCCCUUGGGAGGUUUUUCCAAUGGGGUUGGUUUGUGUUCAGGAGGUGGCUUCUCCACUGGAGGCUUGUGUUCAGGAGGUGGCUUCUCCACCGGAGGCUUGUGUUCAGGUGGUGGCUUCUCCACCGGAGGCUUAUGCUCUGGUGGUGGCUUCUCGAAUGGGGGAUGCUUAGGAUAAUCAGCAAGUGAGGGGGCGGUGAGAACCACCAGGCCAAGCAACACCACUAGCAAAUAUGUAGGAGACAUCUUUGGGUUUGGGCUCAGAUGGUGCAAAACUAGGAGAAUUGGCUAGCCUUUUAUAGCGGAUCGUACCCAAUAAUGAAAUGACACGUGUCAUUAUGACCCAUGUGUAAUGGGGUCGAUUUGGGUCCUACAGUGUUGAAAACUUCGACAUCCACUUUUGGCCUUUUGCUUUCUCUACAGCCGCCUUGCUUUUUCCCUCUUUCCUUUUGUUUUCCUCCUGCCCCAUUCUAUCAACUAAACACAAUUAUGUAGUUGUUUAAUUCUUAAAUGAGAUAUUAUCCGUCAAUCGUAUUAUAUUUUAUCAAGAGAGAACGGAGUGCAAUGUGGCUGUAAUUUUAUCGUUUAGUUUUAUCUCUUGGACCACUGCAUUUUUGUUAAGAGGUGCAAUAAUACACGUCUUUAUCUGCCAUUCAAUAUUUACAGUAAAGAGAGGGCACAAAACUCUUCACUUCGCACCAUAAUUAUUUUGUUUUCUGGACACCCCGGGGCCCUUUGGUUGGUUUGGGGGUCAGAAAGUGAACAUCAUAGGGGGUUUUUCCCUUAUGUGCAUUUGUAUCUGAUGGCUUUAACUCGCCUUGUUACUACAAAGAAACUGUCACAGAUAGGAACUUAUUCCAGGCUGAGUAUCUCCUCAUAGACCCUAUAAAAGAAGACAAGUCAUAAUGAACAUCUAACCUUUGUUCAAUUUGAUUCAAUGCCCCCAUUGUGUCCAUCUCACAAAUCUGAAUUAUUAUAUCCAUUGAAUACAUAAAUUAAUGAAGAAAAUAUGAAACCCAAGAUACAUCUCUGCACAACCUCAACCCUGGUUGCUAUGUUUCCCUUCUAUUCACAUGAUUUGAUGCUAAUUGCCAAACUUGCAACAAGCCCUGAGUUUGACACCUAGUAUCGAUGGGCGAAUUUAAAGUCUCCUCCAAACAUAUAUUCCACAGCUUGAAGCUCACAGAAGAUGUUACAGGCAGGGAAAAACCUUCAGAGUUCGCUACCAAAGAUAAUUAUUAAGGAGAUAUCACAAAGAGAAUUCCAAGGGGUCUGAAUCAAAGACAAAUUGGUCGUUCGUGGGGGUUCUUACUUUCUUUUGGGUAUAACUCACUGAGGGCACUGUCUUUGUUAUUUGCAUUUCACAUUUAGAGUUCUGUUCUGGAAACAUAUAAAAGGAGCAUCAUUUUGUUCUUGGGUAACCCAUAGUCGUGAGUGGGUCCAUUUGCAUGCUACUUAGUUGAAAAGUUGGACCAUUUGCUCCGACGCCUACCUCCCGGAUUCCAUGCUCGGAUAAAACAAGAAUAAAAAAAAUAUUUAUAAUUUACAAAUGGGGGAAAGAAAAAAAUGUCAACAACAAACCAGGAAAAAAGAGUAGUAAAAUUCAUGUCACAUGCUAGUGAGAGAAGGGGUUGUUACACUCACUCGAAGUUCUUUCCAAAAUAUCGCAUGGUAUUUUAUUUUAUGUGUCAGCGCAGUUGUGAAUGGAACGUGCAAAAGUCCAAAUUGGCGUUUUUCCUUUUCCCGUGUAGGAUGGCGACCUUUAAUAAAUAUUUAAAACAAAAAACGAAAAAAAGGAGGGAAAAGGGAUCAGAAAAGAUAAAACAAUGUGUACAAGAGCUCAAUUAGUUUGCAAAUUACUGUUUGGAUUUUGAUAGUAUUUUAUUUGUCCAUCUAUAUUUGAUGGAAAAGAGAAUUUAAGAUAUUUCUGAAACAAAAGCAUUAGUGUAAAACUAAAUUAAGGUAUAAUUAAGUUAGUUCAAUGCAUUAAUUUAAGAAACUUGAUCUAUCCAAAGUACAAAAUUAGAUGAAAUCCAUUUCAAUGGUUAAAAUGAUCAAAAUCAAACUUUUUCUAAGUAUUUUUUAAAAGCAUCAAUAUUAAAAGACAAUUUUAUAUUUAGUCGGAGUUUGGACAAAACCAAAAAGCACACAAAAUCCAAGCGACCAUCUCUAGCUUGGAUAGUCACUUGAUCCCACCUAGAGAUGUGCAUGAGUAAAAGGAUUUGAAAAUGGAAAUUGACUAAAUAUUUAGUUGAUCAAUUAAAUUUGCAAUGUCAUAUGCAAUCCUAAUAGCUAGUCAUCUAAUCAAUUAGGUAGUCAAUCAAGUGUUUGUAAUGACUAUUUUGUACAAAAAACCACAUGUAUAGUUAAAUAUAAUGCAUUUCAUUUAUAAAUCUUCUAAUUCUUGAAUAACGAUCCUAUCAUCCUUUGAAAAUUUUUAUUACACCUUUUUUACUUUUGUUCUAAAACUUACAUAUCACCCUUAAUUGUACCAUGAGAACCUAGCUAUUUUUUUUUUUUUUGUAAUUCAUCAAAGUUAGCUUUUGUAUUCAUUGUUGUAUUAUUUUUAGUAUAACUUAGAAAGCUAGUGUUUUCAAGUGAGUAAAAUUAACUUGUAAAUAUUGUAAAGAUUCAUUGAUAUGUAUCUUAAACUAAGUGUACAAAUUAAAACAUUUGCUAGUAGAUUUUCUCAAAAUUUAGAAUAGAGCUUGAGGCUAUUGAAAUAGGUGGGGUUACACCAAACCACAUCACAUCGUUGUUUGCACCUUUUUUCACUCUCUUUUACUUAGUUUCUCUAUAUUUGUUGUCUAGUAAUAUCCUAUAGGCUUGAUGGGUUAGGGAGCAUCCCUUUGUGAAAAAAUUUCAUUCAAUUCUUAGUUGUAUUACGCAUAUAUAAAAUGCCUCAUUGUUUUAAUGGUAUUCAGUCGUGGCAUCACAGAUAUGGGCAUCUAAAUUUUAAAAGUUUGAAACUUUUGUAAAGCAUGUUGAUAAAAUCCAUGAGAGUUGUGUACUUGGGAAGCAACAUCGAGGUGACUUUAUUUUUUUUUCCUUUUAUAAUGCCACACCUAAGUCCGGUUUCUAAAUGCUAAAGUGAAAGGGUAGGUAUGGACCAUUGAAAUGUGAUCACAACUUUUGGCCUUUUCCUUUCUCUGCAGCCAUGUUGUCUCUUUUUUCUUUUGCAUGAUUUUCUUACCAAAACAGAAUCAUAGACUUGUUUAGUCUCUAAGCUACUAUAUUAUAUCUCGGUGGACUUUUAAGAGUGCAACCGACAUAGAGCACAUGCAAGUGGGCAUAUGGGACAUGAAAUUUCUUCUUACAAAGAUUGCAUGAUUUUUAUAUUAGAGUUGUUCACGUGCAAUGUAUUUAGCUUGUUUUGCAGUUAAAUUAAUUGGAUAAGUAAACAUUGGCAUUUCUAAAUCGACUGUGAAGUGCUUCAUGUACGUGUAAAGUAUUAGAAAUUUCUUUCUUGGCAACUUGUUUUUUCCUUGCCAUCUACUGGUAGGUUUGACUAAAAUUAUAUUCCCUGUCAUGCUAAUUAAUUUUCAUGUGCAUGCUCAAAAGAAGAGUAUGACCUUAGUGCACCAAAAUCACUUUGAUUAAUUUGUGAUAGGUUUUUUUGCAUCAUUUAGAUAAUGUUUAGUUCUAAGAAAAAUUUAUAUAAAAAUGGUUUAUUUAUCUUACAUAUAUAUAUAUAUAUAUAUAUUUUUUUUUUUUUCAUUUUUUUUUCUUCUAUUUUAUUUAUUUAUUUUAUUUUCCUUAUGUUUUCCUCACAUUUUCCGGAACUAAACAUAGUCUUACGAAAUCAACAAUUGCCUUCAACUGAGUAGAUUCUGUUGUUUUAGCAAUGUUAGGCUGCUAACUUGUGGUGGUACGAACCAAAUGACCCAUGUUAAUCUUGGCUUGGUUUGAUUUGGCUCUAUCUCAGAGAGCUAAAGGAUCACGUCAACUCUGGUUUCUACUAUUCAGGUCCAUUCCCAGAUGAACUGGUUCAAAUUUGAGAAAAUGGUAACAGACCUUUAGUGAUGUUGGUUUGGAGCCAGUUGCCAAACCCGCCCUGAGCUUUACCACUAAUGUCAAGGGAGAAAGCCAUUUGAACAAAAACAAUAGCUUCAAGAGACUGAAUCGUGGAUGAAAUCUGAUCCACAUUUCUUCUCAUUUUGGGAAAAAAUGAGAACUUAACUACAAAGAUUCUACUGCCUCAUUCAUAGUGCUUUUCCUGAUCCAAGGUUGGUUCGUUUCCCAAAUUGUGAGGUGCACGUGCCACUCUCACGCUCAGGAGUGUAUCCACGUGGUGGACAUCAGAUGGUGGCUUAAUAUCUGGUGUCGGUGGCUUUACUUUACUAGGAGAGUAGUGUGUCUUCAUCUCAUUCACUGCCGGAGGGUGGCGUAAGCAGUGACGCUAAGGUGGGGCACAGUCAAUAUCAUUUGCAUUUGACCAUUAUAGUUUUCUCCCGGCUUGAAAGUAACCUUAUCGUGAUAAAGGAUUACUAGCACUAGUUCAGAUGACCGUCAUGUUAAUUCGGACCAUGUUUGUGUCACAUUAUCAGCAACCAUGUGUUUAUGGUUCAUGCUAUCUGCAACUAAACUUGAUAUAUAACCAGGUGAACUUCAAUCAAAAUUCUGGAAGUACUCUUGUGAUAGAUGGUGCCUGUCUGCAGAGUCCAUCAAUUGAAAAAUGGAGUGAGUGUAUCUAUAAGAGGGAAGGCUUGGCAAAUGUUCAGUUUUCUGGGAAUUCAACAAGGAUCUAAAAUAGAUUGUUUUCUUUGCCGACUUCAAUGGUUGAAAUUUGAGAAGAUUGUGUCCACAUAUCACAACUAUUACUGGUCCUUCUGUUGCAAUUUAUCCUGUAAGGCUCUAACAUGUCUUCCAAUUCCCACUUCCCUGUUACUCCAGGAAAGCUAUUUCUGUCAUUGUGAAGAAGAAAAGAGAAUGUACAUAUCGAUGCUUUUAAGUGACUGGAGCAUUCAUAUCAGGUGGUCUGCAGCCAUAUAUGCCACUUUGUGAAGGUUGGAACAGUCAAUCACUAGGCUAUAUAUUGGUGUGGCCCAGCCACUUCAAUCAAGGACAAGUCUUCAUACUUAAAGUCAAAUUCUGCCUUUAGUCUCAUUAUAAAUUGCUGUUUAAAUAUUAAGCAAACUUUUGUUUAAUGCGAUUAAGACAGUACUAACUCAAUACUUGUUCUAUUUUUGGAUGCAAAUGCUUGAUGGUUUCAUCAUUGGAUGGGAUAAAGGUGCAUUCAUGAUUAUGAAUACUUGUAGUUAUAUUUUCAUUCUCUUUUUUCUCAAUGAGACUUGUUGGCACAAUGUUGCUGUUCAGAAACCUACCUCUCCAUGGAAAAUAAGUUGCGAUUGAUAGUACUGGAUAUGUUCAAGAAAGCUAAAUAUAGAUAGCACAAAAUAUUAUCGAUAUAAAUAGCAUUAACAGCGUACGUAUGUCUCAAUGCUCAUCAGCUAUAAGCAUGGGACAAACACUUACUAUGAGCAACUUACGUCAAAAUUCCAGAAUAGGACAUAGAAGUGACAGAUCUAUAUAUAUAGAACACUGCAUAUGAGUCACAAGAAAGGAAAUUACGGGUGCAUAGCAGCUCUUAUUUUACAUACUACUACUCAUACUGAUCAAAGUCACUCAGUUGGGAUGGGUGGGAGUAGGAGGUUUGUGGGGUGGCUUGUGCGGAGGAGUUGGCAGCUUCUUUCCAGGACCUGGUUGCUUCUCUGCUGGAGUUGAAGGAGGCUUAAUCUUCCGAGGUGGCUUGUAUGAGUCUUCAGCAUUCUCAGCUGGAGGGUGACCAGGGUUGUGACCAUAAUGUGGUGGCUUCUCUCCCUUAGGUGGUUUGCCAACUGGGGUUGGUGGCUUGUAUGAGUCUUCAGCAUUCUCAGCAGGAGGGUGACCAGGGUUGUGACCAUAAUGUGGUGGCUUCUCUCCCUUAGGUGGUUUGCCAACUGGGGUUGGUGGCUUGUGUUCUGGGAGUGGCUUCUCCCCCUUGGGAGGUUUUUCCAAUGGGGUUGGUUUGUGUUCAGGAGGUGGCUUCUCCACUGGAGGCUUGUGUUCAGGAGGUGGCUUCUCCACCGGUGGCUUGUGUUCAGGAGGUGGCUUCUCCACCGGAGGCUUAUGCUCUGGUGGUGGCUUCUCCACCGGAGGCUUAUGCUCUGGUGGUGGCUUCUUGAAUGGGGGAUGCUGAGGGUAAUCAGCAAGUGAGGGGGCGGUGAGAACCACCAGGCCAAGCAACACCACUAGCAAAUAUGUAGGAGACAUCUUUGGGUUUGGGCUCAGAUGGUGCAAAACUAGGAGAAUUGGCUAGCCUUUUAUAGCGGAUCGUACUCAAUAAUGAAAUGACACGUGUCAUUAUGACCCAUGUGUAAUGGGGUCGAUUUGGGUCCUACAGUGUUGAAAACUUCGACAUCCAGUUUUGGCCUUUUGCUUUCUCUACAGCCGCCUUGCUUUUUCCCUCUUUCCUUUUGUUUUCCUCCUGCCCCAUUCUAUCAACUAAACACAAUUAUGUAGUUGUUUAAUUCUUAAAUGAGAUAUUAUCGGUCAAUCGUAUUAUAUUUUAUCAAGAGAGAACGGAGUGCAAUGCAGCUGUAAUUUUAUCGUUUACUUUUAUCUCUUGGACCACUGCAUUUUUGUUAAGAGGUGCAAUAAUACACGUCUUUAUCUGCCAUUCAAUGUUUACAGUAAAGAGAGGGCACAAAACUCUUCACUGCUCUGCAUGUGUCCCAAAAAUGCGAUUGGACAAAUUAUGAUUUGCAUGCUAAAAAGAGGCAAAUGAGGUUAAUUCGCACCAUAAUUAUUUGGUUUUCUGGACACCAUAAAAAGAUGUUAUACAGGCAGGGAAAAACCUUCAGAGUUAGCUACCAAAGAUAAUUAUCAAGCAGAUAUCACCAAGAGAAUUCCAUAGAGUCUGAAUCAAAGACAGAUUGCUCGCUCGUGGGGGUUCUUACUUUCUUUUGGGUAUAACUCACUGAGGUCACUGUCUUUUUUAUUUGCAUUUCACAGUUAGAGUUCUGCUCUGGAAGGUUUGUUCUGGAAACAUAUAAAAGGAGCAUCAUUUUGUUCUUGGGUAACCCAUAGUCGUGAGUGGGUCCAUUUGCAUGCUACUUAGUUGAAAAGUUGGACAAUUUGCUCCGACGCCUACCUCCUGGAUUCCAUGCUCGGUAAAACAAGAAUAAAAAAAAAUAUAUAAUUUACAAAUGGGGGAAAGAAAAAAUGUCGGAAAAAAUAGUAAAAUUCAUGUCACAUGCUAGUGAGAGAAGGGGUUGUUACACUCACUCGAAGUUCUUUUCAAAAUAUCGAAUGGUAUUUUACUUUAUGUGUCAGCGCAGUUGUGAAUGGAACGUGCAAAAGUCCAAAUUGGCGUUUUUAUUUUUCCCAUGUAGGAUGGUGACCUUUAAUAAAUAUUUAAAACAAAAGACGAAAAAAAAAAGGAGGGAAAAGGGAUCACAAAAGAUAAAAUAAUGUUUACAAAAGCUCAAUUAGUUUGCAAAUUACUGUUUGGAUUUUGAUAGUAUUUUAUUUGUCGUUCUAUAUUUGAUGUAAAAGAGAAUUUAAGAUAUUUCCGAAGCAAAAGCAUUAGUUUGCUCUGUGAUGUCCCACAUCGAAUAGGGGAGAAAGUUUCUGGCGCUAUAUAUGUAGAGGCUCCUCUUAACCAAGUAGAUGCGUUUUAAAACCAUGAGGGCCCCCUUAGGUCCAAAGCGGACAAUAUCUACAUGAUUGGGUGUAAGUCAUUACAAAUGGUAUCAGAGCCGAUCCCCGACCCCGGUGUGGGGGUUUGUUUGGCCCUGUAAGGGGUGUUUGUCUGUUUGACCCCACAAUCCCAUGGGACACAACGAGGACGUUGUGUCUGCAUGGGGGGGCGUUUGUGAUGUCCCACAUCGGAUAGGGGAGAAAGUUCCUAGUGCUAUAUAUGUAGAUGUUUCUCUUAACCAAGUAGAUGCAUUUUAAAAUUGUGAGGGCCUCUUUGGGCCCAAAGCGGACAAUAUCUACAUGGUUGAGUGUAAGUCAUUACAUGCUCCAUGUCAAUUUCAGCAUUUCUCAUAUGUUUCACACAUACACAGAAGAGCAUCGUUUUUUAAAGCAUGCAUUUAUGUUGGAUUAAUUUGGAUUUUGUGGGAACUGGGGCAAGGAUCACAUGGAAGAGAGGUUGACUUUUUUCAGUACUUCAAUGGUUGAAAUAUGUGAAGGCUUGAUUGAUACUAAAGCUUGAAAUUGCGACUCUGUCAUUUGUAAAAAAAUAUGACAGCUUCCAUGCUCUCGUUUGGUUGCAUUGUCCGGUCGAGAGGUGCAAAAAGCAUUCUCUCUCUUCUAAUAGUCUUUUCGUUUAAAUCAAGGGAUUUGCCUUCCCGGUCGAGGUCCAAUAGAGGGUAACGGUCACCUACUAAACAUUAAAUGCUCCAACAACUAGUGAACUGAUCGACCCCAGCUCGACUAGUUGAGGUUACUUUUUGGUUUUCUUGUCUCCCGAGGUUAGAAACCUAUAAAUAGAGAGCUUCACUUCAUUUAUGAGUAAGAGAACACCUAAAUUUAUUUGUUUACCUACUUGUUUUUGCCAUAAAAGCUCUCAUUUCUUUUCUUGGUGUAUUAAAUCUCCAUUUGCAUAUCCUUUAGUGCACCUUUGUGAUUCAUUCUAGCCUUGAGUUGUAUUUAAGCCUUUGUUGAGCUAGGUUGAGAGUUUCAUACUUGUUUAUUGAGUGUUAAAGCCUUCAAGUGAGUUAAAACUUGAAGAGAUUGUGUAAGAGCCCAUUGGAGUCGGAAUCCAAGUGUAAAGGUGAUUAAAAGCUUGGUUGAAGCUUCAAGUUAGUGGAACUCUCACUCGGUUAUGAGCUUGAGAAGAGUGGACAUAGACAAGGCAGUGUCGAACCACUAUAAAAUCUGAGUUUGAUUUCUCUAACCUUAUCUCUUUAUAUUUGCUUCUCUUGUGCUUAAAUUUUUUGUGUUUAAAAAGAAUUUUUAAAAACUCAAUUCACCCCCUUCUUGGGAGUUUUUCUCUUUUAAGAUCAGCUUUUAUUUUCUCAAUUGGUAUCAGAACUAUGCCUCUUGUUUAAGACUUAAUCGUCUAAGAGGAAAUGGCUAAUCCAUCAAGUUCAUCUCACAUUGAAAGUUUUGCAACCAAUAGACUUCUUUUUUUUUUUUUGCGGGAACUGAUUAUCCCUAUUGGAAAACUAAAAUGACUUGGUUUUUACAAUCAAUUGAUUUAGAUGUAUGAGAUGCCAUUGAAGAUGACCUAACUUUUCCUUCAAAACUAGUUGAUGGAGUCAUGGUUCCAAAACCUAAGCAAGAAUGGGAUGAGCGUGAUUGAAGAAAUUUUCAAUUAAAUGCUAAAGUCGUUUAUACUUUGCAAUGCUCUAUGGACAGAAAUGAAUAUAAUAGAAUAUGUCAAUGCAAAUCGGUUAAAGAAAUUUGGAGAUUGCUUGAAAUAACUCAUAAAGGAACAAAUCAAGUUAAAGAGUCAAAAAUCAAUUUACUUGUUCAUAGAUAUGAAUUGUUUUUUAUGAAAGAUAAUGAAACUAUUGUUAAGAUGAUCACUAGGUUCACCAACAUUGUUAAUGGUCUUAAAGCCUUGGGAAAGACCUACAAGGAAUCCGAAAACGUGAUGAAGAUCUUGAGGUCACUUCCAUCAAAGUGGCAUACCAAGGUCACCGCAAUUUAAGAAGCAAAAGACUUGAUCAAGCUACCUUUGGAGGAGUUCAUAGGGUCAUUGAUGACAUAUGAAAUCAAUUUGGCAAAGAAGUAACAAAAAGGUGAAGACAAAAAGAAGAAGAACAUAACUCUCAAAGCUACAACUAAGGAAGAAGAAGUUGAAGAAGAAAAACAAAUUGAAGAAGAUGAAGAUUUAGCCCUCAUCACAAGAAAGUUCAACAAAUUCAUGAGGGGUGAAAGGUUUAGAAGAAGAAGGUUCACUUCUAGAAGAGACUUUUCUAAAAAGGAAUCUUCAUCUAAUGGUGACAAAAAGAGAUGGGAAGAGAAAAGAGACUUGGUGUGUUUCAAGUGCAAGAAACCGGGACACAUUAAAUAUGAUUGUCCUCUCUACAAAAGUGAAGUCAAGAGGAAAAAGAAUAAGGCAAUGAUGGCCACUUAGAGUGAAAGUGAAGAUGAAUCAUCCGAAGAAGAAAAUGAGAAAGAAGUGGCAAACAUGUGUUUCAUGGCAAUAGAUGAACUUGAUGAGGUAAAAUCUAACCUUAGUGAUUAAGAUAUACAUGAUGCAUUUGAAGAAUUGUAUGAGGAUUUUUAAAAACUUAGUUUGAAAAAUAUUUCUCUUAAAAAGAAAGUUCAACAACUUGACAAAGAACUUAGAGAAGUAAAAGAAAAAUUUUCAAAUGUUAAAGUUUCUAAAACUCAUCUUGAAAAAGAAAAUGAGAUUCUAAGAAAGAAAAAUGAAUAGUUGAACUCCUCUCUUUCAAUCUUUUCUUCUAGACAAAAAUCUUUUGAAAUGAUUCUAACUAGCUAAAAAUGUGUUUUUGACAAACAAGGGUUAAGAUUUAAAUCUUCAAAAAAUCAAAAGUAUUUUAAAAACUAUUUUGUAAAGGAAUCCACAAGUGCAAGUCCUUCCACUACUUGCAACUUUUGUGGAAGAGAAUGGCACAUUAGUAGUACGCCCUUUAAGAAAUGGUUCUCAAAAGAAUUUAAAUGCAAAAACUAAAAAAGAUUUGGAUUGAGAAAUCCAAGGUCACUAACCCUCAAGGACCCAAAAAGAUAUAGGUACCUAAAUCAACUUGAGUUUUAUGUUGUAAGGUUCAAAGAAUGAUAAGUGGUUCUUAGAUAAUGGUUGCUCAAGACACAUGACCGGAGAUGAAUCCAAGUUUGCUUUUCUUAAAAAGAAAAAUGGAGGAUAUGUUACCUUUGGAGACAAUGCAAAAGAAAGGAUGAUUGGUCAAGGCAACAUUGGUAAUGGCACAUCCUCUCUCAUUGAAAGUGUUUUAUUAGUAGAUGGUUUCAAACAUAACCUUUUAAGCAUUAGUCAAUUUUGCGACAAAGGUUUUUAAGUGAUUUUUUAAGCAUCUCAUUGCAUCAUCAAGGAUAUUCAAAAUGAUAAAACCAUUUUCAUGGGCCAUAGAUGUGAUAAUGUUUAUGCUAUAAAUAUUUCAAAAUAUGAUGGCCAUGAUAGAUGUUUUUCAAGCAUGCAUGAUCAAAGUUGGUUGUGCCAUAGGAGAUUGAGACAUGCUAACAUAGACCUCAUUUCCCAACUCAACAAAGAUGAACUUGUUAGAGGCCUUCCCAAAAUAAUUUUUUAAAAAGAUAAAGUUUGUGAAGCUUGUCAAGUGGGAAAGUAAAUCAAAAACUCUUUUAAAAACAAAAACUUCAUUUCCACAUCUAGGCCACUUGAGUUGUUGCAUAUGGAUUUAUUUGGUCCCUCUAGGACACCAAGUCUUAGAGGAAAUUCUUAUGCAUAUGCUAUUGUGGACGACUUCUCUAGAUACACAUGAGUCUUGUUUUUUAGUCAAAAGAAUAAAGUUUUUUAUGAGUUUUCAAAGUUUUGCAAUAAGAUUCAAAAUGAAAAAGGUUUUUCAAUUACUUAUAUAAGAAGUGAUCAUGGGAGAGAAUUCGAAAAUAUUGAUUUUGAAGAGUAUUGCAAUGAGCAUGGAAUUGACCACAAUUUUUUGGCUCUUAGAACUCCUCAACAAAAUGGGGUAGUUGAAAGGAAAAAUAGAACUCUUCAAAAAAUGACAAGAACCAUACUAAAUGAAAACAACUUACCAAAAUAUUUUUAGGCCAAAACGGUUAACACUUCUUGUUAUGUUUUAAAUAGAGUAUUAUUGAGGCUCAUACUUAAGAAAACUCCCUAUGAGCUUUGGAAAAACAAAAAACCCAACAUUAGUUAUUCCAAAGUCUUUGGAUGCAAUAUUUUAUAAUAAACACCAAAGACAAUCUUGGAAAAUUUGAUGCAAAAUUGGAUGUUGGAAUUUUCCUUGGUUACUCAACUUCAAGUAAAGCUUUUCGAGUUUUAACAAAAGAACCAUGGUUGUAGAGGAGUCCAUCCAUGUUAUUUUUUAUGAAUCUCCAAGAAAGAGAGAGGAUUGAUGAUGAUUUAGGUUUGAAGACCUCUAUAGGAAGAUUGCAAAUCGAAGAUAGAAGACAACAAGAAGAAAAUGGAGAGAAUCCAAAGAAAGAAGGAUCACCAUUGGCACUACCCCCUCAUCAACAAGCGCAAGGUGAAUCAAGUCAAGAGCUUCCUAAAGAAUGGAAGUUUGUCAUCAAUCACCCACAAGAUCAAAUUAUAGGCAAUCCAUCUAGUGGGGUAAGAACUAGAUCCUCUCUUAGAAAUAUUUGCAAUAAUCUAGCUUUUAUCUCUCAAAUUGAGCCUAAAAAUAUAAAUGAUGUUUUAGAUGAUGAAAAUUGGAUAAUUGCAAUGCAAGAAGAGUUAAAUCCAUUUGAAAGAAGUGGAGUAUGGGAAUUAGUACCAAGACCUUCAAAUCAAAGUGUUAUUGGAACUAGAUGGAUCUUUAGAAAUAAAAUGGAUGAAAAUAGCAUAAUUGUUAGAAAUAAAGCAAGAUUGGUAGCCCAAGGUUUUAAUCAAGAAGAAAUGAUAGAUUAUGAAGAAACCUUUGCCCCCGUAGCUAGGUUGGAAGCCAUUAGGAUGCUACUUGCCUUUGCAUGUUUUAAAGACUUUGUUUUAUAUCAAAUGGAUGUGAAAAGUGCUUUUUUAAAUGGUUUUAUAAAUGAAGAAGUAUAUGUUGAACAACCACCCGGUUUUCAAAGUUUCAACUUUCCUAACCAUGUUUUUAAACUUAAAAAGACACUUUAUGGUUUGAAACAAGCACCUAGAUCAUGGUAUGAAAAAUUGAGUAAAUUUCUUUUGAAAAAAAUGUUUUAAAAUGGGAAAAAUUGACACAACUCUUUUUAUAAAAACCAAAGAAAAUGAUAUGCUCUUAGUUCAAAUAUAUAUUGAUGAUAUCAUUUUUGGUGCUACUAAUGUCUCUCUUUAUGAAGAAUUUUCUAAGUGCAUGCAUAGUGAGUUUGAAAUGAGCAUGAUAGGAGAACUCAACUUCUUCCUUGGACUUCAAAUCAAGCAACUAAAGGAAUGAACCUUCAUCAAUCAAGCAAAGUAUAUAAGAGAUCUUCUCAAAAGGUUCAACAUGGAAGAAGCCAAAACAAUGAAGACUCUAAUGAGCUCAUCCAUUAAGCUUGAUAAGGAUGAGAAAGGUAAAUCCAUUGACUCUAUUAUGUAUAGAGGCAUGAUAGGUUCUUUGCUCUAUUUGACCACUAGUAGACCUUACAUUAUGUAUAGUGUGUGUUUGUGUACUAGAUUUCAAUCUUGUCUUAAAAAAUCUCACUUAAGUGUCGUGAAAAGAAUCCUCAAAUAUUUGAAAGGGACAAUGGACAUAGGCUUAUGGUAUCCUAAGAGUGAUAACUUUGAAUUAAUUGGUUUUUUGGAUGCUGAUUUUGUCAGUUGUAGGGUUGAAAAAUAAAACACUAGUGGCACUUUUCAUUUCUUAAGACACUUACUUGUCUCAUGGCAUAAUAAGAAGCAAAAUUUGGUAGCUUUGUCAACAGCAGAAGCUAAAUACAUAGCAACUGGUUUAUGUUGUGCACAAAUCCUUUGGAUGAAAUAAACACUUAGUGAUUUUGAUUUAUCUUUUGAGCAUAUUCCUAUUAAAUGUGAUAAUAGUAGUGCCAUAAGUAUAUCAAAAAAUCUCGUGCAACACUCUAGGACUAAGCAUAUAGAGAUUAGACAUAAUUUUCUUAGAUAUCAUACACAAAAGGAUGAUAUAACACUUGAAUUUGUAAGCAUAAAAGACCAACUUGCCGAUAUCUUUACAAAACCUCUAAGAACAUUUUGUUGAUAUUAGAGGACAAUUAGGAGUGAUUUCUUUAUGAUCUAAUGUGAUGAAUUCUUGAUGAAUAUACUUUUUGAUUGCAUGAAUUUCAUGUCAUAUAUGCAUCAUAUAGAAAUAUACUUAGAUAAUGGUCAAAUUUCGACCAAAAAUCAAAAUUCCCAUGGCAUUAGGCAUAAAAAUUUUGGAAUUUCAACUGAAAAUGGUAGGAGGAGGAUCACAAAAUGAGAAAGUAUGCAAAAAUUGAAAAAUCAAAACGUUGACCAAGCGGUCAAUCGGACUAGACCGAUCGACUAGUUUGUCGAGAUUUAGGAUUUUUAAGAGACUCCAACGCUUCAAUUUUUGCACCGUUCUCCUCUAUUUCUUCACGGUUUCUCUGAUUUUGUCUUUUAGAGACUAAUUUGAGUGCGUUUUGGAUCAAUUGAAGCAUUUUGGAUUGGAUUUUAGGAAGAUUGAAAGUUAAGGUUUCGGAUUUGGGUCGCCUUCUCUUCCUCUCGCGUGUCACAAUCAGCUUUAGCAUUGUUCUCUUUCCAUUUUCACACACCUAGGGUUUCAGUUGUGAGCAUCUCUCUCUCUUUACCAACCACUACUCCCUUGCUUCUUCCAUAUGGCUCCUAGGCGAGAGUCCGCUACUUCUAGGGCACAAGGCAAGCACCCAACUGAGUCGUCUCAGUCAAAGGCACGUCGAAAAGUGAGAUUUGACAUUGCCUUGUUCAGUUCCAUGGAGGACUACCAACUAUACAAGCAACACUUUGCUUAGAGACGAGUAGUUCCCAAGAGAAAUAUUAAUUUUCCUCAACUUCAGCAUUUCGAAUUUAAGGGUCUAUUUACUAGGAUGGUUGGUUGUCUAUUGUCACAAUUUCGGAGCCGGUUUUCCUGACCUUAGUGCGAGUUUUUUACUCGAGGGCGACUUAUGGCAUGGGUGGCAUGAUCAUUUCUACUGUUGGAGGAGUUGAGAUCUGUCUGGACCCAGAGAGCAUCUGCCAUAUUUUCGAUAUUGCUCUGGUUGGACUCAAAGUAUACAAGUCCAAAAUGUGGCCCAUUGUGCCAGGAUUUGAGCUUAGAGAGGUCAUUCAGAGGAUUUGUGAACUUCCAGACGCCCAGGAGAUGGGCAAACCAUUGCCACACAGUUUGACGGUCAUCAACAGGGUGCUACACCAUAUAUUGUGCUCUAUCUUUCUACCACGAAGUGGACAUUGAGAUGAGGUCUCUUAUUAUGAGGCAUUCCUUAUUGACUCCAUUCUAACGGAGAGACGAAUUCAUCUACUAUGUCAUCAUUCACUAAGCCUCCUCACAGUGACAUACCACCUCAUCAGGCACCUCUUGCUCCUGACCAUGCUCCAUUGAUGGAUUUAUUUACUCAUAUUAGCUCUCUAGGCACUCGCAUGAAGGAGUUUGUUGUAGUUAGUGAUACAUGGUUCUACUCCAUAGAGGAUCGCAUGGAUCAGUAUCAGACUGGCUUCACGUCACAGUUUGAGUAUCUCCAAUAGAGGAUUGAGCAUAUUGAGGAUCACUUGAGCAUGAGAAGAUGAUGGCUUUUCUAUGCUCUGUGUUUCCACCUCCACCUCGUCAACCUUGAUUUCUUAGAGACCCAUUGUUUUCAUUUUGUAAUGUUGCCAAAAGGGGGAGAUAUUUAGGAUCUAGGACUCUAUAGGAGACUUACAUGCAUAUCAUUUUCAUAUCAUUGUUUGGAUCGUACAUAUUGGAUAGUGAUACUUUUUACUUAUAUAUGAUAUGCCUAUAUGUUUCAUGUCUUACAUUGUUUCUUAUUGCAAAUUAUCUCUAACAUGUCUUGAUUAUCUUUUUUUUAACUUCAUAAAUUUUGAUUGUUAACCCAUGAUUGGUUUGAGGGGAAGAUUCUUCUUCUCCUAGAUAACCAAGGUUUGUCAUCAUAAAAAAAUUGGAGAUUGUUAGCCCAAGGGUUCUCCUAAUCAUGUUUUGAUGAUAACAAACCAUGCUUAAGUUACUAAUUGGUUUGAAUUAUAAAGAAUUUCAAGUGUUAAUUUGAAAAUUCAUCAAAGAACCUAAUGGAUGCAAGAUCAAGAUUUUUGGAAGACCUUUAAUCAUAAGAAACAUAUGUAAGAUGAAUGCAUGGGUGCACUUAAGAUUUGCAUAUCAUUUCAUGCAUAUUUGGAAAACACGGUUUAUGCUUUAAAGUUACAUUUCCAUCAAAAUUUGAGAUCCAUCAAAUGAACCUUAGGAAAAAUGUUUUAAAAUUGGCAUAUAAUUUUACCUAAAGACCUUGCCUAAGUGUUAGAAGCAAAAGGACAAAAAAAAUAUAGGUUUUCUGGUCAAAAAUGGUGAACCAGUCAAGGCAUUGUCUAAAUCAGCUCAAUCGGCCAAGGUACCGGUCGAUCGGUUUCCCUUUCCCUGUCGAGAUCUAGUCAAGAGGUACAAAAAUCACAAUCUCUGUCUCUUUCUCUCUUUGUCUAUCUUCCAGUAGUCUUUCCUUCCCGGUCGAGGGAUUUGCCUUCCCGAUUGAGGUCCGAUUGAGAGUAAUAGUCACUUGCCAAAUAUUAAAUGCUCCAACAGUUAGUGAACUGGUCGACCCCCACCUUGCCCAGUUGAGGUUACUUUUUGGUUUUCUUGGCUCCCGAUGUUAGAAACCUAUAAAUAGAGAGUUCCACUUCAUUUAUGAGCAAGAGAACACUUGCAUUUAUUUGUUUACCUACUUGUUCUUGCCUUAAAAGCUCUCAUUUCUUUUCUUGGUGCAUUAAAUCUCCAUUUUGAUAUCCUUUAGUGCACCUUUGUGAUUCAUCUUAGCCUUGAGUUGUAUUUGAGCCCUUUUUUUAGCUAGGUUGAGAGUUUCAUACUUGUUAAUUGAGUGUUAAAGCCUUCAAGUGAGUUGAAACUUGUAGAGAUUAUGUGAGAGUCGAUUGGAGCCGAAAUCCAAGUGUAAAGGUGAUUAGAAGCUUGGUUGAAGCUUCAAGUUAGUGGAAUCCUCACUCAAUUAGGAGCUUGAGGAGAGUGGACGUAGCCAAGGAAGUGUCGAACCACUAUAAAAUUUGAGUUUGAUUUCUCUAACAUUGUCUCUUUAUAUUUGUUUAUCUUGUGCUUAAAUUUAUUGUGUUUAAAAAGAAUUUUUAAAUACCCAAUUCACCCCCCUCUUGGGUGUUUUUCUCUUUUAAAAUUAGCCUUUAUUUUCUCACAAACUAUUGUAGUAUAGUGGUUUUUAGGUGUCAUCCAUUAGGAUGAAUUGUUCUCGGUAAUUAAGGCGUGAAUGAGAGGAGAAUUAAUGAUUGUGAUUAAGUAAAAUUGAUUUGAAAAUUCAUGGUGAAAAAUCAAUUUAACAAUGGUUUCUAAUUGAGAAAAACAAUGAAAUGUGAAAUAAAAUAAAAUUAAUAGGAAAUGAAAUUCUCGAAGUUAGAAUUUUCUAAAAAACAAAUUCCAUGGUGAAUGGAUGUUGAGAUCUAAUUUUCAUCAAGUUAGAUUGAAAACCGAAAUUUUCAUAUAAACUGAUUUUUUAUUUAGUUUUAGGUCUAGAUUUAAUUUCCCUUAAAAUUAGGUUAUUUAAUCCAAGAAAUCAAUUCAAAUCAUAUAUUCAAUUCAUCUUAAAUUAUCUUCCAAUUAUUCACACAAUGCAACUAUUCAAUCUCAUCAAAUCUAGCUUUUAAGAAUUUAAUGAAUCUACCUAGUUUGCAUUGUAAUAGUCAUCCAUGACAAUUUGAAGAGAAAAAUAAUUCAAUUAAUCAAUCACUUGGAUCAAAUUACCUUUGCAAUUAAAGUUCAUUUCUCUAAUUCACCACAGAUUUUGUCUCUAGAUCCUCCUUUCUCAAAGAAAAAUGAGAUUUAGCCACACAUGAUUGGAGAUUUGGUCUCAUAAGGCAUGUUUAGCUAGUGAUAAAAUGAGAGAAAAUAAAGAAAAAUAGAGAAUUCGAUUAAGAAAGAAAAUCUAAAAAAUUCUACAAUUAGAAAUGUCCAAAAAGCUUUUUCAUGAGAAAAUCAAGUUUCUAUUUAUAGGCCAAGGUCAAGUGGACACUUGACAUCAUCUAAGAGGUCUUCCGGAAGCUUCUUCAUCAAGAAAUCUGGAGUUUAAUAAUAAAAUGGUCAUUUCACAAGAGCUCAAACAAUUUCGCAUGAUUAUGUGAAAUAAAAAAUGCAACAACAGCAAUUUACAUCUUCUUGGAGCAUUUCGCAUGACUGUGUGAAAUUUUCACAUGAUCAUGUGGAAUCGACUUGACAACUCUCAUUUAGCCUACAACAUAAUUCCACCUUUUGGUCCAUUUUUCAUAGUCAUGCGAAAUGGAAAUAUUUGAUUUUUAAGUUUUCUUUUGUCAUUUCUUUCAUUUCCUUCUCUUGAUUCCACUUCAACUACCUCCGAAUCCUGGUCCAAACCAAUUGCAUUACUUCUUUCAUUAUGCAUUUGGAUCAUCAUCAACAUUAUUUGUUCUCUUCAAUUUGAUUCAUCUCUUUUGUCACCAAUUUAUCAAAAUCAUACCUUGAAAUGACUCCAAAACUUCAUAAAACUUGUUAGUAACUCUUGCAAGGGCAACAACAUAUUAAUUAAGUGUUUUAGGCAUAGUUACUACUCAAAAGAUGCGAAACUCAUGAUAAUUAUUAUAUAAAAUAUGCUCUUUUUGAGUAGUAAUCAACUUUCUUGCAUAAGCAGACCUUUUAGGGUGGAGUACUAAAGACCAAUAUGCUUGUCCUUGUUGUAAUAAAGAAACUUGCUCUUAUUGAUUGCACCAUGGGAGAAAAUUUUGCUACAUGAGUUAUCAUCAAUUUCUUCCCACCAAUCAUAGAUUUAGACGUGACAAGAGGCCUCUUAAUGGCAAGGAGGAACUGACACUCACACUUAUACAAUUAUCGGGCAUUGAUGUGUUGCAACAAUUAGAAUAACUUACACCAAUUAUGUUGGGGAAGUCACAAAAGGCAAACAUGAAAACUAAAAGGAAAAAAGAAAAAUGUUACAUAUCACCACAACUGGAAAGAAAAAAGUAUUUACUUUCAUUUGCCAUAUUGGAAAGCACUUAUUUUACAUCAUAAUAAUUUAGACAUAAUGCAUAUUGAGAAAAAUGUGUGACAAUAUAAUUGAGACAUUGUUCAGUAUUGACGAAGAAACAAGGACAACCUAAAUAGUCAUCUCGAUUUACAAGCUCUAACUAUUAGAAAUGAGAUUCACCCAAUAGAAAGCAGGACCAAAUUUAUUUUGCUUGCAACAUGCUACUCACUCACCCCAAAUGAGAUUAAGGAAUUUUGCAAGUUUUUGAAAUCAAUAAAGGUCCCCAAUGGCUAUUCUUUCAAUAUCUCUCGUUAUGUGCAACUCAAUGAAAGGAAGAUAUAUGAGCUCAAAUUGUAUGAUUGUCAUGUCCUAAUGCAACAACUUCUCUCACUUGUAGUUCGUGGAGUUCUACAUAAGAAUGUUUGUGGAGUUAUCAUAGAAUUGCGUAAUUUUUUCAAGCAAUUGUGCUCAAAGGUGUUAGAAACAAAUCACUUACACCAACUUGAGAACAAUAUUAUUGUCAUACUAUGUAAAAUGGAGCAAAUAUUUCUUCCAUCAUUCUUUGAUAUUAUGGUGCAUUUACUUGUGCAUCUAGUAAGGCAAAGGUUGCAAGACUUGUGCAAUAUUGUUGGAUGUACCUAAUUGAACGAUAUUGUUAUAAUUUCAUAUGAAUCAUUUAAUUUUAUUUUAUAUUAUGUUCAGUUCAUUAACAUGUACAUUGGUCUACAUAUGGAUGAUGAUAGGUACCUAAGCACUUUAAAGUCAUAUGUGCGUAAUAGAACUUUUCUAGAAGGUUCUAUUGUAGAAAGGUACCUUGCAAAAGAAUGUACAACAUUUUAUUCUAGGUACUUGAAUGAUGUGGAAAUAAAGUAUAAUCACAAUGAUAGAAACUUUGUUGGUUUCAACACUAGAGGAGAUGAAAGGGGUUAUCUUUAAACAUAUUGGACAUGCAUUGGGAAAGCCCAUAUUUCAUUAACUUAGUUCAAAAGAGUGGUCACAAGCACAUUUAUAUGUGUUGACAAAUUGCGAAGAUGUCAUACCAUUCAUUGAGUAAAAAAUUUAUUUGAAUUUUAAUUAAAGCUCUAGUUUAUAUCCUUAAUCAAUGUUUUUUAAAUUCACAAGGAGCACAAGCAAACCAUCAAGGCUAGACCACAUAUACGUGUUUGAGACGUAGAUUUAAUUCAUAACAAGGAAUUUAUCAAGUGGUUUGAAAGACAUGUAAGUAUAUUCCUUAUUAUAAGGGAUUUAUUUCACAUUAUGUUUAUAUUGAAUCCAAACCUAUUAUUGAAUUGUAGGUUGAACAAUUACAUAAUGAAGGUCAUAUAUCUGAACACCUUCUCACAUUAUCAUGUGUUCCAAAUUCAUUAGUUACAUGCUUCAAAUGAUAUAUUGUCAAUGGAUUUAGAUCCCACAUUAAAGAACGUGAUAAAAAAGUUUUUAAAAAAAGACUCAGAAUAAUGGAAUUGUUGUAGUUGCAAAAACGUCAAGCUUUACAAGUGCAUGUGAUAUGAGUCCAAUUAUUAGUGAUGCUCUCUACUAUGGUGUUCUAACUAAAGUUGUUGAGUUACAUUAUCUUGGUGAAAAUAAGGUUGUUUUAUUCGAGUUUGAUUGGUGGGAUGUUACAAAUAUUGGAAAAUUGAUAAAAGAUGAUGAGUACAAUUACACAUUUGUUAACUUUGCAUGAAUUCUAACCACGAACGAACGAUUUGUACUUGCAUCUCCAGCAAAGUAAGUGUUCUAUGUGAAGAAUGCGAAUGAAUCAGAUUGGCAUACUAUCAUGGAGAUGCAACCUCAAGACCUCUAUAAGAUGAACGGGAUAGGAUCCAAUGGUGAUUUUGAACCAUUUCAACAAAGUGAACUACAUGAUCACUAAUAUAUCUCAGAUUUAGUUGAUGAAGAUAUAAUCAAGUGGAACAAAAGUGAUGUUUUAGGACUAAUCAUCCUAAAAAAUAUUGUAGUUUCUUAAAAAAAAAAUGAAAAUGAAGAAGAUAAUUGAACCUUUGUCAUACUUUAAAAAGCAACUAUGCAUUGUUCAUUUUGUAUGUUUUGGUUUUCUUCAUUUAAUUUCCUGAUUUUUGUGAUUCAAUGUCAUAUUAUUGAUCUUGAAAUAUUUUUCUAAUUUUUCAUUCUACGAUGGUUUCAACAAGGAUGACAUCAAGUCAAAAAAGGAAAUGUGGUCCCACACACAAUAUUGCAUUACAGGGAUUAAGGUCAGGGAAGAAGGUAAAAGUUGCAUUUAAUGAGUACAAUCAAUUGGUUAAACAGAAAAAUGGAAAACACUUAUCGAGCUACAUAGGGACACUUGUAUCUAACCAACACAAUGUACCUCUCCAAGCUAGUGAUUGGAAAAAUGUUCCAAAUGAUGCAAAAGAGAAAGUAUGGCCUUUGUUUUGGUAUGUUGUAUUUCUCACUAUAUGAUGUCAUUUCACUGUUAUUCUAUUUUGUGACUAACGUUUGAAUCAUAUGUAAGAAAAAUUUGAAGUAGAUAAAGACUGAAAAGAUUACAUGUUGGGUAUAGCCUCAAAUAAAUAUAGAAGCUAUAAAAAUAUGAUGAAUGCAAAAUACUAUGACCCUUGGCAUAAGGAUGCAUGAGGAGAGGUUAAUACAUAAAUCACCAUUUGUCUCUGAUGUUGAUUGGAAGUGGCUUGUCUCUGAUGCAUAAACCAAAUCCCCCACUGAAUGUUUGAUAUUUGAUAGCAGGAAAAACACACCCGCAGCUAUACACCUCCAUCAUUCAGAUAAUUAUAGUGGGGGAGAUGAUUCAUGGUUGCCCUUAUACCCUUUAUUUGCACCAUCUAUUGAGAUUCUUUAUCAUGGCCAGGUUUUACUGCAGCAAUAAGAUAUGGUGGCAACAAUUUUAUCUAUAGGUGCGGUUCCAGACCGCCUCCAUAGGUGCGGUUCCUGACUGCCUCCAUAGGUGCCUCUUCUUGUAAUGUUUGUUCUGGGAAUUACACUUGAAAGCCUUAUCGUGAUAAGGGAUUACAAACACUAGUUCAGAGGACAGCCAUGUUAAACUUCCACUAUGUUUGUGUCACAUUAUCAGCAGCCUAGUGUUUAUUGGUCAUGCUAUCUGCAACUAAUAUAACCCGGUGAACUUCAAUCUAAAUUCUGAAAGUACUCAUGUGACAGAUGGUGCCUUUCAGCAGAUAUCAUCAAUUUAAAAGUAGUGUGUGUGCCUAUAGGUGGGAAGGCCUUGGCAAAUGUUCAGUAUUCCGGUAAUUCAAGAAGGAUAUAUCUAAAAUAGAUUUUCUUCUUGCCCAUUUCAAUAGUUAAAAUUUGAGAAGAUUGUGUCCACAUCACACAAAUAUUAUUGGUCCUUCUGUUGCAAUUUACCUCUGAACAUGUCUUCCAAUUCCCACGGUCCUGUUACUCCAGGAAAACUAUUUCGGUCAUAUUGAAAAAAAAAAUAUUAAAGAAGGUACACAUGCUUUUAAGUGGACUGGGGCAUUCAUAUCAGGUGGUCUGUAUCCACAUAUGCCACUUCGUGAAAGGUGGAACAGCCUAAUCACUAGGCUAUUUAGUGUGGCCCAGCCACGUUAAUCAAGCACAAGUCUUCAUACUUAAAGUCAAAUGGUGUCUUUAGUCUCAUUACACAUCGCUAUUUGAAGAUUAACUCAUCACUAGUGUAAUGCGAUUAAGACAGUCCUAACUCAAUAUUUGUUCUAGUUUUGGAUGCAAAUGCUUGCUGGUUUCAUCAUUGGAUGGGAUAAAGGUGCAAUCAGGACUAUGAAUACGUGCAGUAAUACUUCAUUCUCUUUUUUCUCAAUGAGACUUCUUGGCACAAUUUUGCUGCUCAGCAACCUACCUUUCCAUGGAAAAUCAGUUGUGACUGAUAGUAAUGGAUAUAUUCUAGAAAGCUAAACAUAGAUAGCAUUCAAUAUUAUCGAUAUAACAUUAACAGCGUAUGUCUCAAUGCUCAUCAGCUACAAGCAAUGGACAAACACUUUGAGUAACUCACAGCAGUCAAAAUUCCUAAACAGGACAGACGUGACAGAUCUAUAUAUAGAACACUGCAUAUGAGUCACAGGAAAAGAUAAUACGGGUACAUAGAAGCUCUUAUUUUACAUAUUACUCAUACUGAUCAAAGUCGCUCAGUUGGGAUGGAUGGGAGAAGGAGGUUUGAGGGGUGGCUUGUGCGGGGAAGUUGGCAGCUUCUUUCCGGGAGCUGGUUGCUUCUUUGCUGGAGUUGAAGGAGGCUUAAUCUUCCGAGGUGGCUUGUAUGAGUCUUCAGCAUUCUCAGCAGGAGGGUGACCAGGGUUGUGACCAUAAUGUGGUGGCUUCUCUCCCUUAGGUGGUUUGCCAACUGGGGUUGGUGGCUUGUUUUCUGGGAGUGGCUUCUCUCCCUUGGGUGGUUUGCCAACUGGGGUUGGUGGCUUGUGUUCUGGGAGUGGCUUCUCCCCCUUGGGAGGUUUUUCGAAUGGGGUGGGUUUGUGUCCUGGUGGUGGCUUCUCUCCCUUGGGAGGUUUACCAAUUGGGGUCGGUGGCUUGUGUUCUGGGAGGGGCUUCUCUCCCUGGGGAGGUUUAGUGGGUGGCUUGUGUUCUGGAGGUGGCUUCUCCACCGGAGGCUUAUGCUCUGGUGGUGGCUUCUCGAAGGGGGGAUGCUCAGGGUAAUCACCAAGUGAGGGGGUGGUGAGAACCACCAUGCCAAGCAACAACACUAGCAAGUAUGUAGUAGACAUCUUUGGGUUUGGACUCAGACAGUGCAAAACUACGAGAAAUCGCUAGCCCUUUAUAGCGGCUCGGACCUAAUACUGACAUAAUAUAAAAUAAAUAUUAUAUUUUAUCAAGAGAGAACAGAGUGUAAUUUUAUCAUUAAUACCGAUCGAGGCCAAAGAAAGAAGACCCAUAAUCCAUUUCCCACAAGCAUACACAAUGCAGCUGUAAUUUUAUCAUUUACUUUUAUCCCUUGGACCACUGCAUUUUUGUUGAGAGACACAAUAACACAUUUUUAUCUGUCAUUCAACAUUUACAGUAAAGAGAGGGCACAAAACGCAAUUAGAUAAAUUAUGUUUUGCCUGCUAAAAAGAGGCAAAUAACUUUAUUUGCAACAUAAUUAUUUUGGUUUCUAGUGACCCCGGGGCCUUUCGGUUGGUUUGGGAUCGGAAAAUGAACAUCAUAGGGGGGGUUGUGCCCUUAUGGGCAUAUAUAUCUGAUAGCUUCAACUGGCCUUGUUCCUAGAAAGAAAUUGCCAAAGAUAUAAACUUAUUCCAGGCUGAAAGUAGAUGAGAGUCAUAAUGAACAUCAACCUUUGUUCAGUUUGAUUCAAUGCCCCCAUAGUGUUCAUUUCACAGAUCUGAAUGAUUAUAUCCGUUGAAUACAUAAAUUAAUGAAGACAAAUAUGAAACCCAAGAUACAUCUCUGCAUAACAACCCCAACCCUGGUUGCUAUGUUUCCCUUCUUCUAUUCACAUGAGGAUACUGGUUAUAAUUGUCAAACUUGCAACAAGCCCUUUGACACCUAACGUCAAUGGACGAAUUAAAAGUCUCCUUCAAACGUCUAUUUCACAGCAUGAAGCUUAUAAAGGAUGCUGACAACCUUCAGAGUUAGCGACAAAAGAUAAUUAUCAAGGAGAGAUAGUUCCAUGAGAAUUCCAAGGAGUCUGAAUCAAAGACAAAUUGCUCACUCAAGGGUUCUUAUUUUCUUUUAGGUACAAAUCUCUUGAGUGUUGUUAAAGAAACACGUCACUGUCAUUUUGAUUUGCAUUUAACAUUUCACUUUUGUUCUGGAAGGUUUGUUCCGGAAACAUAUCAAAUGAGCAUCAUUUUCUUCUUCGGUGACACAUGGUCGCGAGUACGUGGGUCCAUUUUCAUGCCACUUAGUUGAAAAGUUGGAAAGAAAAAACAUGCCAACAAGAAGAUAGUGAGAGAAGGGGCACUUCAAGCCUUUAACAUGAACAAACAGUAAAUAAAAGAUGUUUCUCCACUCAUAAAAGUGUGUUAGAUAGCAAUAUAACGAAUCACAUCCAAAAUCUUUACUAGGCUCAAACAUAAAGAAGACUCAUUUUUAAGAAAAGAUAAAAAUGGCAUUGUCUGAUAGUAUCCAAUACACGAGAUGGCACUUAAUUUGUACAAGAUCUGUCAAUGCUGACGCACAUUUUCUGAUUAAAAAAAAACUGAUCAGUCAAAAGCAAUGAAGAGAAGUGAUGACAAUGAAUGAUGCUUCCAAUAUUUUCACCCCUUAUAGUGUUCUUCAUGAUUCAGAUAUAUAAUUGGAAAUAGAACAACCCUAUGCCAUACAUUCGUCUAAGUAUGGUGUCUAAUUUUUUGUGUCAGCGGUUGCGAAUGGAGCGUGCAAAAGUCCAAAUUGGCGUCUCUCCAUUUCCACAUAGGAAGGUGACCUUUAUUGACAAAUACCCAAUAUUUGUAGACAUUCCUUAAAUAUCAUAACUUCUUGUUGAUUUGAAAAUCAUUUUUCAACUACCAUGUUUUAAUAAAUAUUUUUUAAAAUGUAUUUUUAUCAAAGUCCACCAUGAUGGAUAAUAUUCACCAUGCAAUAAUUAAUAAAGUACAAACUAAGCGAAAUGAAAAGCAUUUUCUUUGCUUUGAGUUGAUUUUGGUUGCAUUGAGUUGAUUUUGGUUUCAUGGUUUUUUCAACUCUUAUUUUGAUUGGAAGAUGUCAAGAAAAGAAAACAUAAAGAAAAAUUAAAAGGGAAAAAAGAAGAAAAAUAAAAAAAAAUAGAUUUAAAAGUUAAUAAAUUAUUUUUUAUAUUUAUUUUAAUUCAUUUCACUUAUUUUUCUUUUACUAUAUAAAAUUUAAAUAAUUUAAAUUUUAUAAUUAAUUUAAUUACAUUUCAUUUUCUUCUAUAUUUAAAUAUUGGAAAAAUAUUUUACUUAAUAUUUUUUUCUUUAAUUUCUUUGGCAUUUUGGGAACCAAACUUAGCCUUUAAAAUAAAAAACAAAAAAAAAAUGAAAAUAAGGAGGGAAAAGUGAGAAAAGAUAAAAACAAUAUGUAAAGGAUUUGAAAAGUAUUAGUUUGUAAUUACUAUUUGGAUUUCAAUAGUAUUUUAUUUGUCUUUCUAUAUUUCAUGUAAGAGAGAAUUUAAGAUAUUCCCCAAGGCAAAGCAUUAGUUACCUGCAAUCAGUGGUGAUAAGGCUCCAAGCCAAUUUUGGGCCCCAUAUCUUAAGACAGUACAAUUUCCAUUUCAACAUUUCUGAUUUCUCAGAUGUUUCACAUACCACAGAAGAACAUUGUUUGUGAAAAUAUGCAUUUAUGUUGGAUUUUGUAUGCUGUGGGGACUGGGGCAAGGAUCAUAUGGAAGAGUGGUUGACUUUUUCUGUACUUUAACGGUUGAAAUAGGAUAAGCACGGGCAUUUGUGAGGCUUAAUUGAUUUUGAAGCCUGAAAUUGCGUUUCUGUCAUUUUGUCAAAAAAAUGGCAGAUUCCAUACUCAUAUGUUUGGCCUGUGGCCAUGUACAGAUGCCAUUUAGUGACCAGUUUGUAACUGUCAAUCGUUGCGUUUUGACUCUGCCUCAACAACAUCUGCCAUUGACGGGUUUUCAUACUUGCAAAUCAAAUAGUCUUUCGUCCCAUCAGGAAUUUCGGUUUAAAUAUUAUUAAGCAUACGUUUGGCUGACAAUCAUUAUCCAGUUCAUGAUUUGGUUUCUUACCCUUAAUCAAUGGUUUCUAAGUGAAUAUAUGUAGAAGGAAAUCCGAAGUGUAGACAGUAGUAUCGAUAACUCUCAAUAUUCUCUAUAUAAUAGAAUAAACAGCGUCAUAGUGAUCGUCGCCUACAAGCAAGGUACAAAUACCAAAACGAGUGACUCACAUAGACAUCUCCCAACAAGAUGUAGUAGUGACUGACACAUGGACACAAUUAACUCGUAGAAAAGGAUAAGACCAUUGCACAGCAGCUCUUAUUUUACAUACUACUUAUGCUAACCAAAGUCAAUUAGUUGGGAUGGGUGGGAGAUGGAGGUUUGUGCGGUGGCUUGUGGGGCGGAGUUGAUGGCUUCUUUCCAGGAGCUUCUGGCUUUUUCAUCGGAGCUGAAGGAGGCUCAAUCUUAUGAGGCGGCUUGUAUGAGUCUUCUUUACUCUCGACAGGAGGGUGGCCAGGGUUGUGAUCAUAAUGUGGUGGCUUCUCUCCCUUAGGUGGCUUGCCAACUGGGGUUGGUGGCUUGUGUUCAGGAAGUGGUUUCUCUCCCAUGGGAGGUUUAGCAAUUGGGGUUGGUGGCUUGUGUUCUGGGAGUGGCUUCUCUCCCUUGGGAGGUUUAGUAGGUGACUUGUGUUCUGGAGGUGGCUUCUCCACCGGAGGCUUGUGCUCCGGUGGUGGCUUCUUGGUUGGAGGGGGCUUGGGGUAAUCAGCAAGAGAUGGGGUGGUGAGAACCACCAGUCCAAGGAACAACACUAGCAAGUAUGUGGGAGACAUUUUUGAGUUUGGGCUGAUCAGAUGAUGCAAAACUAAAGCAUUACGUGACCUUUUAUAGCAUGUAGCUCCCAAUACCCACUAAGUAUUGUGGGGUCCAUUUGUGCCCUACGGGGUUGAAAACUUAGACAAUUGGGCAAGGACCCACCUGACUAUGGAGGACUAGUGAGGUGUGAUCAUAGCUUUAGGAUUUUUCUUCCUCUGCAGCCGUCGUGCCGUUGGCAUGAUUUUCUUAAUCUUAAAUAAAGGCAUAGUUAUAGAGUUGUUUAAUCUCUAAAUGGGAUUUUAUAUAUAUCUUCAGAUAGCCAUUAAUAUAUUUGAUGAAGAAAGAAAGACAAGUGCAUACAACAUGUAUACGACUAGCUUUCAUGGAGUUCAUUUAUGAUCAGUUUUCCUGUACAUGUAAACCAGGAUCAUAUAUAUGUUUCUGUUCCACAACUAUUUUGGAAUCUUGUUUAUCAGUUUUUAUCAUUAUAAUGUCACAUAGGCUGCCAACUUGGGCGCUAAAAGAACCAGUUGGGCUAGUUCGUUUCAGAAUUUCAAUGUGGAUUCAGGAAUUGUUUUGUAAGAUAUGCGAAAUAGUAGAGGGAUGAAUAGUGUUUCAUUAAUAAAAGUGUCCUGUAAAUUAGAAGGUGUCAUAGAAACUAUAAUCAAUAAAUAACUUUUUUUCCCCACGGGUGGUGUUUCUUGUGGGGAUCAGUGACUGGUUUAGGUUCACCCAAAAUGAGUUCAGACUAAAAUUGGUUUGAGUCAAUGCCGUGUCUCUUUUUUCCAGAAAUCAACUAUUUUAUGCAUUGAAUAAAUCAUACAAAGAAAAUAUGAACGCCCGCAAAACCUAAACCCUGGUUGCUAACUUUCUAUGUUUCAGUUCUAUUCACGCAAGAAUAUUAGUUUAAGUUUGGGAAAAAUGGCAACUUACCUAGUGAUUACUUGGUUUUGGUUUGCGACUAUUUACGCAACCAACCAUGAGUUUGACUUUAACGUCAUGGGUUGAAGCCUCCUACAGGAAGGGAGAAAGCUCCACAGCUAGCUCCAAAAGAGAAUUAUCACAUUGAUAGCUCCAGAGAUUCCCAAGGGGACUGAAUCAAAGACAAGUUCCUCACUUUUUCUUCUUUUGAGGCCAAAUAUGAACCAAGGAUCACACAACCUCAUUCAACUUCAUAAGUUUGAUUUCAUGCAGUUGAACACUGGGUGAAGGCCAUGACAAGAAUUGAUUCAAAAAUUCUAUCACUCUUUUAAGUAAUGGAAGAUUAUUAUCUCUGAUUGGCAUCACAACAGCACAUGCUCCUAGAUCUUUCUAGACACUCCAUGCAAUGAAAGCACAAUGGAUCUUGUAACGAUAGAAACUAAGCCAUGCUACAGUACUAGAUGAUGAGGUAAAACUAGUAGACACGGGUGGCAGCCUAUAUGGGAGGGACACAAGUCUAAUUGAUUUGCAUUUCAGCAUUAUAGAUAGGUAUGUUUUGGAAGAUUUGUUCUGGAAAUACCGCACCAAGUAGGAUUCUUUUUCUCUUUAGUGGGUCCACUUGCAUGCCAAUUAACGAGUUGAAAAGUAUGAGCACCUACCUCGUGCUCGUGGAACCGAAGGUCAGUGAAGUGGGGCUCCUUUUGGCCUCGUGUAAACUUGAUUCAGAAGUGAAGUUAAUAGUCUUCCAUUCAGAUGGAUACAUGGGAAUUUUUCUCUUUUAUUUAUUUAUUUAUUUUUUUUUUGUGUGUGUAUGUCAAAGGAUAAUGAAUGAAGCGCGUUAGCUUGUUUUCUGACUGGAACCGCAGAUGUCCAAAUUGGAGUUCCUUCAUUUCUUACUUAGGAUUGUUACAUGUAUAAACAAGGUAUAAGAAAUAUGCCAACGUGUCUUGAGGAGUUAUUGAUUAGAAAUAACAAGUCACCCGACUGUAGAGUUCCAAGAUUUGAAUCUUCAGACCCUAUAGCAGCCUCUGGGGUACGUGGCAUCCUAUAGCAUAUUAAUGAAGGCUUUUUCGAUUUAGACUUCACAAUACCAAUUAAUAUGUAUGCACAAAAUGGAGAUGACCCCAAAAAAAACAGAAUCGCCAUAGUUUAUGAGGUUAAGGUGAUUCUCCACUUAAUAUCUACAUUAGCUAAUUAUGUAAAUCAAAUGAACUUCUAUUUUUCCUUUUUUUUUUUGGUUUAUGUCAAAUAGUAGCCCAUAAUUAACCCAACCAUUAGCCUGUUUGAAUUGAUUUCACAUGCACAAUGUUGUAGUAGUUCAUAUUUUGAAUUUUAUUUUUACAAAGGUAGUUAAGGAAAAUGAAGUAUAAUAAUUAUAAAAGCAGACUAUAUACACUACAAUAAUUGUUAGAAUGGUAUCUCAAAUUCUAAUUUAAAAUAUUAUUUUUUGUAAAAGAAAUAUUAUAUAGAAUAUUUCCUAAUUUUAUAAAUGAUUAUAAUUAGAUCUUUAUAAAAUAAGGAAAGUUGGUAAGAAUAUCUUUAUAAAUAUUUUAGGUCAUGAGAGAAAGAAAUGGGAUAAAAAUGUGAUGAAGAGGUGAAAUAAGAGAGUUGAUUAGGAUAUAGAUGUGAAGAAGAAAGGGAUUCAAUAUAUAUAUAUCUUUCAAUUACCACAUUAAAACCCUGUGAACCUUUUAUAUGGUUUACUUUAUUUUUAUAUUCCUCCUUUAAUAUAUUUACAUUAAUGCUUCCAUUGGCACAACAAUAACGAAUUACAAAUACAAGCAACAAGUCCCAUGUUUUAUUACCAAAAGCAGGUAAAAUCCACCUAAUAUAUUACAAUAUAUUCAUCCAAUAUUUUAGACCAAUUCUUCACCAUAAAUAUCAUAAUGUGGCUUUUGUUCUUUCUUAAAUUUAAAUUGAAUUGUCUUAUAUCAAUUUGUUUGUGAUUUUUUCAUUAACUUCACUUUCAUUUGGUUAUCUUUGGUUUUUGAAAAGUAUUAAGGAAUUAAUUAACAAAAUAAUGUUAAGAAAAAUAAUUUUCUCUCUUUUGAUUUUGAUUUUGUAGUAGAAAAAUAUAAUUAAAAUUAUUUAAAAAGUAUGUAAUUUUAAAUUAUUUAAUAUUUAGAUAAAAAAAAUAAGUCUAAUGAGUUUAAAAUAACAUAUAAAAAUAAUUUAUUUAUUUUAAAUUUAUUUUUUAUUUUCCAUUAUGUUCUCUUUCUCUUUUACUUUUUCAUAUUUUUUCUUACGAAGAAUCAAACACAACCUCAUAUUAUAUGUCAAGUGUUUGUCUAUAUUUGAGCAAUGUUAGAUACGGCCAUGGAUUCAUCAAACUAAACUGAUUUUAAUAGAUACUUCACAAAUUGAUUUAUACACUAAAUCAUUGGAUAGCAAUGAUGCAUUGGAAUUAAACGUAGGAUGAAGCUCGAAGAACACUGUUUGUGUAACAACAUAUUUAUGAAAUUAUGCAAAGGAUGAGCUUCGGGGUAGUAGUACAAGGUCAUUAAUGGAGAGCCGUGUUAAACCUUGAUUGUGAUUGGAUUCCGUUAUCAGCAACAGCAACCUUGUUUGUAACCUUGAAAGUCAUUCUGUCCACAUCGAAACUCCAAUUUGACGUUUGUAAUUACCAUUCCUGGAGUGUUCCUUGAUUGAAAUUUAAAUAAUAAUUGCGGCCCACAAGGAAUAUUUUCGAUUCUGUGGGAAUUUGACAAGGUUUGUUAGAGAAGACUGGUGACAUGUUGACUUCAAUGGUUCAAAUAGGAGACGUAUGUGGAUUUGGGGGGUUUAAUUGAAACUGAGUCCCUAUGGCUUUUUAAUAUUUGCAUUGAGCAGUCUCCAUGUGACUUCCUAAUUCCCACCAACCCUCCUGUCCAUGCUGUGAAACUAAAUUGUAAUUUAUCAGCCUUUGUCAAUGGUUUCUAAAUUAAAGAUAUAGACCAUGCAUGUACUUUAAUAAAAGCAAAUCUAAAGUGUAGAUAGCAGCAAUGGUGACACCCAAUAUUCUCCAUAAAAUAGAAUUAGAAUAAGCAGUGUUACAUUGUUCAUGAUCACCUACAAGCAUACAAGAACUUCCAUGAAUAACUCAUAGCAAUUGCCAACAGGGCGUCGUAGAGACUCAUACAUAGAACACUAUCCACCCAGAGGAAAGGACAAGACCAGUGCGCUGCAGCUCUUAUUUUUCACAUGUAUACCACCACUCGUAAUAACCAAAUUCACUCAGUUGGGAUAGGUGGGAGAUGGUGGUUUGUGGGGUGGCUUGUGGGGAGGAGUUGGAGGAGGCUUUAUUUUCUGAGGCGGCUUGUAUGAGUGUGCAGGAGGAUGCCCGGGAGUGUGACCAUAAUGUGGUGGCUUCUCUCCCGUAGGUGGUUUGCCAAAUGGGCUUGGUGGCUUCUCUCCCUUAGGAGGUUUACCAAUUGGGGUUGGUGGCUUGUGUUCUGGGAGUGGUUUCUCUCCCUUGGUAGGUUUGCCAAUUGGGGUUGGCGGCUUAUGUUCUGGGAGUGGCUUCUCUCCCUUGGGAGGUUUGCUAAUUGGGGUUGGCGGCUUAUGUUCUGGGGGCGGCUUCUCUCCCUUGGGAGGUUUGCCAAUUGGAGUUGGCGGCUUAUGUUCUGGGAGUGGCUUUUCUCCCUUGGGAGGCUUGCCAAUUGGGGUUGGCGGCUUAUGUUCUGGGGGUGGCUUCUCUCCUUUAGGAGGUUUGCCAAUUGGAGUCGGCGGCUUAUGUUCUGGAAGUGGCUUUUUUCCCUUGGGAGGUUUGCCAAUUGGGGUUGGCGGCUUAUGUUCUGGGGGUGGCUUCUCUCCCUUGGGAGGUUUGCCAAUUGGAGUCGGCGGCUUAUGUUCUGGGAGUGGCUUCUCUCCCUUGGGAGGUUUUGUUGGUGGCUUGUGUUCUGGAGAUGGCUUCUCCCCUGGAGGCUUGUGCUCCGGAGGUGGCUUCUGAAAUGGCGGGGGCUUGGGGUAAUGAGCAAGAGAUGGAGUACUGGUGAGAACCACCAUUCCAAGCAACAAUACUAGCAAGCAUGUGGGAGACAUCUUUGAGUAGUUGUAGCUAAGAUGGCGCAACACUGUAGGCAUUGGGUGGCCUUUUAUAAAGGGCUGGACCCAACAGCCAUAUGACACGUGUCAUGAUGACAAAUGAAGUUGAGGGGAUCCAGAUGGGUCCUACUGAGUCGAAAACUUGCACUAAUUGAUCUGGUGAGAUGACUAUUUCUGUCCUUUUGCCCUUCUCGGCCACCCUGUGCUGUUUUCCUUUUGCACGAUUUUCGUUGCCAAACAAGCAAAUAAUAUUUCGCCAAGAAAGAGGAGAGUGAAUGUGGAAUGCAUCAAGUCCCAUCAAGGAUGGCAGAGAAGAAAUAGAAGAUUGCCCAACUGUGAUAAACAUAGCAUACACGUAGCACCAGGAACUUCAUUUACUUCCAUCUAAUGGAACAUAACAAUCUUCUAAAGUUUUUGCAUGAUUUUGUUAUAUGUCUCUUAGCCUAAAGUUGGAAAUGCGCAACAAAUUUUGUCACUUCUCUAUUUCCCACUGAUGAUGUUAAUUAGCCUUCAUAGAUAUCAUCCUUUCUACAAAGUGCUUCAUUUGUGUGUUAUUGUAAAGUGUAAGAAAAGUAAUUGAACAUGUUCUUUUUCCUUUCAUAGAUGACUUUUGAUGUGCAUUUUAAAAGCAGCGCUGUGAGUCGGUGACCUUGAUUCACACGGAAACUAAGGCUCCUAUAGGACCCACUUUUAGCUGGUUAGGGGUGAAGAAAAUAUCAACUUUUCAGAGUGAUUUAAGUCAAGGCCAAGCCUCACUGUGUCAUUACUCGUGUGAAUUUUAUAUGCACAUACAUACAUAAAUAAAGUAUGAGACCCAAAUAACACCUUCCCUUUACAAACUUAACCCCAGCCGCUCUCUUUCAAUUCUUUUCACACAAGGGUAUUGACUCUAUAAAGGUCAAGAAAAUCAUAAUUUCCUAGGGUUUACAAGGUAAUUGGCUUAAUGCUAAUGUGAAAACAUAAAAGAUAAUAGUAUAUUGUAAGCUAACGAAUAUUCUAUAGUUAUAAUUAUUUGUGAUGUGCAUAAAUAAAUCUUCAUAUAUAUAAUGGAACAAUGAAUAAAGAACCAAUGAAAAAAUACUAUAUAUCAUUGCUUGGCAUUUAAACCGUAUAUGCUGCUCUUUCUAGCUACUCCAUCCACUGAAAGACAACAAGGUAAUCCAUGUUAUAAUGAUAGAAGAUACUGUCUCUAGGCUUUUUGUGAUGAAAAAUAUAAGAUAUGGGUAGGGUUGACCCUUGUAUGUUUGUCCUAUAAACACUUCAAAGUAACAUAUUUUUCUUCUUUAGCAACUCAUAAUGAUGGGGUUCAUUUGCAUGUCACUGAGUUGAAAAGUUGGACAAUUGCCCAUGUCGCCUUCCUCCUAGAUUCCGUAGUUCACGGGAAGGUAACUCAAGUUUGACAUAUUUUGAAUUCUUUUCACUCGGACGUCUUCAUAACCUGACAAAACAAAAAUGAAAAACAGAGGAUUGGUAUAUUAUUCAUGGUAAGCCUCAAAUUAUAGUAGUAUGAGAAAGGAGAAAAAGAUUUUGGGAACUCCAAUCUGGAUAAUUCUCGUUUCUUCUCUUGAAUAAAAAUUUCACUUACCUAACUUCGUUUGGAGAAAUGGCAUAUUUUAAUUUUGUACGUCAUUGCUAAUAAAUGGAGCAAUUUAGCAUGUUUUGUGACUGAAACUGCAAAUGUCCAAUUGGCAUUUCUUCAUUUCCCACUUAGGAUCUGAUCUUGUAGACCAUAUAACGAUAUGUAUCUGUGCAAGCAUUGAAAACUAAUGUGAACUAUGAGGAGUUACAAGCCACUGGACUGUAGAGCGAGUGCCAAGAUUUAAAUCUUCAGGCUCUAUCUGGGUAAGGGGAGGAUAGCGACCUAACCUUUUACCAAAGGCUUAGAAUUUAGACUUUUGGAAAAAAAUUUCUCAUGUUUUGGCUGGAUUUCUUGUGCUUGGCGCAAAAAGGAGAUGGCCUCAAGAAAUAGCAGACUCACUUUUGUUUUCAGCCCUUAAUAAUUCUCCACUGCUUUCCAUAACUACAUGGGUUAUACAUGCAGUCUGCUGCAAUAUUCCAGUUAUAUUUAUUAUUUCAAAGAGGGUGAAUGACUUCACAUGCAAUAUGUUGCAGUAACAACCCAAAUUUUGGCACACCAUCUUAAGAAUAGAAAAGUAUAAUAAAAGAAAUCAAUCAGAGAAUCACUUUGCAUGCAGUUCAUAGAGUUCGCCCAAAAUGGAGCCACAUGUACGGACAACCCCACAAUAGACAAUCUUCUCUAUACAGUAAUAAAAUACAGAAAUGGUUAAUGAAGCUCUGUAUUUCCUUAUCAUAUAUGACCGGUUGAAAACUCAGCAAGUCUUCCUCAAUCACAGACAGUUGGAGUUGCUUCAUCAAAAUCAUGCCUUCAUUACUGGCUUCAUUUUGGUUUCAAUGUCUGUUCUACCCUUAAAUUGGGUCUCUGCUUACUACCGGGAUAUCCUUUAGCGUCCUGCAAUUCUACUAGAUUAAAGAGAAUGACUUAAUUCUGCAUUCUGCCGUCCCUAGUCCAAGUGGUACUAGAAUUGAUGUUUCCUUUAGUGUCCUUUCUUCAUACUUUCAGGUUCUUCCCUUGUUUCAAUAAUGCUGUUUUCCUUCAUGUUUAACCUCUGUUGAACCACUUAAAACAACACAAUUUGCACACCAAUGUUUCUUUACAGAAAAGACUGUUUGCAAAAAUGCACAUGUUAUAAGGUUAAUGGAAGAAUUAAUUUGGGGAUAAGGGACUAGGAUUGGGCCAAUGAAGUUUGGUGUUAAAUUUUGAUUAUGAUUGCUUUUCAUUAUCAGGUACCUUAUAUUUGCUGAUGCUAUCUGGAACUAAAUUCAAAUCAGACAUUAUCCGAUUACUAACAGGACAUAUCAUGUCCCUCUGCAGAGUUUCUAAACUAACAUGUAUCGAAAUGUGGCCCCAAAAGGAAGGCUAGGAAGAUGGAGGAUUUUGUAGGAAUCGACCAGAAUCAGAUGGAAGAGAGAUAGUCCUGUUGACUUUAAUGGUUGUGAUAGGAACAUGCAUCAUUAUAUGAGAAGUUGCAUGAAUUUAUGUAUCCUGUUAUCGUUCCUUGACGAUUUCCCAAUGCAAUUUCACUGUCCACAAGACUAACCUCUCCAUGCAGUCAAAUGAAUUGUAAUUUCUCUAUUGGUACCAGUAGUACAUUUCAUACCAAACAUAUAGUAAAUAUAAAAUAUAAAUAGAUCAAGGAAAUCUGAAUUGUAGAUAGCACUGCAAGUAACACUCAAUAUUCUCUAUAUAUAAUAAAAUAAACAGUGUCACAAUACUCAUCACCCAGUGGCAAGGGAGAAAAACCUACAAUGAGUACUCAAAUCACCAUUCUCAAACAGAAACAUAGCAGUGACUGAUACAUAGAACCUAUAUGCUCACAGGGAAAGAAUAAGAUGACCAGUGCACAGCGGGCAGCAGCUCUUAUUUUACGUACAACUCAAAUCCCAAACUAACCAAAGUCGCUCAGUUGGGAUGGGUGGGAGAUGGUGGUUUGUGGGAUGGCUUCUGGGUAGGAGCUGGUGGCUUCUGUCCCUUUGGUGGUUUGCCUAAUGAGCUUGGUGGCUUGUGCUCCGGGAGUUGUUUCUCUCCCUCGAGUAGGUUUCGAGUCUUGUCAGAUGGCUUGUGUUCUGGUGGUGGCUUCUCUCCCUGGGGUGGUUUGCCGAAUGGGCUUGGUGGCUUGUGUUCGGGGAGUGGCUUCUCUCCCUGGAGAAGGUUACGAGUUUUGUCAUAUGGCUUUUGUUCUGGUGGUGGCUUCUCUCCCUGGGGUGGUUUGCCGAAUGGGCUUGGUGGCUUGUGUUCGGGGAGUGGCUUCUCUCCCUGGAGAAGGUUACGAGUUUUGUCAGAUGGCUUGUGUUCUGGUGGUGGCUUCUCUCCCUGGGGUGGUUUGCCGAAUGGGCUUGGUGGCUUGUGUUCGGGGAGUGGCUUCUCUCCCUGGAGAAGGUUACGAGUUUUGUCAGAUGGCUUUUGUUCUGGUGGCGGCUUCUCUCCCUGGGGUGGUUUGCCAAAUGGGCUUGGUGGCUUGUGUUCGGGAACUGGCUUCUCUCCCUUGGGAGGUUCAGUUGGUGGCUGCUGUUCCGUAGGUGGUUUCUUCACCGGCGGCUUGUGCUCCGGAAGCGGCUUCUCUACCUGGAGAAGCUUACGAGUUUUGUCCGAUGGCUUGUGUUGUGGUGGUGGCUUCUCUCCCUGGGGUGGUUUGCCAAAUGGAGUUGGUGGCUUGUGUUCGGGGAGUGGCUUCUCUCCAUUGGGAGGUUUAGUUGGUGAUUGGUGUUCCGUAGGUGGUUUCUGAAGUGGGGGAUGCUUGGGGUAGUCAGCAAGAGACGAGGUAGUGAGAACCACCAGUCCCAGCAGCAACACUAGCAAGCAUGUGGAAGACAUCUUUGAGUUCAGGCUGAGAUCUGUGCAAGGAUAACAGAAUUAGGUGGCCUUUUAUAGAGGCCUGGACCCAACACCCAUAUGACACGUGUCAUGCACUCAUGGUGACACAUAAUUCUAUGGGACCAUUUGGGUCCUACAGAAGUUGCAAAGUUGGACUACUGAGGUGUGAUCACAACUUUUGUCCUUAUUGCUUUCUCUGCGGCCAUUGCACGAUUUCCUUUAGCAUCAUUUUCUUGGCUAAAUAAGCGUAUUAUAUUUGUGGCAGACCGUCCACGUGUCAUAAACAGAUAUAUUAUAAUAAUGUAGUAUGCUUUUCUCCAAUGGAACAUGACACUCUUCUAAGUCUUGUUUUAAAUAUUGUGCAGGAUUACUUUAUACGUUGCAGUUCCAAGUCAAAAUUGGUGGGCAAACGUUGGCCUUUUUUCAUUUCACCUAAGAUUAAUGCUCACCUGGGAUAGGCACUACAUGACUUAUCUGCUCUUUUACUGUAAAGUUGCUUUGUGUAUGAGAUACACCUCCCCUGCACACCCUCAACAUUCGUUGCUCUGUUUUCCUUGUGUCCAGACGAGGAUAUUAAUUGGAGGCUGACAAAACGACUGCUAGCCCAGGAUUUACAAGGUCCUGGUUUGAGGCUUCGGUGAAAGUAUUUUUGAAAAGACACACAUAGAGAUAGUGCGUUUGGUGCAAUGCAGCACUGUGAGCCAUUCUGACGCGUUCUUAAUUUCAAAACUAAUGAAUGCUUCAAAAUUUUAAGAAGUGACAUUUCCAAAUAUUUGAGUUCGUUUAAUUGAACAUUGGAUAACUAGUGAUCAUAGAUUAUUAUCUGUGCUUGGCACUAUAAGAGGGUAUAUGCUUCUUUUUCUGGCCCCUCCUUCAAGGGAGGAGGGACAAUGUGAUCUGUAACGUUAGAAGCUAUUCCAUGUCAUCUUUGGGCUCAGUUCAAAACUAAAAGAUAAUGGGGGGGGGGGGGGGGGGCAUAUCAUUUUAUAUUUCUUCUAGAAGGUUUGUUCUGGAAAUAUUUCACAGGAGCAUAUCUUUUUCUUCUAUUACGUCAUCCGCAGCCUCCAAUAGGUCGGUUAACAAGCCACCGAGUUGAAAAGUUGGAAAAAUGGGAACACAGCCCGCCUCUUGUAUUCAGUAGUUAAAUAAAAGGUCACUAGAAGUGAGAUCCCUUUUGGCGUCUUGAUUUUCAAUCCAGCACCUCUGUGACCUGACAAACCAAAAAAACUAAAAAAUAAAAAACAGUACGUGGGUUGGUGUUAAGCAUCAAGACAUGUUAAUGAAAGAAGGUAGAGAAUAGGAUAUUGAAAUCCCAAUCCUGAUAACAUGAUUUUCUUUGCUAACAACCAUAUUAUAUUUUAUCAAGAAAGAGUAAUGCAUGUGGCGUCCAUCAAGACCCAUUAGAGUUCCGCUAAAGCUAUAGUUCUGUCAACGUUAUCAUUUACGUUUCCUCUAGAUAAUGGCAUUUUCCUCUAAAGCUCUUGCACCAUUAGGCUUCAAGUCAAAAUUUCACAUGUGAACUUUGGAAAUUUUCUCCAUUUGCCCCUAAGGAUACAGUUAGAAUUGACUUAAAAUCCUGAUUGAUAUGUACUAUUAACCAAAGAAUAUUGUAUAUAAUAAUUGAAAUAUUGUUGAUUCAUCGUGGAAAUACAUUUUGUAAGGAAAGUUGUUGAGAAUUUAGUAUGCUAUAUGGAGAAAAAAGUCAUGACUUAAGGUUGUGUAUGUAUAUUCUAUAUCAAAUAUUAGGUAGGAAUGUGGGAAAGAGCAGAGUGUAAUGAUAAGAAACAAAGAAAUAUAAGAUAUUCUUGAAAGUGGAAAAUAUAAAAUGGCUAACGAGUCAAAUUUAUGAUGCGUAAGGGGGAUCAUGUCACAUAAGAAAACCAUGGCAUACUAAAGACGUACGUGUGGUAUGGAGUAAUAAUUUUGUUAAAAUAAGUUUCUUGUUGGAGUACAUUAGGUGACUAUUCAUAACGUAUCAAAUUAAAGAGUCAAGUGCAUCAAUGAAGGCAUAUGUAGAAAAUUUGUUUGUGACAUGUACCAUAAAGAUAAGAUUGACUUGAUAGAAUUUAGUCUAAGUAGGAGUUGUUAAAGGUGUCUUAAAUUUCUAAUUGAUGUAUAUUUUUUUCUAAAAAAAUAUUAUAUAGAUAUUUUAAUAAAUGAUUAAUUCUUUGUAAAAAUACUUACAUAAUAAAAAACAUCAUUAAAAAUAUCUUUAUAAAUAUUUUAAGUUACAAGAAGGAAAAAAACCACUGUGAGAUAAUGAUGAACAUGCAACACUGUACCAAGUAAAUAAAAAUGUGAUAAAAAAAAAAGAGAAACACUCGAUAAAGGAAGGCUCGUAUAUAAAGAGUAAUAUUUUUAAUCAUAUGAUAGAAUGAUUUUCUCUCAUUCAUGAAUAUAGGCAAGAUUGGGGAACCAUUAUAAAAUUUUGUACACCUCGUGUAAAUUGAUGUUUGUCUUCAUAUUUUACACCAACAAAUGACAUUGAAGUUGUCAUUGAUAAAAGGGAAAAGGCAUGCCUCCACACCAUGUGCUUGAUUCGAAUGGUUCAAGUUUGAAGAAUUUUCUCCGGAAGAUCUAAAACAUUUUCGCCUUUAAAUUUCAUUUGAUUAUUAAUAUCCGAAAAAAUAGUUAAAUACUCUUUCUAUUUUUGAGUUGUUGAAUUUUUUGAAAGUUUUUAUAUUUGUUAUCAAGAAUUUCUAUUUUAUUAAGGGUGAAUAUUUAUAAAUAAGAUAUUAUAUAAUAUUUGGAUAAGAGAGAAUGGUGGAAUAUAAUAAAGUUUUAAUCCUUCCCAAUUUUGAACCUUUUUUUUUUUUUUUGAUAUAAUCGCCUUUCUCUUGCAAUCCUAUUAUCAGGUACCUUAUAUUUGCUGAUGCUAUCUGGAACUAAAUUCCAAUCAGGCAUUGUCCAAUUACUAAUAGGACAGAUCAUAUCUCUCUGUUUCUAAACUAACAUGUAUCGUAAUGUGACCUCAUAAGGAAGGCUAGGAAGAUGGAGGAUUUUGUGGGAAGCGACCAGAAUCAGAUGGAAGAGAGAUAGCCCUGUUGACCUAAUGGCUGUAAUAGGAGAAGCGUGUGGUUUUAUGGGACUUAACUGAUACUAAACCUGUAUGAUGCUUGGAGUGGUGUUUCUUUCAUUUUGUUAAGAAAAUAUGGCAGCAUACAUGCUUUCAACUGAGUGCAUCAGAGCAUCCAUAACAGAUGGUCUGCAACCCUAGGUGCAUGCCACUUUCUGACUGAUAAUGAAAUUGUCAGGUACCUGGCCUUGACUAAGCUCAACAGCAUCACAUAAAGAGAAGCUUUCAUACUUAGAUUACUGUUUAAAGUUUUUGCUUAUUUGAUUUCUUAAUGCCAUUAUGACAUUAUUGAUUCAAUUCUGCUUCCGAUUUUCGAAGUUCUGGGCAUCUACUGAUUGCAUCAUUAUAUGAGAAGUUGCAUGAGUUUAUGUAUCCUGUUAUUGUUCCUUUGCGAUUUCACUGCUCACGGGACUAACCUCUCCAUUCAGUCGAAAUGAAUUGUAAUUUCUUUACUGGUAGCAGUAGUACUUUUCAUAGCAAAGAUAAUAGAAAAUAUGAAAUAUAAAUAGAAGGAAAUCUGGAUUGUAGAUAGCACCAUAAGUAACACUCAAUAUUCACUACAUAAUAAAUAGACAGUGUUACAUAGGUAGAGAAACCUACAAUGAGUACUCAUCACCAUUCUCAAACAGAAACAUAGCAGCGACUUAUACAUAGAACCUAUAGGCUCGCAGGGAAAGAGUAACAUGAUAAGUUCACAGCGGGUAGCAGCUCUUAUUUUACGUAUUACUCAAAAUCUCAAACUAACCAAAGUCACUCAGUUGGGAUGGGUAGGAGAUGGUGGUUUGUGGGGUGGCUUCUGGGUAGGAGCUGGUGGCUUCUUUGUUGGAGUUGAAGGAGGCAUAUUCUUCUGAGGUGGCUUGUAUGACUCUUCGGCACUCUCUGCAGGAGGGUGCCCAGGGUUGUGACCAGAAGGAGGUGGCUUCUGUCCCUUUGGUGGUUUGCCUAAUGGGCUUGGUGGCUUGUGCUCCGGGAGUUGUUUCUCUCCCUCGAGUAGGUUUCGAGUUUUGUCAGAUGGCUUGUGUUCUGGUGGUGGCUUCUCUCCCUGGGGUGGUUUGCCGAAUGGGCUUGGUGGCUUGUGUUCGGGGAGUGGCUUCUCUCCCUGGAGAAGGUUACGAGUUUUGUCAGAUGGCUUUUGUUCUGGUGGCGGCUUCUCUCCCUGGGGUGGUUUGCCAAAUGGGCUUGGUGGCUUGUGUUCGGGAACUGGCUUCUCUCCCUUGGGAGGUUCAUUUGGUGGCUGGUGUUCCGUAGGUGGUUCCUUCACCGGCGGCUUGUGCUCCGGAAGCGGCUUCUCUACCUGGAGAAGCUUACGAGUUUUGUCAGAUGGCUUGUGUUGUGGUGGUGGCUUCUCUCCCGGGGGUGGUUUGCCAAAUGGACUUGGUGGCUUGUGUUCGGGGAGUGGCUUCUCUCCAUGGGGAGGUUUAGUUGGUGGUUGGUGUUGCGUAGGUGGUUUCUGAAGUGGGGGAUGCUUGGGGUAGUCAGCAAUAGACGAGGUAGUGAGAACCACCAGUCCCAACAGCAACACUAGCAAGGAUGUUGAAGACAUCUUUGAGUUCAGGCUGAGAUCUGUGCAAGGAUAAAAGAUUUAGGUGGCCUUUUAUAGAGGGCUGGACCCAACACCCAUAUGACACGUGUCAUGCACUCAUGGUGACACAUAAUUCUAUGGGACCAUUUGGGUCCUACAGAAGUUGCAAAGUUGGACUAUUGAGGUGUGAUCACAACUUUUGUCCUACUUGCUUUCUCUGCGGCCAUUGCACGAUUUCCUUUAGCAUCAUUUUCUUGUCUAAAUAAGCGUAUUAUAUUUGUGGCAGACCGUCCACGUGUCAUAAACAGAUAUAUUAUAAUAAUGUAGUAUGCUUUUCUUCAACGGAACUUGACACUCUUCUAAGUCUUGUUUUAAAUACUGUGCAGGAUUACGUCAUAAGUUGCUUGUUCCAAGUCAAAAUUGGUGGGCAAACGUUGGCCUUUUUUCAUUUUCCCUAAUAUUAAUGCUCACCUGGGAUAGGCACUACAUGAUUUAUCUGCUCUUUUACUGUGAAGUUGCUUUGUGCAUGAGUUACACCUCCCCUGCACACCCUCAACAUUUGUUGCUCUGUUUUUCUUGUGUCCAGACGAGGAUAUUAAUUGGAGGCUGACAAAACGACUGCUAGCCAAGGAUUUACAAGGUCCUGGUUUGAGGCUUUCACGAAAGUAUUUUUGAAAAGAUACACAUAGAGAUUGCGCGUUCGGUGCAAUGCAACAAUGUGAGCCAUUCUGAAGUCUUAAAUUUCAGAUUAAUGAAUGCUACAAAAUUCUAAGAAGGGCCGUUUCCAAAUAUUUGAGUUCAUUCAUCCGAACAUCGGGUAUAUGCUUCUUUCUCUAGCCCCUCCUUGAAGGGAGGAGGGACAAUGUGAUCUGUAUCGUUAGAAGCUAUUCCAUGUCGUCAUCUUUGGGCUCAGUUCAAUACUAAAAGAUAUGGGCGGGGCCCUUAUCAUUUUAUAUUUCUUCUAGAAGGUUUAUUCUGGAAAUCUUUCACAGAAACAUAUCUUUUUCUUCUCUACGUGAUCCGUGGUUUGAAAGUUGGAAAAAUGGGUCCGUUAACAAGCCACCGAGUUGAAAAGUUGGAAAAAUGGCAACACCGCCAACCUCUUGUAUUCGAUAGUUAAAUAAAAGGUCACUGGAAGUGAGAUCCCUUUUGGCCUCUUGAUUUUCAUUCCAGCAUCUCUAUGGCCUGAUAAAUUAAAAAACUAAAAAAAAAGACAGUACGUGGGUUGGUGUUAAGCAUCAAGAGUCAAGACAUGAUAAUGGAGAGAAAGGAUAUUCAAAUUCCAGUUCUGACAACAUGAUUUUCUUUGCUGAACUACCAUAUUAUAUUUGAUCAAGAAAGAGUAGUGCAUGUGGCCAGGAUCAAGACAUACAUUAAUUUCCACAUGAUGAAGACAGUUUCUGAGAGUUUCUUCUAAAGCUCUUGCGCGAGUAGGCUUCAAGUCAAAAUCUCCCAUGUAAACACUGGUUUUUCUUUCAUUGCCACUAAGGAUGCAGUUAAUAUUGACUUAAGAUCCUACGUGAUAUAUUUUUUUAAAAGAGCUAUAUUGUAGAUAAUAUUUGAAAUAAUGUUGAUUCGUUGUGGAAAUAUAUUUGUAAGGAAAGUUGUUGACAAUUUAAUAUAGUAUAAGAAGAAAAAAGUUAUCAACUAGCUAGAGAUGAGUAUGUAAAGUGAGGCUCACGAUUCAACGCGUAAAUAUAAGAUAUUUUAAGGCUCAAUAGUUAUGAUAUCUAUUUUAUUUUUUGUAUCUCAUAUAUUCAAAGAUAUAGUAAAAUGAUUUUACAUAUAUAUAUAUAUAUAUAUAUGAACAUAACUAUUUGUGCCAAUUGAUUUUUAUCUUUAUUUUGUAUAUUAGUAAUUAUAUUAAAGUUUUUACUAAUAUAAUAACUAAUAUAAAAGCUUUUUCUAAAAGAGUCAACAGAGCAAAACACUUAUUAUAAAAAAUAAUUUUGAUUGAAGGUGGAGUCAAUUAUUCUUUAUUUAACAUGUAAUGCAUACGGCGUGUACUUCAUAACUAAAGUAUAUAAGUGUAACAUCUCUUAUAUAUUCUCAUUCAAUCUCGAAAGUGGAAAUUUUAAAAAGAUUAAACGGUUCAAAUUUGUCGUGCAUAAAGGGGAUCAUGUCACAUAAGCAAACCAUGGCAUACCAAAGACAUAGGUAUGGACUAAGAAUUUUUUUCAAAUAAGUUUCUUAUUAGGGUACAUUAAUAGGUGACUUUUUAUGACAUAUCAAAGGAGUCAAGUGCACCAAUAAAAACAUAUAUAGAAAAUUCAUGCAUGACAUGUAUCACUAAGAGAAGAUUGACUUGAUAGAGUUUAAUCCAAAUAGGAGAUUGUUAAAAGGUGUCUCAAAUUCUUGAUUGAUAUAUAUUUUUUUUAUUAAAAAGGUUAUUAUAUAGAUAUUUCAAUAGACUAUUAAUUCUUUGUAAAAAUAGUUAUAUAAUGAGGAUGGUGAUUAAAAAUAUCUCUAUCAAUAUUUUGGAUUAUAAAAAGAAAAAAAAUGAGAUAAUGAUAAACAUAUAAAACUUGUACAAGUAGAUAAAGAUGUGAUGAAAGACACUUGAUGAAUGAAGGCUUUGUAUUUCAAGAUAUAAAUAUAUGGAGCAAAACUCUUAAUUAUAUGAUCAAAUGAUUCUCUCAUAUUCAUGAAUAUAAGCAGGAUUGGGGAACCAUGAUAGAAUCUUAUAUGCCUCUCCAUGUAGAGUGAUCGAUGUUUAUCUUCAUAUUUUACACCAGUGAAUGACAUUGAAACUCUUAUUGAUAAAAGGGAAAAGGCAUGGCCUCCACCCCAAGAAAAACAAGUAACCUCGGUUUAAAUCACUAGUCUACACCCCGAAGAGAGAACUAGCCAAACCUACUAAAAGAGAAACUUAACAAUUUAGAAAGAAACCGUCCAUGAUAAAGGGCCCCUAAAGGUCCAAUUCAGUGAGGUCGUGAACAAAAACACUUUCAUGUCAAAACAGAGAUAGGUACCACCAAAAUGUAAAGGGAAAGAUGUAAACCACGUCGAACUUUGGUAAUCAAUGGUAAAGAUAGCAUGAUAGCUAAAAGCACUAAAGCUGUGCUUGGUAUGCAAAAAUGAAAAGUGGAAAUCAGCGUCUUAUUCUUUUUCACCUUUAUUCACAUAUUAGGAUAACUAAUAUCUAAUGUUUUUUAUGUCUCAAAUUCUAUUCCAUGUUAUGGUAAACUUUCAUCUUGUUUAGAUCACUUUUGUCUGGUUUGGGCUCAAGACGAUAAGCCUAUAGAGACUUCAUAUUGGGUUGAAUCGAUGCCCUUGAUCUGAUCUGUUCGUUAGAAAAAUCUGAAUUAUUAUAAGCAUUUAGAUAAAAAAUAAAUAAAUGUGAAACACAAACUACUCCCUGCACAACCUUGACCCUAGUUACUCAGUUUCACUGCUCACAGGACUAACCUCUCCAUUCAGUCGAAAUGAAUUGUAACAAGAAGAUUUUUGACAGGAGGACGGUAGUUUAAAAUAAUAAUUUCUAAAGUACUUUUGUGAAAAAAAAUAAUUCCAAACGUGGAUUUUAUCAAGUAAAAAGAAAAAAAAAAGUUAUUUUCUUUUAAAAUCUGUUCUUCUAAAGAUGAUAUAUAUACCAAAAAAAAAAAUUGUUUUCUGAAGGUAAAAUUUUUAAAAUUCAUUUUUAAAAAAAUUUACACACUAAAAUUAUCUUUUCAAGAGAAGAUUUUUUUAAUUUUAAAUAAUUAUUAAUUUAUAAUUAAUUUGUUAUUAAUUAUUUAUUAAUUUUUUUAUUUGAAAAAUGCAUUUAUAAAAAACAAAUUUGUUAUUAAUUUAUUAAAUAAUUUUUACAAAAUAAAUAAUUUUUUUUUAUUUUAAUUUUAAAAUUAAUUUUAUUAUAUAAAUUUUAAAAUUAAAAAUAUUAAUAUUUAAUUUAAAAUUUAACUAUAAAAGGAAUAAAAUAUAGAAAAAUAAAUUAAUUUAUUAUUCAAUAAAUUAAUUUUCAAUAAAAUUUUCAGCAUUAAGAGAUAAAUUUUUAAGUAUUAAUCAAUUUAAAAAGAAAUAAUGAUCAUUUGUAUAUUAAGAUAUUUUAUUUAGUAAUUAUGAAUGAUAAACAACUAAAGUAAUUUGAAAAAAUAAUAAAAUAUUUAAAAAAUAAUAAUUUAAUACACGUAAAAUUAGAAAUGAUUAACUAUUUUUUAUUAAGAAAAAAUUGAGGAAAUAUUUUGUUAUUUAAAAUUUUUUAUUUGUUUUCAAUUUUUAAUGUUAUAGGUUUCAAGAAAAUUGAUCAAAUAAAAAUUAAGAAGUCAUUUUUUCAAAAACUAUAUAUCUAAAUAAAAGCCUUGAAAUUCAAAUACACAAUAUCAUAAAUAUAAACACCAAGUCAAUCCUUAAUUAUCAAAUGUUUUUAAUAUUAAAGAAUCAAAAUCACCUACUAUCAUGAUAAUAAGAAAACCAAUAAUAUUGUUCAUAUAAAUACUAAAAAGCUAACAAAUAUCCCAAACAAUUAAUAAAGUAUCAAACAUGAUAAAAAGUCAAUUAUUAUCAUGAAUGCAAAAAAUCAAUAAUUUUGUUUAUAUGAACCAUCAACAAAGAAAAAAAAAAUCAAUAUCUAAAUAUUAAACAUAAUUUAUAUUUUUAUAAAUAUUAUUGUUGAUAAAUAUCUUAACAAUUAUAAUUUUAGUAAAUAAAAUUAAUUAAUUUUAGUUUAAGAAUUAUUUUUUUAUACUUUCGUAUUCUUAUCAAAAAUCCCCAUUUUGCAUGUCUCCUUUGGCAUGACUUUCUUACCUAAACAAGCAUAUAUAUAUAUAUAUAUAUAUAAAAUAUUUGGUUAAGAAAGAGUACUAAAGUUUAUAUGGCACACAUCAAGAUAGAAACAGAAGUGGAAGAUAAUCCAAAUGUAUGAACAGAUAUAUUAUAUCCAUGUAGUGGUAGUGACUUCAUUAUUUACUUUUAUCUAAUGGAGCAUGACACACUUCUUCUGAAUAUUUUGCACGAUUAUGUUAUGUGUCAGCUUGUUCUAAGUCAAAACUAGUGAUAAAAAUCGGUUUUUUUUGCAUUUCCUUCAUGAAGAUGGCACCUGGAUGGGGCACUACAUGAGUGGCAUAGCACGAAGUGAUUUAUCUGCUCCCUUUACUAUAAAGUGCUUUGUGUAUAAGUUACACCUCCCCUGCACUGCCUCAACAUUUGUUGUUCUGUCUUCCGUCUGUCCAAACGAGGACAAACGUAUGUUGUAGGUUGACAAAACCACAGCUAGCCUAGGAUUUGCAAGGAUCUAGUUUGAUUCGUAUGCAAAAGGAUUGGUGAAAAGAUUCACAAAGAUAAUGCUUUUUGCAAUGCAAUCUUGUUCUAAUUCAACAGUGUGGACCAUUUUCAUGUAAUGCUUCAACUAGAUGUCAGUUUCAUGAAUUUUUGUUCAUCUAAUUGAUCACUGGAUAGGCCAUAACCCGAAGAAAUUCAAAAUUCCCUUCAGUACUGUAGCUAAGGAAAGAUCCCUAUCUACCACUGGGAUUUUAAGAGGGUAAAAAUGUAGGUGGGUGCCUAUAUCAUUUGCACUUCACUAUAGGCCUCUUUGGGAAGAUUUCUUCUGAAGACAUUUCAAAGAAACAUAUUUUUCUCUUCUCUCCGUAAACGGCAGCUGCAAGUCAGUCCAUUCACAGGCCACCGAGUUGAAAAGGCUGGAAAAUUGGCCAAAGCACCCGCCUCCUGGAUUCCAUGGGUAAGGAAAAGGUCACUGGAGGUGUGAUCCCUGUUGGCCUCUUGAUUUCCAUUCCGCCAUCUAUAUGACCUGAUAACCCAAAAACACAGAAGGAAAACGUCACCUGGGUUCAUAGUAAGCAUCAAGUCAUGAUAGAGACCAGACAACAUGACCAACAAAGAGUAGCGAAUGGGGCCAACAUCAAGCCCCAUUACGGUUAGAAGAUGGAAGAAGUAGAAGACAAUCCAAUUCUGAUAGAUUCGGGCAAAUGUAGUGCUGUUCAAACUUAAUCAUUUACUAUUUCUUCAUGAAUCACGGCAUUUUUCUUCUGAAAAUUUUCCAAGAUUAGGCCUCUGAAGAAAAAUUUCAUAUGUAAAUUGGUAUAUUAAGGAAAAGGCGUUACAAAGGUGAAAAAAAACCAAUCAAAUCUUAUAUAUGACAUCUCAAAAAUAUGAACUUGCUAUAAAUAUUUAAAAUCAAAAUCUUGCACAUCACCUCGUAGUACGAACUUGCUAUAAAACUUGAAAAUCAAGAAGAAAGGGGCAGUAUUGGACGAGACUACUUAGCACAUAUUAUUAUGAUGUUUUUUCAUUUUCUUAAUGUUGUUUUUAUGUCUUAAAUUCUAUUAUUCUAUGUUACGGUAAACAUUCAUCUUGUUUGUGUGGAAUAGGAUCACUUUUCUCUGGGUUGAGUCGAUGCCCUUAGUUAAUUUGUUCAUUUGAAUAAACUAAAUUAUUAUAAGUAUUUAGAUAAGAAAAACGUGAUACAUAAAUUACGCCUCUCGGCACAACUUCAACACUGGUUACUCUGUUUCAGUUUCCUCACACAAGAUUAUUGGUUCUAGGGUUUAUUUGGUUUUGGUUUGAUUCUAAUUGCUAAACUUUCUCAAGGAAGAUGUUAUAUAGGGAGUGAGAAACCUUCACUCUUGGCUACCUCCAAGAGAAGAGCAAGUGGUCUGAAUCAAAGAUAUACUGCUCACUUUUUCUUCUUCUAAGGACAGCUAUGACCUUGCUUUAAGGUUCGAAUAGCCUAAUGCAACCUCCCAUUUCUCAAGUCAGCUGAUGAUGUAAGUCACCUUGGCUUUCCACAUUCAUACGGUGAGGACGUUUGUGGGUGUAAUUCUCUUAACAGUUUUCAUUUUAUAUGGAAAAAUUCAUAAUUAAGGGUAAUUACUGAUUCCAUUUGACAGUGACCAAGUUUAAAAUAUUAAUUCAUAUAUUAAAUGCACAUUAAAAAAUCAUGGAAUAAAUAUAUUUACUAAUAUAUAGUUCUUUUGCCAUGUUCUGUCACAGAAGCAUCGAACUUUCCCUAGAAAUUUUUGCAUGGUAUUCUACUUAUGAUUUUGAAAACUCUAGGCACCUGAGGCCACUAAUUGCAUGGUUGGAUGAGGAGCUGCAUGAGAUUAUGUAUCGUGUUGUUCCUUAACUACAAAUAUCAGUUUUAAGUAGCAUCUCCAUGUGACAUUUUCCUGAUGCAAUUUCGCUGUCCACCAACAAAUUUCACCAUGCAGCAAGAUGAAUUGUAAUUUCUUUAUUGUUAUCAACAGCUUUAAUUAAUCUUGAUAUAUAUAUAUAACUUAGUAGAAGUAUAUUAAUCUAGAUUGUAGUUGCACUAAGAUAAUAGGCAAUAUUAUAACAGUGCCACAAUGCUCAUCGCCAAAUAGAAAGGUAGAAAAACUACAAUGAGUAACUCACAACAUUCUCAAACAGGACAUAGCGGCGACUGAUACAUAGAACACUAUUGGCACUCAGGAAAUGAUAAGAUCAGUGCCCAGCAGGCAGCACGUCUUAUUUUACAUACUACUUAAAACUAACCAAAGUCAUUCAGUUGGGAUGGGUGGGAGAUGGUGGUUUGUGCGGUGGCUUUUGGGUAGUUGGUGGCUUCUUUCCUGGAACUGAUGGUUUUUUUGUUGGAGUUGAAGGAGGCUUAAUCGUCUGAGGUGGCUUGUAUGAGUCUUCAGCACUCUCUGCGGGAGGGUGCCCAGGGUUGUGACCAUAAUGGGGUGGCUUCUCUCCCUUAGUUGGUUUGCCAAGUGGGCUGGCUGGCUUGUGCUCCGGGAGCGGCUUCUCUCCCUUAGGUGGUUUGCCAAAUGGGCUUGCUGGCUUGUGCUCUGGGAGCGGCUUCUCUCCCUCAAGAAGUUUACGGGUUUUGUCAGAUGGCUUGUGUUCUGGUGGUGGCUUCUCUCCUUGGGGUGGUUUGCCAAAUGGACUUGGUGGCUUGUGUUCGGGGAGUGGCUCCUCUCCCUUGGGAGGUUUAGUUGGUGGCUGGUGUUCCAUAGGUGGUUUCUCAACCGGGGGCUUGUUCUCCGUUGGUGGUUUAUGAACUGGGGGAUGCUUGGGGUAGUCAGCAAGAGACGGGGUGGUGAGAACCACCAGUCCCAGCAGCAACACUAGCAAGUAUGUGGAAGAGUACAUCUUUGAGUUCAGGCUGAGAUUUGUGCGAGACUUGAAGAAUUAGGUGGCCUUUUAUAGCUGGCUGCACCCAACACUCACAUGACACGUAUCAUGGUGACACAUGUGCUAUGGGUCCAUUUGGGUCCUACAGAAGCUGAAAACUUUUGACUAUUGAGGUGUGGUCACAACUUUUGUCCCUAUUGCUUUCUCCGCAACCGUUUUACAUGUUUCCUUUGGCAUAAUUUUCUAAGCUAAACAAGCAUAUAUCAUAUUUGGUUAAGAAAGAGUAAAGUGUAUAUGGCACACAUCAAGGAAGAGAAACAGAAAAAGUGGGAGACAAUCAAUUGUGAUAAACAGAUAUAUUAUAUUCAUGUAGUACUAGUGACUUUAUCAUUUACUUUUAUCCAAUAGAUCAUCACUCUUUCUUCUAAAUAUUUUGGAGGAUAAUGGUACAUGUUGCUUGUUUCCAAGUCAAAAUUGGUGGCAAAAAUCGGCAUGAUACGAAAGGAUUGGUGAAAAGAUUCACAUAGAUGGUGCUUUGUGCAAUGCAGUCUUGCUCUAAUUCAACAGAGUGGACCAUGGUGAUGUAUUUUAAAUUUUAAAUUUUAAAUUAAUGCAUGCUUCAAAGUUUUAACUAGAUGUCACUUCCAUGGAUUUUUGUUCAUUUAAUUGAGCACAGGAUAGGCUAUCAAACUUGAAGUAAUAUAAAAAUCCCUUCAUUACUGUAACUAAUGAAAGAUCAUUAUCUGCGCUUGGUAUUUUGCCAAGGUAUUUGCUGCUCUUUCUAGCCCUGUCUUACAGUUAAGGACAAUGUGAUCUAGUUAACCUUAGAAGCUAUUCCAUGUCAGAUACAAGAGAUCAAGCACAUUAUCUUUGGGCUCAGUUCAAAACUAUAAUAUAUGGGUGGGGUGGAGGCCCAUAUCAUUUGCAUAUCACCACUAUUGGUUUAGUUUGGAAGGUUUCUUCUGGAAGAUUGCUGCUUUCUGGAAUCAUUUCAAAGAAAUAUAUCUUUUUGUUCUCUUGGUGACGAGCAGCGGCAAUCAAGUCUGUUGACAAACAACCGAGUUGAAAAGUUUGAAAAUUGGUCACAGCCCACGUCCAUGGUUAAGGAAAAGGUCACUGGAAGUGAUCCCUUCUGGGCCUCUUGAUUUCCAUUCUGACAUCUAUAUGACCUGAUAAAUAGAAAGAAAAAAAAACAGAAGAAAAGCGGCACCCGGGUUCAUAGUAAGCAUCAAGACAGGAUACUGAAAGAAGGGAGAAAGGAGAUUGCAAGUCCAAUCCUGAUAAAAUGAUCAACAAAGAGUAUCAAAAUGGGGCCAACAUAAAGACCCAUUGAGGUUAGCAGAUGGCAUGGCAUUUUUCUCCUUAAGUUUUCCAUGAUUAGACUUGAAGUCAAAAUUUCACAUGUAAAUUUGUAUUUCUACAUUUCCCACUGACGACACCCAACUUCAACUUGAGUUAGAAUAACAUUGUGUGAACUUAUCUGGCCCUCAAAAUUUACUGUGAAGUGCUUUCUGCGUGUGAAGAUUCAGAAAAGCACCAAGGGAACAUGUAUGGUCUGCCUUUUUCUGAUGUUAUGUUUGUCUCUAAUUCUGUUCCAUGUCAUGGUAAAUGUUCACAUUGCUUGUAUGGAACACACCAGGAUCACUUUUUCGGGUUUAUUUUGAGGCUUCAUAUUGGGUUCAUAUUGGGUUCAAUGCUUUUAAUGUGUUCAUUAGACAAAUCUGAAUUAUCAUAUGCAUUUAGAUAAGAACAAUAAUGUGAAACCCUAGUUACACCUCCCCUGCAUAACCCCAACCCUGCUUACUCUAUUUCAGUUUACUCACACAAGUUUUACCGGUUCUUAUAAGUCAAGAAAAGGCAACUGAUGUUGGAUUGACUCUCUUCCAUGUAUAAAAAGCAACUUUUAUAUAUACAUAAAAUAACUUCUUCCCCUCACCAAUGUGGGAUAUCAUGGAUUUAUUCUGGAAACACAUCAAAGGAACAUCUUUUCUCUUGGGUGACCCUAAGUGGUGAGUCAGACCAUUUGCAUGCCAUUGAGUUGCACAGUUGGAUAAAUGCACCUACCUCCUGGGCUCCAGAGUUAAAAGGGUGGAUCCCUGGAUCGCAACCCUCUUGGCAUCUUGGUUUCCAUUCCAACAUCCACAUGACUUGACAAAACAAAAAACAGAAUAAAAUCAUCACUAUUUUCAUGCUAAGCACCAAUACAUGAUGGAAAUCAUUGCUUAAAGAUUUGGGGUCAUUUAGGUUUUGACUGCCUCCUAACACCUCACCUAAUCACAAGUUUUUAUGCUUACAAAUCAAAUAUCGUUCUUCAUUAUAUUAAAAUCAUUUUAAGAUUUCAGAUCCAUCUGCUAAUUAUGAUUAUGAUAACAUUAAUUCACCUGUGCUUCUCAUUUUCGACACACAAGGCAUCUAGGUUUGCAGGAUUUCCUUAUUAGAUGAGAUAAAUGAGUACGCAUGGUUAUGUAUGCAGCAUUCAUUAACCAUGGUAUGUGACAUUUAGAAUUAAGAUAGCAAGCAAACUUUCCCUGCAGCUUGAGUAAAUUGUGAUUUCUUAGCCUCUAUGAGUGGUUCCCAAAUCAAAUUAACAUAGUGAAAUAUACGUAGUCCAGUGAAAGGAAAUGUAAAUUAUAAACUAACAGCACUACACUACUGGUAACACUCGAUACUCUCUAUAUAAUGCAAUGAAAUAUACGUUAUACGUUGCUUGUUCCAAGUCAAAAUUUGUGGCCAAACGUUGGCCUUUUUUCAUUUUCCCUAAGAUUAAUGCUCACCUGGGAUAGGCACUACAUGAUUUAUCUGCUCUUUUACUGUAAAGUUGCUUUGUGUAUGAGUUACACCUCCCCUGCACACCCUCAACAUUUGUUGCUCUGUUUUCCUUGUGUCCAGACGAGGAUAUUAAGUGGGGGCUGACAAAACGACUGCUAGCCAAGGAUUUACAAGGUCCUGGUUUGACGCUUCCGCGAAAGUAUUUUUGAAAAUAUACACAUAGAGAUUGCGCGUUCGGUGCAAUGCAACAAUGUGAGCCAUUCUGAAGUUUUUAAUUUCAGAUUAAUGAAUGCUACAAAAUUCUAAGAAGGGCCGUUUCCAAAUAUUUGAGUUCAUUUAUCCGAACAUCGGAUAAGUAAUGAUCAUAGAUUAUUAUUAUUAUCUGACGUUCUUAUAAUGGUUGGCAUUAUAAGAGGGUAUAUGCUUCUUUCUCUAGCCCCUCCUUCAAGGGAGGGACAAUGUGAUCUGUAUCGUUAGAAGCUAUUCCAUGUCGUCAUCUUUUGGCUUAAGUCAAUACUAAAAUAUAUGGGCGGGGCCCCUGUCAUUUUAUAUUUCUUCUAGAAGGUUUGUUCUGGAAAUCUUUCACCGAAACAUAUCUUUUUCUUCUCUACGUGAUCCGUGGUUGGAAAGUUAGAAAAAUGGGUCCGUUCACAAGCCACCGAGUUGAAAAGUUGGAAAAAUGGCAACACCGCCAACCUCUUGUAUUCGAUAGUUAAAUAAAAGGUCACUGGAAGUGAGAUCCCUUUUGGCCUCUUGAUUUUCAUCCCAGCAUCUCUAUGUCCUGAUAAACUAAAAAACUAAAAAAAAAACAGUACGUGGGUUGGUGUUAAGCAUCAAGAGUCAAGACAUGAUAAUGGAGAGAAAGGAUAUUCAAAUUCCAGUUCUGACAACAUGAUUUUCUUUCCUGAACAACCAUGUUAUAUUUGAUCAAGAAAGAGUAGUGCAUGUGGCCAGGAUCAAGACAUACAUUAAUUUCCACAUGAUGAAGACAGUUUCUGAGAGUUUCUUCUAAAGCUCUUGCGCUAGUAGGCUUCAAGUCAAAAUUUCCCAUGUAAACACUGGAUUUUCUUUAAUUGCCACUAAGGAUACAGUUAAAAUUGACUUAAAAUCCUACGUGAUAUAUAUCUUUAACAAAAGUAUAUUGUAUAUAAUAUUUGAAAUAAUGUUGAUUCGUUGUGGAAAUAUGUUUGUAAGGAAAGUUGUUGACAAUUUAAUAUAGUAUAAGAAGAAAAAAGUUAUCAACUAGAGAUGAGUAUGUAAAGUGAGGCUCACGAUUCAACGCGUAAAUAUAAGAUAUUUUAAGGCUCAAUAGUUAUGAUAUCUAUUUUAUUUUUUGUAUCCCAUAUAUUCAAAGAUACAGUAAAAUGAUUUUAUAUAUAUGAACAUAGCCGAUAGUAUCAUGUUAAAACCUUAUAUGACUCUUUGUGCCAAUUGAUUUUUAUCUUUAUUUUGUGUAUUAGUAAUUAGUAUUAAAGUUUUUACUAACAUAAUAAUUGAUAUAAAAGCUUUUUCCAAAAGAGUCAAACAGAGCAAAACACUUAUUAUAAAAAGAAUUUUGAUUGAAGGUGGAGUCAAUUAUUCUUUAUUCAACAUGUGAUGCAUACAGCGGGUACUUCAUAACUAAAGUAUAUAAGUGCAACAUCUCUUAUACAUUCUCAUUCAAUCUCGAAAGUGGAAAAUUUUAAAAGAUUAAAUGGUUCAAAUUUUCCGUGCAUAAAGGGGAUCAUGUCACAUAACCAAACCAUGGCAUACCAAAGCCAUGAUAUGGACUAAGAAUUUUGUUAAAAUAAGUUUCUUAUUAGGGCACAUUAUGUGACUAUUUAUGACAUAUCAAAGGAGUCAAGUGCAUCAAUAAAGACAUAGAAAAUUCAUGCAUCACAUGUACCACUAAGAGAAAAUUGACUUGAUAGAGUUUAGUCCAAAUAGGAGAUUGUUAAAAGGUGCAUCAAAUUCUUGAUUGAUAUAUAUUUUUUUUAUUAGAAAGGUUAUUAUAUAGAUAUUUCAAUAGACUAUUAAUCCUUUGUAAAAAUAGUUAUAUAAUGAGGAUGGUGAUUAAAAAUAUCUCUAUCAAUAUUUUGGAUUAUAAAAAGAAAAAAAAUAUGAGAAAAUGAUAAACAUAUAAAACUUGUACAAGUAGAUAGAGAUGUGAUGAAAGACACUUGAUGAAUGGAGGCCUUGUAUUUCAAGAUGUAAAUAUAUGGAGCAAAACUCUUAAUUAUAUGAUCAAAUGAUUCUCUCAUAUUCAUGAACAUAAGCAGGAUUGGGGAACCAUGAUAGAAUCUUAUAUGCCUCUCCAUGUAGAUUGAUCGAUGUUUAUCUUCAUAUUUUACACCAAUGAAUGACAUUGAAACUCUGAUUGAUAAAAGGGAAAAAGCAUGGCCUCCACCACAAGAAAAACAAGUAACCUCGGUCUAAAUCACUAGUCUACACCCCGAAGAGAGAACUAGCCAAACCUACUAAAAGAGAAACUUACCAAUUUAGAAAGAAAUCUUCCAUGAUAAAGGGCCCCUAAAAGUCCAAUUCAGUCAGGUUGUGAACAAAAACACCUUCAUGUCAAAACAGGAAUAGGUACCACCAAAAUGUAAAGGGAAAGAUGUAAACCAAGUCGAACUUUGGUAAACAAUGGUAAAGAUAGCAUGAUAGCUAAAAGCACUAAAGCUGUGCUUGGUAUGCAAAAAUGAAAAGUGGAAAUCAGCGUCUUAUUCUUUUUCUCCUUUAUUCACAUAUUAGGAUAACUAAUAUCUAAUGUUUUUUUUAUGUCUCAAAUUCUAUUCCAUGUUAUGGUAAACUUUCAUCUUGUUUAAGUGGAAGAGUAGGAUCACUUUUGUCUGGUUUGGGCUCAAGACGAUAAGCCUAUAGAGACUUCAUAUUGGGUUGAAUUGAUGCCCUUGAUCCGAUCAGUUCGUUAGAAAAAUCUGAAUUAUUAUAAGCAUUUAGAUAAAAUAAAUAAAUAAAUGUGAAACAGAGACUAUUCUCUGCACAACCUUGACCCUAGUUACUCAGUUUCACUGCUCACGGGACUAACCUCUCCAUUCAGUCGAAAUGAAUUGUAAUUUCUUUACUGGUAGCAGUAGUACUUUUCAUAGCAAAGAUAAUAGUAAAUAUGAAAUAUAAAUAUAUAGAAGGAAAUCUGGAUUGUAGAUAGCACCAUAAGUAACACUCAAUAUUUACUACAUAAUAAAAGAGAUAGUGUUACAAAGGUAGAGAAACCUACAAUGAGUACUCAUCACCAUUCUCAAACAGAAACAUAGCAGUGACUUAUACAUAGAACCUAUAGGCUCGCAGGGAAAGAGUAACAUGAUAAGUGCACAGCGGGUAGCAGCUCUUAUUUUACGUAUUACUCAAAAUCUCAAACUAACCAAAGUCACUCAGUUGGGAUGGGUAGGAGAUGGUGGUUUGUGGGGUGGCUUCUGGGUAGGAGCUGGUGGCUUCUUUGUUGGAGUUGAAGGAGGCGUAAUCUUCUGAGGUGGCUUGUAUGAGUCUUUGGCACUCUCUGCAGGAGGGUGCCCAGGGUUGUGACCGGAAGGAGGUGGCUUCUGUCCCUUUGGUGGUUUGCCUAAUGGGCUUGGUGGCUUGUGCUCCGGGAGUUGUUUCUCUCCCUCGAGUAGGUUUCGAGUUUUGUCAGAUGGCUUGUGUUCUGGUGGUGGCUUCUCUCCCUGGGGUGGUUUGCCGAAUGGGCUUGGUGGCUUGUGUUCGGGGAGUGGCUUCUCUCCCUUGGCAGGUUCAGUUGGUGGCUGGUGCUCCGUAGGUGGUUUCUUCACCGCCGGCUUCUCUCCCUGGAGAAGGUUACGAGUUUUGUCAGAUGGCUUCUGUUCUGGUGGCGGCUUCUCUCCCUGGGGUGGUUUGCCAAAUGGGCUUGGUGGCUUGUGUUCGGGAACUGGCUUCUCUCCCUUGGCAGGUUCAGUUAGUGGCUGGUGUUCCGUAGGUGGUUUCUUCACCGGCGGCUUGUGCUCCGGAAGCGGCUUCUCUACCUGGAGAAGCUUACGAGUUUUGUCAGAUGGCUUGUGUUGUGGUGGUGGCUUCUCUCCCUGGGGUGGUUUGCCAAAUGGACUUGGUGGCUUGUGUUCGGGGAGUGGCUUCUCUCCAUUGGGAGGUUUAGUUGGUGGUUGGUGUUCCGUAGGUGGUUUCUGAAGUGGGGGAUGCUUGGGGUAGUCAGCAAGAGACGAGGUAGUGAGAACCACCAGUCCCAGCAGCAAUACUAGCAAGGAUGUGGAAGACAUCUUUGAGUUCAGGCUGAGAUUUGUGCAAGGCUAGAAGAAUUAGGUGGCCUUUUAUAGCGGGCUGGACCCAACAACCAAAUGACACGUAUCAUGAUACACAUAUGUGUUAUAAGAUCCUUGUGGGUCCUACAGAAGUUGAAAACUUUGACAAUUGAGGUGUGAUUACAACUUUUGUCCCUAUUGCUUUCUCGUCAGCCGUUUUGCAAGAUUUUUGACAGGAGGACGGUAGUUUAAAAUAAUAAUUUCUAAAGUACUUUUGUGAAAAAAAAUAAUUCCAAACGUGGAUUUUAUCAAGUAAAAAAAACAAAAAAAAGUUAUUUUCUUUUAAAAUCUUUUCUUCAUGAUUCAUAUACCAAAAAAAGAAUUGUUUUCUGUAGGUAAAAUUUUUAAAAUUCAUUUUUAAAAAAAAAAAAUUACACACUAAAAUUAUCUCUUCAAGAAAAUAUUUUUUAAAUUUUAAAUAAUUAUUAAUUUAUAAUUAAUUUUUUAUUAAUUAUUUAUUAAAUUUAUAUGUGAAAAAUGCAUUUAUAAAAAACAAAUUUUUUAUUAAUUUAUUAAAUAAUUAUUUACAAAAUAAAUAAUUUUGCUUUAUUUUAAUUUUAAAAUUAAUUUUAUUAUAUAAAUUUUAAAAUUAAAAAUAUUAAUAUUUAAUUUAAAAUUUAACUAUAAAAGGAAUAAAAUAUAGAAAAAUAAAUUAAUUUAUUAUUCAAUAAAUUAAUUUUCAAUAAAAUUUUCAGCAUUAAGAGAUAAAUUUUUAAGUAUUAAUCAAUUUAAAAAAUAAUAAUAAUCAUUUGUAUACUAAGAUAUUUUAUUUAGUAAUUAUGAAUGAUAAACAACUAAAGUAAUUUGAAAAAAUAAUAAAAUAUUUAAAAAUAAUAAUUUAAUACACUUAAAAUUAGAAAUGAUUAACUAUUUUUUAUUAAGAAAAAAUUGAAGAAAUAUUUUGUUAUUUAAAAUUUUUUAUUUGUUUUCAAUUUUAAAUGUUAUAGGUUUCAAGAAAAUUGAUCAAAUAAAAAUUAAGAAGUCAUUUUUUCAAAAACUAUAUAUCUAAAUAAAAGCCUUGAAAUUCAAAUACACAAUAUCAUAAAUAUAAACACCAAGUCAAUCCUUAAUUAUCAAAUGUUUUUAAUAUUAAAGAAUCAAAAUCACCUACUAUCAUGAUAAUAAGAAAACCAAUAAUAUUGUUCAUAUAAAUACUAAAAAGCUAACAAAUAUCCCAAACAAUUAAUAAAGUAUCAAACAUGAUAAAAAGUCAAUUAUUAUCAUGAAUGCAAAAAAUCAAUAAUUUUGUUUAUAUGAACCAUCAACAAAGAAAAAAAAAAUCAAUAUCUAAAUAUUAAACAUAAUUUAUAUUUUUAUAAAUAUUAUUGUUGAUAAAUAUCUUAAUAAUUAUAAUUUUUUAUAUAUUAAAUUUAGUAAAUAAAAUUAAUUAAUUUUAUAAUAUAAGAUAUAUAUAAUAAUUAAGAGACUAUUUGUCCCAAACAAUUUAUUUAUUUUUUUUUUAGGAAAUUGUCUCUUCAAGAGACGACUUCUCCCAACAUUUUUAAAAAAAAAAAAAAAAACAUCUAUUCAAAAGACGAUUUCUCCUCAUUUUUUAAAAAUGAAUUUUAGAAAUCAUAUUUUCAAAAAUGAAUUUUAGAAAUCAUAUUUUCAAAAGACGAUUUUUUUUUAUAUAAAUUAUUUUUUAAAAUGACGAUUUUAAAAGGAAAUAACGAUCUCUCUCCUACUUGGCAAAAACUAUGGUAAAUUUGGAAUUAUUUCUUCCACAACCAUAGUUUAAGAAUUAUUUUUUUAUACUUUCGUAGACUUAUCAAAAAUCCCUAUUUUGCAUGUCUCAUUUGGCAUGACUUUCUUACCUAAACAAGCAUAUAUAUAUAUAUAUAUAUAUAUAUCACUUUUGUCUGGGUUGAGUCAAUGCCCUUAACUAAUUUGUUCAUUUGAAUAGUCUAAAUUAUUAUAAGCUUUUAGUUAAGAAAAAUGUGAAACAUAAAUUACACCUCUCGGCACAACUUCGACACUGGUUACUCUGUUUCAGUUUAUUCACACAAGAUUAUUGGUUCUAGGGUUUAUUUGGUUUUGGUUUGAUUCUAAUUGCUAAACUUUCUCAAGGAAGAUGUUAUAUAGGGAGUGAGAAACCUUCACUCCUGGCUACCUCCAAGAGAAGAGCAAGUGGUCUGAAUCAAAGAUAUACUGCUCACUUUUUCUUCUUCUAAGGACAGCUAUGACCUUGCUUUAAAAUGUUCGAAUAGCCUAAUGCAACCUCCCAUUUCUCAAGUCAGCUGAUGAUGUAAGUCACCUUGGCUUUCCACAUUCAUACGGUGAGGACGUUUGUGGGUGUAAUUCUCUUAACAGUUUUCAUUUUAUAUGGAAAAAUUCAUAAUUAAGGGUAAUUACUGAUUCCAUUUGACAGUGACCAAGUUUAAAAUAUUAACUCAUGUAUUAAAUGCACAUUAAAAAAUCAUGGAAUAAAUAUAUUUACUAAUAUAUAGUUCUUUUGUCAUGUUCUGUCACAGAAGCAUCGAACUUUCCCUAGAAAUUUUUGCAUGGUAUUCUGCUUAUGAUUUUGAAAACUCUAGGCACCUAAGGCCACUGAUUGCAUGGUUGGAUGAGGAGCUGCAUGAGAUUAUGUAUCCUGUUGCUCCUUAACUACAAAUAUCAGUUUUAAGUAGCAUCUCCAUGUGACAUUUUCCUGAUGCAAUUUCGCUGUCCACCAACAAAUGUCUCCAUGCAGCUAGAUGAAUUGUAAUUUCUUUGUUGUUAUCAACAGCUUUAAUUAAUCUUGAUAUAUAUAUAACUUAGUAGAAGUAAUUAAUCUAGAUUGUAGUUGCACUAAGAUAAUAGGCAAUAUUAUAACAGUGCCACAAUGCUCAUCGCCAAAUAGAAAGGUAGAAAAACUACAAUGAGUAACUCACACAACAUUCUCAAACAGGACAUAGCGGCGACUGAUACAUAGAACACUAUUGGCACUCAGGAAAUGAUAAGAUCAGUGCCCAGCAGGCAGCACGUCUUAUUUUACAUACUACUUAAAACUAACCAAAGUCAUUCAGUUGGGAUGGGUGGGAGAUGGUGGUUUGUGCGGUGGCUUCUUUCCUGGAACUGGUGGUUUUUUUGUUGGAGUUGAAGGAGGCUUAAUCGUCUGAGGUGGCUUGUAUGAGUCUUCAGCACUCUCUGCAAGAGGGUGCCCAGGGUUGUGACCAUAAUGAGGUGGCUUCUCUCCCUUAGGUGGUUUGCCAAGUGGGCUGGCUGGCUUGUGCUCCGGGAGCGGCUUCUCUCCCUUAGGUGGUUUGCCAAAUGGGCUUGCUGGCUUGUGCUCUGGGAGCGGCUUCUCUCCCCCAAGAAGUUUGCGGGUUUUGUCAGAUGGCUUGUGUUCUGGUGGUGGCUUCUCUCCUUGGGGUGGUUUGCCAAAUGGACUUGGUGGCUUGUGUUCGGGGAGUGGCUCCUCUCCCUUGGGAGGUUUAGUUGGUGGCUGGUGUUCCGUAGGUGGUUUCUCAACCGGGGGCUGGUGCUCCGUAGGUGGUUUAUGAACUGGGGGAUGCUUGGGGUAGUCAGCAAGAGACGGGGUGGUGAGAACCACCAGUCCCAGCAGCAACACUAGCAAGUAUGUGGAUGACAUCUUUGAGUUCAGGCUGAGAUUUGUGCAAGACUAGAAGAAUUAGGUGGCCUUUUAUAGCUGGCUGCACCCAACACUCACAUGACACGUAUCACGGUGACACAUGUGCUAUGGGAUCCAUUUGGGUCCUACAGAAGUUGAAAACUUUUGACUAUUGAGGUGUGAUCACAACUUUUGUCCCUAUUGCUUUCUCCGCAACCGUUUUACAUGUUUCCUUUGUGGUGUUUAAUAGUGUUUUUUUCCUUAAUUCUAAAUAAACCUUAAUACUUAAUAAUGUUAAAUAUUAGGUUAUUUAUUUUUAUAAUAUUUUAUUUAUAUUAAGUAUUAAAAAGUAAAGAAAAAUCAAUAUAUUUAUUUUUCUAUUUAGAAAAAACUAUAUAUUUUUAAUUUUUUUAUUUAAUAAAAAAUUUAUAAUAAAUCAUGAAAAAAUAGAAAAACAAACAACCUAAAUUUUAAAAAUAAAUUGUUUUUAGUAAAAACCCAAAAAAACAAACACCACCUUAACUAAACAAAUAUAUAUUAUAUUUAGUUAAGAAAGAGUAAAGUGUAUAUGGCUCAAAUCAAGGAAGAGAAACAGAAUAAGUGGAAGACAAUCAAUUGUGAUAAACAGAUAUAUUACAUGCAUGUAGUACUAGUGACUUUAUCAUUUACUUUUAUACAAUAGAUCAUCACACUCUUUCUUCUAAAUAUUUUGGAGGAUAAUGGUACAUGUUGCUUGUUGCCAAGUCAAAAUUGGUGGCAAAAAUCGGCAUGAUACGAAAGGAUUGGUGAAAAGAUUCACAUAGAUGGUGCUUUGUGCAAUGCAGUCUUGCUCUAAUUCAACAGAGUGGACCAUGGUGAUGUAUUUUAAAUUUUAAAUUUUAAAUUAAUGCAUGCUUCAAAGUUUUAACUAGAUGUCACUUCCAUGGAUUUUUGUUCAUUUAAUUGAGAACAGGAUAGGCUAUCAAACUUGAAGUAAUAUAAAAAUCCCUUCAUUACUGUAACUAAUGAAAGAUCAUUAUCUGCGCUUGGUAUUUUGCCAAGGUAUUUGCUGCUCUUUCUAGCCCUAUCUUACAGUUAAGGACAAUGUGAUCUAGUUAACCUUAGAAGCUAUUCCAUGUCAUAUACAAGAGAUCAAGCACAUUAUCUUUGGGCUCAGUUCAAAACUAUAAUAUAUGGGUGGGGUGGGGGCCUAUACCAUUUGCAUAUCACCACUAUUGGUUUAGUUUGGAAGGUUUCUUCUGGAAGAUUGCUUUCUGGAAACAUUUCAAAGAAAUAUAUCUUUUUGUUCUCUUGGUGACGAGCAGCGGCAAUCAAGUCUGUUGACAAACAACCGAGUUGAAAAGUUUGAAAAUUGGUCACAGCCCACGUCCAUGGUUAAGGAAAAGGUCACUGGAAGUGAUCCCUUCUGGGCCUGUUGGAAGCAGGGGAGGUUAACACACCAAGCAACAAAGAACAGAGAUAUGCUGCUACUGAUCUAUAUUUUUUAUUUGAUCAUAAGGCUAAAUUUAUACAGAUUGUGUAACAGAUAUGACCUCAAAAAAAAGCAUCAAAUCAAGCUACUUGUUGAACAAACAACUACCUUCUACAAAAUAACAUCAAAAUUUAACUUAAAAGCAAAAACAUAAAAAUAGCAACAGCAAAAAUAGAAACAUAAAAAUAGCUUCAGCAUUCUAGUAAUCUCGUUGACUUCAAUUGCAUGUGGUUGACGAUUUCAGCCUUUUCCUCAGCAGCUACUAAGGCAUAACUCUCAACACUCCUCCUUGACUUAGGAGGUGCAAACUCCAAGUCUUUCUCAUAGAAACUCAAAUCUUAUUUUAGGAAGAGCUUUAGUCAGAAUAUCUACAUUUUGACUGUCUGUAUUGCAGUAGACUAGUUGUAUAUCUCCUUCUUUCUGUACUUCCCUCAAAAAUUACAAUUUAAUCUUGAAGUGCUUUGUUUUACCAUGAAAAACUGGAUCAUUUGCAAUAGAUAUAGUGGCCUGGUUGUCUACAAACACCUUUGUACUCACUUCUUGCUUCAUAUCCAAAUCUGUCAGCAACUUUCCAAGCCAUAAGGCUUGAUUUACAGCUGUAACAGCAGCAAUAUACUCUGCCUCAGCUGUGGAUUGAGCCACGACUUCUUGCUUCCUUGAACUCCAUGAAAAAACACCAGAACCAAAACUAAAACAAUAGCCUGAAGUACUUCUCAUAUCGUCAACACAACCAGCCCAAUCACUAUCAGAAAAUCCAUGAAAAUUGAAACUUUGAACUUGACUGAACUUAAUGCCAUAAUCCACAGUGCCUUUAACAUUUCUUAUCACACGCUUUGCUGCCUGGAAAUGAAUUUCACUAGCACAAUGCAUGUAUCUCGAAAGUAGACUUACAGCAUGCAUUAUAUCGAGUCUUGUUGCAGUCAAGUACAUUAAGCAUCCAAUCAUGCUUCGAUAAAGUCCUUCAUCUACCUUUUUAGCACCGUCCUCCUUACAGAACUUCUCUUUCUGGUUCAUAGGGGUAGAUGUAGGUUUGCAUUCCUCCAUUUUGAAUUUCUUCAUAAUUUCUUUGGCAUAUUUUUGUUGGCAGAUGAAAAUCUCAUUCUGCUUCUGGUGUACUUCCAUUCCCAAGAAGUAAGACAUCUCAUCUAGGUCUGUCAUCUCAAAAACCUGCUCCAUUUCAGCCUUGAAUUUGUUCACAAACCCUGCAUUACUUCCUGUUACAAGCAAAUCAUCAACAUAUAGAGAAACAAUUAAUAUAUCUUCUUCAAUCUUCUUAAUGUAGAGUGUAAAUUCACUCAAGCUCUUGUGAAAGCCUAAAGUUAGCAGGUGAGUGUCAAUCCUGCUGUACCAAGCUCUAGGGGCUUGUCUUAACCCAUACAAGGCCUUCUUAAGAAGGUAUACUUUUUCUUCUUUUCCUUUGAUAGCAAAACCUUCUGGUUGUUCGACAAAAAUCUCUUCCUCUAAGUAGCCAUUCAAAAAUGCUGACUUCACAUCUAGUUGAUAAAUCUUCCAUUUUCUUUGAGCUACAAGAGCCAACAACAUCCUGAUUGUAUCCAAACGAGCUACUGGUGCAAAGGUUUCCGAAAAGUCAACACCAAACAUUUGUGCAUACCCUUUGACAACCAGCCUUGCUUUAUGUUUGUUUAUAGAACCAUCAGAGUUGAGUUUGGUUCUGUAAACCCACUUAACCCCAAUAGGUUUUUUGUGUGAAGGUCUAUCUACUAGCUCCCAAGUGUUGUUCUUGUCAAUCAUAUCUAGCUCCUCCUGCAUUGCAACCCUCCAUCUUUUAUUUUCAGCAGCUUCAACAAACCCUGCAAGUUCAAGAACAGCUAUAUUACACCUUUGAUAAAUAUCAAAAAGUGUCAUGAAACCUCUAACUGGAAGUUCAUCAACAUCUUCAUCAAUAUAUUGCUGAUUCUGCUCAUCCCAACUCCAUUUCUCCGUUUCCAAAAACUUAACAUCUCUACUUACCACAAUUUUACUAUUUUGUGGCAAGUAGAUUCUGUAAGCUUUUGAGGUGCUGUUGUAUCCAAUGAAAAUUCCUGGUUCUGACUUUUUAUCUAGCUUGUCUCUUUUCACCUGAGGAACAUAAGAGAAACACAAGCAACCAAAGGUCUUUAAAUUCAUUAGCAUAGGCUUAUAAGCAAACCAGGCCUCAAAAGGUGUCUGUUUCUGCAAUGCUUUUGUUGGUAGUCUAUUUAGCAAAAAUACUACUGUAUUUGCAGCUUCAACCCAAAAACUUUUUGGCAGCUCUUUCUCAUGCAAAAGACAUCUUGUCAUUGAUUACUACUCAAAAAGUGCUAUUUGAUAGCCUUUAAUUAAUCCUUUUUAACACUUUUGAGUAGUAGUUUAGGCCUUUUAACUCAAUUGGCAUGUUAAGGAUCCUUUAAAGCAAUUUUGAUCACUUUGUGCAAGUUUUGGUGUUUUUGUUAGUAUUUCGAUCACCAAAGCAAGUCAAGAAUGAGGAGAGCUAUGAGGAAUCUUGGGCAAAGCUUAGAAUUCAAUUGCCAAGAGUGAAUCCGGAUUGCAAGGAGAAAAAGCAAAGAGGAUCAGUCAUGGAGCAUAUUCUUGAUGACAGUCGUAGCAGCCACUUUUGGAUCACUUUCUGAAGUCCAAAUGAUGCAAGCUAUAUACCAUUUCAAAGCUCAGGAAGUCAACAAUCCAAUGCUUCAAACGGUGUGCGAUUCGGAAUUGAAACGAAGAAGUUGCAGCCAUUACAAGCCAGACACUCUAAAGUGUUGCGGAAUCAGCCAUGUGUUGCGAGAAUUUCGCAGCACUUUUGUACAGUAAGGUGUUUCUCCUUCUAACGAUGCACGAACCAUGCCGCGAGAAGGGAGCUGGAAACUUCAAGAUGGAAGCCAACUUUGCAGCCUAGUGAAGAUAGCUCGGUCUUGCAAGAUAAUUUCGCAGCCCUCUUGGGUGUCUGCGAAAUUUCGCAGGCCUCAUUUUUCACCUGCGAAAUGGCUCUUGAAGCCUCCCGAAGCUUGCUACCGACAUUGGGAGAUAUUUUCCAUUAGAUUUUUGUUGUCUAAAUCCCAAAAUACUCCUUGUAAACCACCAAUUACAUGAUUCCUUAGUUUUUAAGUUAGUAAAAAGACCAAAUAUCUUUGUAACAAUUAGUUUUAUAUUUUGUUGUUAUAAAUACCUCUCGGGAGCCUGUUCUCAGGGAGGAGUUCCUUCUGUAAACGUUUGGUAAGCAAGUAAAGUCUAUUUUCUUUCUACUGCCUUACCUUCUCACUUUGUAUUUUCAUUUUAUUUCUAAGUUAUGAAUUCUCUGAGGAGUUUUCCCCAAAGAAUGAGUAACUAAACCUCCAAUUCCUUGGAGCUAAGGUUGCCGGGGAAGGUUCCAAGUGCAAGAAUGCAAAGCUCUGUGGUUUUAGCUAGUAAUGAAGAGGAAGUGAAAUCCUUUAGUGAUUUCAAUGUUUUUAGUUAACUUAAAACACUUUGGAGUCACCUGGGCCAACACUUGGUAAGGCAAGUGAUUUCCAACCAUGGAAAUGCACUAGUUUACCCCUUGCGAGCCUCUGGUAGGUGACUUCAAGGUAGGAUUUUCUGGAAUUACCAACACUUGGUAAGCUUUUGGACUCCUAGGAGACAUCCAUUAGUUAUCUCUUGCGAGUUUGUGAAGGGAAUCCAAGGUUAAAGAUCACCUUGAAUGGUAAGUGCUCGUGAGAGGCAUGAACCAUUGCAAGUUGUAUCAGUGAGAGAAUUAAAGUGAAAUCUAAUUGAAGGAGUCUUUGUACAUCACCGGUUAGAGAAUUGACUAUAAGUUGAAUCUCUAAUGCGAGGAAAUGAACCAACUGACCAGAGCCGUGUCUUUUGCAUGAGGAACCACCCCAGUGAACCUAAAUCUCCAAGGAAUGUUUUUUUCUUCCUAAAUUAUUCCAAACUUCUGUUAAGUUAGUUAGUUUAAAUCUCAACCUUUACAAAUCAAAGUUUGUGUUUUAUUCCUUAAGCUAACCGUGAAAUGAAACAAGACCAAUUCACUUGGAAUUGGUAUCAUUGAUUGCCUGCAAAUCAUUCCCAGUGAACGAUCCUAGAGCCACUAUACUAUAGUAGCUUUGUAUUUGCUACCCUAGUGUAUGGUGUUAUAGGUAUAAAUUUUGUUGAUCACUUCCUCAAUCAAGGAGCACCAGCUGAACACAAAUCAGCUGAGACACCAAUUAGGCAUGAGUCAAAUGGCGCCGUUGCCGGGGAAUGAAUGUCAAGUUCAUUGUGAUACCAUUGUUGAGCACUUGUGAUUUUCAUCACAAGUUGGUAAAGUUUCUUUCACUUUACUAAUUUUCAUUCUUUCUUUGUUUAUUUACAAUCUAAGUUUAUCUUUUUAAAUUUUAGUCUAGUUUAAUUUUGUUGUUGUAGCCCUGUUUUUCUUGUUGUCCUCUGUUUUCAUUUUUUUUUUCAGGUAGAUACUAGUUGUGUAUGCCCAAGUGGAUACGAGACAUAGGAGGUAGGCUUGUUAAGUGUGAUACACCUCAGAAAGGAGAAUUUGAAGUAAUCUUGAAUAUCAUGGAGGCUGCACCUGAAGAUCAGCAUAGUCACCAAGGUCGUCAAGACAAUCUCAAUGAAUUCAGAUCAAUGAGGGACCGUAUGCAUCCACCUCGUAUGAGUACACCAUCAUGUAUAGUGCCCCCUACAGAGCAGCUAGUGAUCAGACCAUAUCUUGUUCCACUUCUACCAACUUUCCAUGGGAUGGAAAGUGAGAAUCCGUAUGCACACAUCAAGGAAUUUGAAGAUGUUUGUAAUACAUUCCAAGAAGGAGGAGCUUCAAUUGACUUGAUGAGGCUUAAGUUAUUUCCUUUUACUUUAAAGGAUAAGGCCAAAAUUUGGCUUAAUUCUUUAAGGCCAAGGAGUAUCCGCUCUUGGACUGAUUUACAAGCUGAGUUCCUUAAGAAAUUUUUUCCUACUCAUAGAACAAAUGGCUUGAAAAGGCAAAUUUCAAACUUCUCAGCUAAAGAGAAUGAGAAAUUCUAUGAGUGUUGGGAAAGAUACAUGGAAGCUAUAAAUGCUUGUCCUCACCAUGGCUUUGAUACUUGGCUAUUGGUGAGCUAUUUUUAUGAUGGUAUGUCCUCCUCAAUGAAGCAACUCCUCGAGACAAUGUGUGGAGGAGAUUUCAUGAGCAAAAAUCCAGAGGAAGCUAUGGAUUUCUUGAGCUAUGUAGCUGAUGUUUCAAGGGGAUGGGAUGAACCAACUAAAGGAGAAGUGGGAAAGAUGAAGUCUCAGUUGAAUGCUUACAAUGCAAAGGCUGGGAUGUAUAAUUUGAAAGAAGAUGAUGACAUGAAAGCAAAGUUGGCAGCUAUGACAAGAAGAUUGGAGGAGCUGGAGCUGAAAAGAAUGCAUGAAGUGCAAGCUGUUGCUGAAGCACCAGUGCAAGUGAAGCUGUGUCCCAAUUGUCAAUCAUUUGAACAUUUGGUGGAGGAGUGCCCUGCAAUUUCAGUUGAAAGGGAAAUGUAUAGAGAUCAAGCAAAUGUUGUUGGACAAUUUAGGCCCAAUAACAAUGCUCCUUAUGGAAAUACCUACAAUUCAAGUUGGAGGAAUCAUCCAAAUUUCUCAUAGAAGGCCAGAGCAACUCAAUACCAACAGCCGGAUCCACCAUCUCAGCAAUCUUCAAGUAUUGAACAAAUAAUAGCCAAUCUCAGCAAGGUAGUGGGAGAUUUUGUGGGAAAGCAAGAAGCCACCAAUGCUCGAGUUGAUCAAAGAAUGGAUAGAAUGGAGAGUGUGUUGAACAAAAGAAUGGAUGGAAUGCAAAAUGAUAUGAACCAAAAGUUUGAUAACAUCCAAUAUUCAAUUUCAAGGCUUACAAAUUUGAAUACACUGCAAGAAAAAGGAAGAUUUCCUUCUCAACCUAACCAAAAUCCCAAAGGUGUCCAUGAAGUGGAAAGCCAUGAGGGAGAAUCAUCACAGGUGAAAGAUGUGAAAGCUUUGAUCACUCUAAGGAGUGGUAAGAAAAUUGAGCAGCCAACACCCAUGCCACAUGUUGAGAAAGAAGAAGGGAUAAAGAAAGGAAAGGAAAUAGAAGAUAAAGACAGUGAGAUCAGUGAAGAAAAGAAGGACUCUGAUUCAACAAUCAAAGCAAUUCCAGAGAAAGAGCUUCUGAAGGAAGAAAUGCUGAAGAAAUCAACUUUUCCACCUUUUCCUCAAGCAUUACAGGGGAAAAAGGGGGUUAGAAAUGCAGCUGAAAUCCUUGAAGUCUUAAGACAAGUAAAAGUUAAUAUUCCACUGCUGGAUAUGAUCAAACAAGUUCCAACGUAUGCAAAAUUCCUAAAGGACUUGUGUACUAUCAAAAGAGGGGUUGACUGUAAACAAGAAAGCCUUCUUGACUGAGCAAGUAAGUGCAAUCUUACAAUGCAAGUCUCCUUUGAAGUACAAAGACCCUGGAAGUCCUACCAUUUCAGUCAUGAUUGGAGGAAAGGUAGUGGAGAAAGCCUUGCUAGACUUGGGAGCAAGUGUGAAUUUGCUUCCAUACUCUGUCUACAAGCAACUGGGACUUGGAGAGUUGAAGCCAACAGCAAUCACUUUAUCUUUGGCAGAUAGAUCAGUGAAAAUUCCAAGAGGAGUAAUUGAGGAUGUAUUGGUUCAAGUGGAUAAUUUCUACUAUCCAGUAGAUUUUGUUGUUCUUGAUACUGAUCCAACUGUAAAGGAAGCUAAUUUAGUUCCUAUCAUCCUUGGAAGGCCAUUUCUUGCAACUUCAAAUGCAAUCAUCAACUGUAGAAAUGGGCUUAUGCAACUCACUUUUGGUAACAUGACACUGGAUCUCAAUAUUUUCUAUAUGUCUAAAAAGCAAAUCACUCCUGAGGAAGAAGAAGGUCCAGAAGAGCUAUGUAUUAUUGAUACUUUGGUGGAGGAGCACUGCAAUCAGCAUAUGCAAGAUAAGUUGAAUGAAAGUCUUGUGGAUAUUGAGGAAGGUUUUUCUGAAUCUCCUAUUGGGCUUGCUACUCUACAAAGUUGGAGAAAGAUAGAAGGAAUUCUACCUUUGUUCAAUGAAAAAGAGGAGGCAACUGUUGAAGAAGAAAUUCCAAAACUCAAUUUGAAGCCUUUACCUGUGGAGCUGAAAUAUACAUAUCUUGAAGCAAAUAAUCAAUGUCCUGUUGUGAUAUCCUCAUCUCUGACCAGUCAUCAAGAGAAUUGUUUAAUGGAAGUUCUCAUGAGGUGUAAGAAGGCAAUAGGAUGGCAAAUAUCUGACUUGAAAGGCAUUAGUCCUUUAGUUUGUACUCAUCAUAUAUAUAUGGAGGAGGAAGCAAAGCCAAUUCGUCAAUUUCAAAGAAGGUUGAAUCCUCAUCUACAAGAGGUGGUGCGAGCUGAGGUGCUGAAGCUACUUCAAGCAGGAAUCAUUUACCCUAUUUCUGAUAGCCCUUGGGUGAGUCCUACUCAAGUGGUACCAAAGAAGUCAGGGAUCACAGUGAUUCAAAAUGAAAAAGGGGAAGAAAUUACUACACGCCUCACUUCAGGUUGGAGGGUGUGUAUUGAUUAUAGAAAGCUGAAUGCUGUCACCAGGAAGGAUCAUUUUCCAUUGCCAUUUAUUGAUCAAGUGCUGGAGAGAGUCUCUGGACAUCCAUUUUAUUGUUUCUUGGAUGGGUAUUCAGGCUAUUUUCAAAUUGAAAUUGAUUUGGCAGAUCAGGAAAAGACCACUUUUACAUGUCCAUUUGGAACAUUUGCUUAUAGAAGAAUGCCUUUUGGUUUAUGCAAUGCACCUGCUACAUUUCAAAGAUGUAUGUUGAGUAUUUUCAGUGAUAUGGUGGAGAGAAUUAUGGAGGUUUUCAUGGAUGACAUCACCGUAUAUGGAGGUACAUUUGAGGAGUGCUUGGUUAAUUUGGAAGCAGUUCUUCAUAGAUGCAUUGAAAAAGAUUUGGUGCUGAACUGGGAGAAAUGCCAUUUUAUGGUACGUCAAGGAAUUGUCCUUGGCCAUAUCAUCUCUGAAAGAGGCAUUGAAGUUGAUAAAGCAAAGGUGGAGCUUAUUGCCAAAUUACCAUCUCCAACAACUGUGAAAGGAGUAAGACAGUUCCUUGGCCAUGCAGGGUUCUAUAGGAGGUUUAUAAAAGGUUUUUCAAGUCUUUCAAAACCUCUUUGUGAGCUGUUAGCUAAGGAUGCUAAGUUUAUAUGGGAUGAAAGGUGUCAGCAUAGCUUUGAUCAACUGAAGAAGUUUUUAACAACAACUCCAAUAGUGAGAGCCCCUAACUGGCAAUUACCUUUUGAACUGAUGUGUGAUGCCAGUGACUUUGCUAUAGGAGCUGUGCUUGGCCAAAGAGAAGAUGGGAAGCCCUAUGUGAUUUACUAUGCAAGUAAAACACUAAAUGAAGCUCAGAGGAACUACACAACUACAGAGAAAGAAUUGUUAGCUGUGGUAUUUGCUUUGGACAAAUUUCGAGCUUAUUUAGUGGGGUCUUUCAUCAUUGUCUUCACUGACCAUUCAGCCUUGAAGUAUUUAUUGACAAAGCAAGAUGCAAAAGCAAGGUUGAUUAGAUGGAUUCUAUUGUUACAAGAGUUCGAUCUUCAAAUCAAAGAUAAGAAAGGAGUGGAGAAUGUAGUAGCUGACCACUUGUCAAGGUUAGUUAUAGCACAUAAUUCCCAUCCCUUGCCUAUCAAUGAUGAUUUUCCUGAAGAAUCACUCAUGUUCCUAGUGAAAACUCCUUGGUAUGCUCAUAUUGCUAAUUAUUUAGUAACUGGGGAAAUUCCAAGUGAGUGGAAUGCACAGGACAGGAAGCACUUCUUUGCCAAAAUUCAUGCUUAUUAUUGGGAAGAGCCCUUUCUCUUUAAGUAUUGUGCAGAUCAGAUUAUUAGGAAGUGUGUCCCUGAAGAUGAGCAGCAAGGGAUUCUAUCUCAGUGUCAUGAGAAUGCAUGUGGAGGCCACUUUGCCUCUCAGAAAACAGCCAUGAAGGUAUUACAAUCAGGGUUUACUUGGCCAUCUCUUUUCAAAGAUGCCCACAUCAUGUGUAGAAAUUGUGAUAGAUGCCAAAGGCUUGGAAAGCUAACAAAAAGAAAUCAAAUGCCUAUGAACCCCAUUCUGAUAGUUGAGAUAUUUGAUGUUUAGGGCAUUGACUUCAUGGGACCUUUCCCAAUGUCUUUUGGUAAUUCUUACAUUUUGGUGGGGGUAAAUUAUGUUUCUAAAUGGGUUGAGGCAAUCCCCUGUAAGCAAAAUGAUCACAGGGUGGUUCUCAAGUUUCUUAAAGAGAACAUUUUCUCAAGAUUUGGGGUGCCCAAGGCCAUAAUCAGUGAUGGAGGAGCUCAUUUUUGCAACAAACCUUUUGAAGCUCUGUUAUCCAAGUAUGGAGUGAAGCAUAAGGUAGCCACACCUUAUCAUCCUCAGACAUCCGGGCAAGUUGAGCUAGCUAACAGGGAAAUAAAGAACAUUUUGAUGAAAGUGGUGAAUUCCAACAGAAAAGAUUGGUCUAUUAGGCUUCAUGAUUCAUUGUGGGCAUAUAGAACAGCUUAUAAAACUAUUCUUGGGAUGUCUCCCUAUCGUCUUGUCUAUGGCAAAGCAUGCCAUCUCCCUGUGGAAGUUGAAUACAAAGCUUGGUGGGCAAUAAAGAAGCUGAAUAUGGACUUGAUCAAGGCCGGAGAAAAGAGAUUUCUAGACCUUAAUGAGAUGGAGGAAUUAAGAAAUAAUGCUUAUAUCAAUUCCAAAGUUGCAAAACAGAGGAUGAAGAAGUGGCAUGAUCAACUCAUCUCCAACAAGGAAUUUCAGGAAGGGCAAAAAGUUUUGAUGUAUGACACAAGACUCCAUAUCUUUCCUGGGAAGCUCAAAUCAAGGUGGAUUGGUCCAUUUGUUAUUCACCGAGUAUAUUCCAAUGGAGUGGUGGACUUAUUGAAUUCCAAUGGCAAGGAUAGCUUUAAAGUCAAUGGAUAUCGUCUCAAGCCGUUCAUGGAGUCAUUCAAAUCAGAAAAGGAGGCAAUCAACCUCCUUGAACCUCAAAAAGCCUAAGUGAAAAGGGUUUGCUGGACGUGGCUUUACCACAGUCCAAAAUUUUUGUAAAUUUUGUAAAUUUUCAAGUUGUUUCUAUACUUUUGAUUUUAGUUUUUGAUCUUAAAUCAUGUUUUUAGGUGUGUUUUAAUCGUUUUAAAUGAUCCCAGGUGGAAGAAAUUUCAAGGGGAUUGAAAGAAAAAAAAUCGGGUCGAAAUUGGAGCCGAAACAGAGCAAAAACAGGGGAAAAACAGAGCUCUGCGAAAUUUCGCAGGGUGAAGGAAACCUCUGCGAAAUGAGCAUUUUGUUGCGAAACCAUUCCGCAGCACUGUAGAAGCCUCUGCGAGUGUAUUUCGCAGCUGCGAAAGUGAAUUUGGCACACGAGUGCCACUUCGCAGUACAGUAGCAUCCAUUUGGCAGCUGCGAAACUCAUUGCGAAAUGGAAAAGCGUGAUUUCGCACCAAAAGUCCCAUUCCGCAGGGUAUUUCGCAAUUGCGAAAGUGGUUUUGGCACACGAGUGCCACUCCGCAGCACAGUAACAUCAAUUUCGCAGCUGCGAAACUCACUGCGAAGUUGCUGCGAAAAUGGCAAGUUGCUGCGAAAUUGGCGUUUAGUUGCGAAACUUAAACUGACCCCUGAGCUUCCGUUUUUCCUAUUUAUACCGGUCAAAAGUGCUGCGAAAAGGGUUUCAAAAAUCAGAGCACCAUUCUCGCAGCCCCUUCAUCUUCUUCGCCAAGCCACGCCGUCCGAACCUCCGGUCGUCUUCUCCGUUUAGCAGCGCCGGCCAAAGAUCGAUAUUCCAAAAUGGCACGAACGCGAGGGGCAAAAUCUUCAUCCCCUUCGAAUCGCAAAAGGAGUCUGCGAAAGGAGCCAAGUCCAGGUUCUGCUCCAGAACCUGCUCCAAAGCCUUCGCCGUCGAGACCACAACCUUCUCCAGUGAAGCCGGCGCCACUAAAGCCGCCGGCAAGACGAUAUUUGACAAGGUCAGGCGGUUGGCCAUUGAAGAAGAAGCCCAGGGUUGAGAGCUCUGAACCAAUUGAUUUGACUGAGCAAUCCCCUGAGCAGUCCCCAAAUCCUUCACCAGUUCAAACUCCAGUGCCGUCACCGGUUCCCUCGCCAAUUCCCUCACCUGAAGCAACUCCAAUUCCAUCGUCGGUACCAUCUCCGGCACCCCAAGAAAAAGCUCAGGAGCCUCAAGCGCCAAUUCCAGAGCCCCAAAUUGCAGCUGAAGCACCUCUGGAAGAAGUGAUCCGAAGGCCAAUGCUGCCCCAGCCCCCAAUCGAAGGAAACUUGGAUUGUCGAACACGGGCAUUCCAUUCUGAGCUUUGCUUCGAUUUAACAGCAUUCAGAGUGAGGCCAGAGCUUGCCCAAUCCUUCCAGCUGCUGAGGAGAUAUCAUAUGGAGCAUCUGCUAGCUCCAAGGGAUUUUUUCUAUCCCCGGGUAGUCACGGACUUCUACCAGACCAUGACAACCAAAGAAGUAAGAAAUCCAACUCUGAUCCAUUUCAUAAUUGAUGGAAGGCAUGGUAUUUUGGGAGCAAGACACAUUGCUGAAGCUCUGCAAAUUCCUUUUGAGCCAACCCAAUUCGACAAUUUUAAAGCUUGGGUAAAUCCUACUGAGUUAGAGAUGGUUCGCACACUAACCAGAGGAGCUGCAAAUCGAUCACACCUGUUGAGGGGGGAGCUACCUCCAGUGAUGUUUUUGAUUGAUGCCUUUUUGAGGCAUAAUAUCUAUCCCCUGCAGCAUUGGACCCAAAGAAGGGGAAUUCUCCUGGAAGCUUUGUACAAGAUGUCAGAAGGAUUCUUCUUUGGGCCCCAUCAUCUUAUCAUGGCAGCCCUUCUAUACUUUGAGGAAAAGGUUCACAAGAAGAAACUUCAAAGAGCAGAUUGCAUUCCACUCCUCUUCCCAAGGCUGCUAUGCCAAGUUUUGGAGCAUCUCGGAUACCCCUCUGAGCCUCAGCAGGAAAGAAAGAGAAUAUGCCGUGAGCCAUUUACUCUUGAUAAAUGGAAUAAUAUGACGGCCUACAAAAUUGAUCAGCCUGGGCAGCCUCAGCCAGCAGCAAGGAGAGCCUCCCCAAGACAUGCACCUGAAGGUAUAACACUUGCUACUCCUGCCAUCCCUCGAGCUUCACCAGCUGCACCUGCUGCAUCACAGCCAUCCACAUCAGCUGAGCCGAGGAUGGCCAUCCCUAUAUCCGAAUAUCGAGAGCUGUGCCGAGCAUUGGAGACUCUUACAGCUUCCCAGAGCAAUCUUGCUCAAGAGUUGGCAGCCAUCAAAGCAUGCCAGGAGCAGAUGUUAGCCUCUCAGGCUCAACAAGCUGCCAUCCUAAGGCAGCUUCAAGUCCAUUUCGAUCUGCCACAAGCUGUAGAGCCCUCCACUGAGACUCCACCAGAGCCACACUCUCAGCCUUCAGAGUCUCUUCCUCCAGAGCCAGAAGCCCCAACUGAUCCACCUACAGAGGAGGCGGAUCCUUCUGCUUAGCACCAUCACCCCACUCAUCAGACAUUAUAUAUAUUUGCUGUUUAUGUUUUUAUGCAUGUUUGUUUUGUUUUAGUUGAAAUGAAAUCCCAGUAUUUUGGUACUAUAUAUGGGAUUCCUUGUGAUUACUUGUCCUUAGCAUUGUACUCGAAUGAAUUGAAAGUAAUACAAGUUGAAUUUUUCUUGUUAAAAGUUAGCAUUAAAAUUCUCCUUAUUUCCUUUUCUCACAUAUUCUAUUCUUUUUGAAACAUGUGGUUUUCCCCAAUCAAUAUUCGAAUUUGAUAUCAGCAUGGAGGUACCACUUCCUCCCUUUUAUUACAGUCACUCAAAUCACAUUGAGGACAAUGCUCAGUUCGGUUGGGGGGUAUGAGGAAGGAAGUAUUCUAAAUCUUUUUGGUAUUGCAAUUAUAUUGGUUAAUUAGUUGUAGAUUUUACGUUUUACUCUUGUUACUCUAUUCUCCAUGAAUUUUGAGGAAAAAUUUUCAAAUUAAACCAAGAGAAAUUGAACUGUUGUUUUUCACUUGACUUAGAGUAUGGAUUAUGCUUACUAAAGUGGUUCAAUUGUUGAAACUUCUACUGAAAUUGAAUUGAGUUCUUCCAUUUUAAGCUAUCCACACACUGUGCACAUUAGUUUCUGAUUAUAAGAUGAAAAGCUAUUUCCCUCUUGACUUAGGAUAAUUUUGGGACUUGGUAUAUUUGACCUCAUUUGAUAAAAAUUGAAACACCCUGCAAAAGGCCAAUGAGCCUUUGAAAUAAAGAAAGAUGUUUGCUUGCCUUGAAACCCGAGCAAGGUCUGAGGGGCAUAUGGUGAAAGCCUUUAAAGCCUGGUGCCCUAAGCCUUAAUUGGUUGGGAGUCACCGACCUCAAUGCUCGUUACAAGGGUGAAUAGGUAGAGCUAGCAUAUGGUAGAUGCUUGGGUAUUAGAAAUUCAUUCUUAAAAGUCCAGGGAAAAAUCCGAGGAGUUAGUGGUUGAAAGAUCCUUAAAACUUGGUGCCCUAAACCUUAAUUGGUUGGGAGUCAUCGAUGGACCCCCAUUACAUGGACAAGUCAGAAAGAGUACCCCAUAAAGCUACUUUAAAAAAAAAAAAAAAAAAAAAAAAAAGAUGAUGAAAGUGUGUUCUUUUCUUAUUGAUUUUGGUCAGAUUGCUAAAGUGUUGAAAAGAGAUAGGUUGGGGGGGGAGACUAGUUUAGCAUAUUAUUCUCGGAAUCUAAGGAACCAAUACACAUAGAUUUUUGUGGAAGAUUGAAGUUUAGUUCUUAGAAAGUGAAAUGAUUUUAAAACUUCAGUUUGCAUAAUGCACUCCCUUGAUUGACAGUGUUUAGCAUAGGUGUUAUGACUCUUGUUGAGAUUUGGGUUUGUAUUUCUUUAAUGAUUCAUGUGAGAAGUAAAUCAUCAUGCCACUUAAGAAUUAUUUUCCUUUCAGCAUGAUGUUGUAAAUUUUAGAUUAGUUUGCUAUUUAUUUUUAUUUUUCUCUCCUUUAUUGCUAAGGGACUAGCAAUAUGUCGGUUGGGGGGAGUGAUUACUACUCAAAAAGUGCUAUUUGAUAGCCUUUAAUUAAUCCUUUUUAACACUUUUGAGUAGUAGUUUAGGCCUUUUAACUCAAUUGGCAUGUUAAGGAUCCUUUAAAGCAAUUUUGAUCACUUUGUGCAAGUUUUGGUGUUUUUGUUAGUAUUUCGAUCACCAAAGCAAGUCAAGAAUGAGGAGAGCUAUGAGGAAUCUUGGGCAAAGCUUAGAAUUCAAUUGCCAAGAGUGAAUCCGGAUUGCAAGGAGAAAAAGCAAAGAGGAUCAGUCAUGGAGCAUAUUCUUGAUGACAGUCGUAGCAGCCACUUUUGGAGCACUUUCUGAAGUCCAAAUGAUGCAAGCUAUAUACCAUUUCAAAGCUCAGGAAGUCAACAAUCCAAUGCUUCAAACGGUGUGCGAUUCGGAAUUGAAACGAAGAAGUUGCAGCCAUUACAAGCCAGACACUCUAAAGUGUUGCGGAAUCAGCCAUGUGUUGCGAGAAUUUCGCAGCACUUUUGUACAGUAAGGUGUUUCUCCUUCUAACGAUGCACGAACCAUGCCGCGAGAAGGGAGCUGGAAACUUCAAGAUGGAAGCCAACUUGGCAGCCUAGUGAAGAUAGCUCGGUCUUGCAAGAUAAUUUCGCAGCCCUCUUGGGUGUCUGCGAAAUUUCGCAGGCCUCAUUUUUCACCUGCGAAAUGGCUCCUGAAGCCUCCCGAAGCUUGCUACCGACAUUGGGAGAUAUUUUCCAUUAGAUUUUUGUUGUCUAAAUCCCAAAAUACUCCUUGUAAACCACCAAUUACAUGAUUCCUUAGUUUUUAAGUUAGUAAAAAGACCAAAUAUCUUUGUAACAAUUAGUUUUAUAUUUUGUUGUUAUAAAUACCUCUCGGGAGCCUGUUCUCAGGGAGGAGUUCCUUCUGUAAACGUUUGGUAAGCAAGUAAAGUCUAUUUUCUUUCUACUGCCUUACCUUCUCACUUUGUAUUUUCAUUUUAUUUCUAAGUUAUGAAUUCUCUGAGGAGUUUUCCCCAAAGAAUGAGUAACUAAACCUCCAAUUCCUUGGAGCUAAGGUUGCCGGGGAAGGUUCCAAGUGCAAGAAUGCAAAGCUCUGUGGUUUUAGCUAGUAAUGAAGAGGAAGUGAAAUCCUUUAGUGAUUUCAAUGUUUUUAGUUAACUUAAAACACUUUGGAGUCACCUGGGCCAACACUUGGUAAGGCAAGUGAUUUCCAACCAUGGAAAUGCACUAGUUUACCCCUUGCGAGCCUCUGGUAGGUGACUUCAAGGUAGGAUUUUCUGGAAUUACCAACACUUGGUAAGCUUUUGGACUCCUAGGAGACAUCCAUUAGUUAUCUCUUGCGAGUUUGUGAAGGGAAUCCAAGGUUAAAGAUCACCUUGAAUGGUAAGUGCUCGUGAGAGGCAUGAACCAUUGCAAGUUGUAUCAGUGAGAGAAUUAAAGUGAAAUCUAAUUGAAGGAGUCUUUGUACAUCACCGGUUAGAGAAUUGACUAUAAGUUGAAUCUCUAAUGCGAGGAAAUGAACCAACUGACCAGAGCCGUGUCUUUUGCAUGAGGAACCACCCCAGUGAACCUAAAUCUCCAAGGAAUGUUUUUUUCUUCCUAAAUUAUUCCAAACUUCUGUUAAGUUAGUUAGUUUAAAUCUCAACCUUUACAAAUCAAAGUUUGUGUUUUAUUCCUUAAGCUAACCGUGAAAUGAAACAAGACCAAUUCACUUGGAAUUGGUAUCAUUGAUUGCCUGCAAAUCAUUCCCAAUGAACGAUCCUAGAGCCACUAUACUAUAGUAGCUUUGUAUUUACUACCCUAGUGUAUGGUGUUAUAGGUAUAAAUUUUGUUGAUCACUUCCUCAAUCAAGGAGCACCAGCUGAACACAAAUCAGCUGAGACACCAAUUAGGCAUGAGUCAGUCAUCUCCAUUAUUGUUUUAUUUUUUCUUUCCACCACCCCAUUUUGUUGUGGGGUGUAUGGUGCAAUGAGCUGGUGAUCUAUGCCUGCAUCUUCACAAAAUUUGUUGAAUUUUUCUGAAGUAUAUUCUGUACCAUUAUUCGACCUUAUAACCUUGAUUCUGUAUUCACUUUGAUUUUCAACCAUGGCCUUAUAUCUCAAAAACACAUCAGCAACCUCAGCUUUGUAAGUGAGAAAAUAAAUCCAACAAAAUCUUGUGAAGUCAUCAAUAAAUGCAAUAUAGUACUUACUCCCUUUCAAAGAUGGUGUCUUUUGAGGUCCACUCACAUCUGUGUGAACCAAUUGUAGUUUCUGUGUUGAUUUCCAUGCUGCUUUUUGAGGAAAAGGAAGUCUUGUUUGCUUCCCAUAUUGAUAGGCUGCACAUAUAGGAAGUUCUUCUUCCAAAUCAGGGAGUCCUUCUACAAUCUAAUUCUUCUUCAUGUAGAGCACGGUAUUGUGGUGGAAAUGCCCUAAUCUUUUAUGCCAAAGCAUUGUAUUGUUCUCGUGUUGUGCAGCAGUAAUUUGCUCAUCUUCUAACAUAUUUAAGGCAAAACUUUUGCCUUUCAUUUUUAUGUUGAACACCUCUUUGCCUUCAGCAUCCUUGAUUAUGCAAUUUUUGUCUUCAAAACAAACUUUAAACCCUUUCUCAACAAGCUGUCCAACACUUAGCAAAUUUUGGUCAAUGUCAGGCACAAACAAAACAUCAGAAAUGAGCUUUAAACCUGUUAGGCUUUCAAUAGCUAAUGUUCUUUUACCUUUUACUGGAAUAUACUCACCAUUUCCUAUUCUAACUUUGGAAAUAGUUGUCCUAUCAAUCUCCCUAAAGCGAUCUUGAUCAUGUCAUGUGGUUUGUGCAACCACUGUCCACGAGCCAGCUUUCAGAGGUGCUACCGUUUGCAAAACAUGUUGCUGAAAAUAGUUGUUCCUCCUGGUAUUGUUCAGCUGCUACAUUGGUUUCUCCCUGCUGCUGCUGAGUUCUACAGAUCCUUUCUAUGUGUCCAUGUCUACCACAUUUGUUGCAUUUCACAUCUGGUCUCCACCAACAUUUUUGUUGAGGAUGAUUUGUUUUCUUGCAAUGAGGACAGGGUGGAUAGGUUCCAGUUUUUUUAUUGUUGUUGUUGCUUGGCUUAUUGUUGUUCUUUUUGUUCUUCCUCCUUCUUGUGUUACCUUCAUUGGUCUGUGUCUUUGCUUGAAAAGCUCCUUCUACAGAACUUCCUUGCCUCAUGAGUCUUCUUUGUUCCAAAGCUUGUAAAGCAUUUAGUAGUUCUGCCAAGGUGAUACUUGACAAAUCUUUUGUGUUUUCCAAAGAAGAAAUUGUAGCUUCAUAUUUUUCAGGAAUUGUGACAAAAUUGUUUUGAACAACUCUUUCAUCAGAAAACUCUUUACCUAGCAACCUCACCUUGUUUGCUAUGGUAAGAAGUUGUUCUGCAUAAUCUUUUAUGGUUUGAGACUCUUUCAUCCUCACCAUUUCAAAUUCUCGAAUUAGAUUCAUUACCUGCACAUUUCUGACUCUUUCAUUGCCUUGAUAUUCUUCCCGUAGAUGCUUCCAGAUUUCUGCAACAGAUUCAAGUUGCAUGAUUCUGGUGAGAAUUAAUGGUGAGACUACAGAAAAUAAGCAAGCCUUGGCCUUAGCCUUCCUCGUCUUUUUCUCCUUAUGGUUUUUCAUCUGUGACACAGUUGGAUUGGCUCCAAGUGGAGAAAUUUCAUAAUCUUCCUCUAUUGCUUCCCAGACAUCAAGAGCCUGUAGAUGAACAGUCAUCCUGACAGCCUAAGUUUGGUAAUUUUCUCCAUUGAAGACUAGUGGUGCUGCUGUGAAGCUUGCUUCUUCCAUUUCUGCAAGGUUUUCAGAUUCAGGUUUGGUAUACGGUGUUUAGGCUCACACACCUCACUGGUCCCUCAAGACAAAAAUUGCUCUGAUACCAAACUGUUGGAAGCAGGCGAGGUUAACACACCAAGCAACAGAGAACAGAGAUAUGCUGCUACUGAUCUAUAUUUUUUAUUUGAUCAUAAGGCUGAAUUUAUACAGAUUGUGUAACAUAUAUGACCUCAAAAAAAGCAUCAAAUCAAGCUACUUGUUGAACAAAAAACUACCUCCUACAAAAUAGCAUCAGAAUUUAACUUAAAAGCAAAAACAUAAUAAUAGCAACAGCAAAAACAGAAACAUAAAAAUAGCUUCAACAUUCUAGUAAUCUCAUUGACUUCAAUUGCAUGUGGUUGACGAUUUCAGCCUUUUCCUCAGCAGCUACUAAGGCAUAACUCUCAACAGGGCCUCUUAAUUUCCAUUCUGGCAUCUAUAUGACCUGAUAAAUAGAAAGAAAAAAAAACAGAAGAAAAGCGGCACCUGGGUUCAUAGUAAGCAUCAAGACAGGAUGCUGAAAGAAGGGAGAGAGGAGAUUGCAAGUCCAAUCCUGAUAAAAUAUCAACAAAGAGUAUUAAAUGGGGCCAACAUAAAGACCCAUUAAGGUCAGCAGAUGGCAUGGCAUUUUUCUCCUUAAGUUUUCCAUGAUUAGGCUUGAAGUCAAAAUUUCACAUGUAAAUUUGUAUUUCUACAUUUCCCACUGACGACACCCAACUUCAACUUGAGUUAGAAUAACAUUGUGUGAACUUAUCUGGCCCUCAAAAUUUACUGUGAAGUGCUUUCUGCGUGUGAAGAUUCAGAAAAGCACCAAGGGAACAUGUAUGGUCUGCCUUUUUCUGAUGUUAUGUUUGUCUCUAAUUCUGUUCCAUGUCAUGGUAAAUGUUCACAUUGCUUGUAUGGAACACACCAGGAUCACUUUUUCAGGUUUAGGGGGAUACAAAAGGCUUCAUAUUGGGUUCAAUGCUUUUAAUGUGUUCAUUGGACAAAUCUGAAUUAUCAUACGCAUUUAGAUAAGAACAAUAAUGUGAAACCCUAGUUACACCUCCCCUGCAUAACCCCAACCCUGCUUGCUCUAUUUCAGUUUACUCACAAGUUUUACUGGUUCUUAUAAGUCAAGAAAAGGCAACUGAUGUUGGAUCGACUCUCUUCCAUGUAAAAAAUGCAACUUUUAUACAUAUAAAAGAACUUCUUCCCCUCACCAAUGUGGGAUUUCAUAGAUUUAUUCUGGAAACACAUCAAAGGAACAUCUUUUCUCUUGGGUGACCCUAAGUGGUGAGUCAGAUCAUUUGCAUGCCAUUGAGUUGCACAGUUGGAUAAAUGCACCUGCCUCCUGGGCUCCAGAGUUAAAAGGGUGGAUCCCUGGAUUGCAACCCUCUUGGCAUCUUGGUUUCUAUUCCAACAUCCACAUGACUUGACAAAACAAAAAACAGAAUAAAAUCAGCACUAUAUUCAUGCUAAGCACCAAUACAUGAUGGAAAUCAUUGCUUAAAGAUUUGGGGUCGUUUUAGGUUUUGACUGCCUCCUACCACCUCACCUAAUGACAAGUUUUUAUGCUUACAAAUCAAAUAUCGUUCUUCAUUAUAUUAAAAUCAUUUUAAGAUUUCAGAUCCAUCUGCUAAUUAUGAUUAUGAUAACAUUUAUUCACCUGUGCUUCUCAUUUUCGACACACAAGGCAUCUAGGUUUGCAGGAUUUCCUUAUUAGAUGAGAUAAAUGAGUACGUAUGGUUAUGUAUCCAGCAUUCAUUAACCAUGGUAUGUGACAUUUAGAAUUAAGAUAGCAAGCAAACUUUCCCUGCAGCUAGAGUAAAUUGUGAUUUCUUAGCCUCUAUGAGUGGUUCCCAAAUCAAAUUAACAUAGUGAAAUAUACGUAGUCCAGUGAAAGGAAAUGUAAAUUAUAAACUAACAGCACUACACUACUGGUAACAAUCGAUACUCUCUAUAUAAUGCAAUAAACAAUGUCACAAUUGCCUACAAGCAAGGCACAAACACUAGAACAAGUAAAGCACAAACCUUUCCCAACAGUUCCCAGUGACUGAUGCAUAUCAUACCCUCAACUCACAGAAGGGGAUGAUAUCAGUGCACUGCAGCACUUAUUUUACACAUACUACCACUACUACUACUACUACUACUACUCAUUAGCCAAAGUCACUCAGUUGGGAUGAGUGUGAGGUAGAGGUUUGUGGGGUGCUAUGUGGAAAGGAGUUUGGCUUCUUCUCAGGAGAUGGUAGCUUCUUUGCAGGAGUUGAAGGAGGCUUAAUCUUCUGUGGUGGAUUGAUUGUAUGAGUCUUUGGCACUCUCUUCUCUAGUACAGGUGAAUACCCAGGGGUGCAUCCAUAAUGCGGUGGCUUCUAUCCCUUAGGUGGUUUGCCAAAUUCAAAAUCGAAGGAUUUUUUUUUUUUAAGUAUACGUAUCUUUGAAAGCUUUUAUUUUGUAUGGCAAAUGGAAUGAGAGGAGCAGUCAUAUUCUAUUUGGCCAGAGCAACAUAUCACAAAUGAACAAGCUAUUUACUGCCACACUGGGCAAAACAUACAUAAUCCUUGUACUUCAAACAUCCAUGAAUUCUCAUCAUUUUCAGGACACGUUGCAUGGUCUAUCAUUCUAUAUGUCGGCAUAGUAAGUGCAGCUAAUAAGCCUAUUCAGAGCUGAAAUUCAAAAUCUAUUCACAGGAUAAUGACCUUAUUAUUGGAUUUUGCUCACUGUCAUACACACAUAUCAGAUAAAGCCCCACAUGCUCAUAAGCUACAAGCAACCUACAAGCACUAAAAUGAGUGUUAGACGUAUGAAACAUUCCCCAAUACUAGUAGUAUUACCUGUUCCAUAGAACACUAAAUUAGAAGAGAGAAGAUGUGAGACUCCAGCUUUUCUUUCUACAUAUUACUCAUAUCAAGUUGGAAUAGUUAGGCGGUAGAGGCUUGGGGUGGCUUGUGUAGGGGACUAGGCAGCUUCUCUCAGGAGUUGAUUUCGUCUUAUUCUGGAUGUCCAGGUUUCGUCCUUUCGAAUUUCCCAUGCAAAUCAGCAUUCUCCUUGGGAAACUUCACUCCGUUGGGAAACUUGUGUGAAUCUUUGGCAUUCUCUACCAGAGAAGGCCCAGGGCAGUGACCAUAAGGUGGUGGCCUUUUUUCAGGUGGUGGCUCCUCUCCCACUGGAGGCUUGUGGUAAUCAGCAAGAGAGGCAGUGGAGAGAAUCAUCACCCCAAGGAACAGCACUAGCAAGUAUUUGUGAGCCAUAUUUGGGAUCUGAUGAUGAAGACUAGAAGAUAGGAGUUGCCUCAUAUAAUGGGUUGGAGACUAUAUCUCAAGGGGACGUGUAUUUAUGCAUAUGAUCUAUAUAGGACCAUCCUCCUAAUAUUUUCAAAAUAAUGUUAUUGUCUCUCUUGGGUGACAGUUUGAUUUGGUCUAUUUCCAUGCCACUGAGUAGAAAAGUUUGACAAUUGGCUACACCACCUACCUGGAUUACAUGGUUGAAAGUGAAGAUCAGUACAGUGUGAUCACACUUGACCUCUUGUUCCCCAUUCCAGUAUCUAAUUAACCUGACAAAAGUAAAAGGAAAGGAAAAAGGGAAAAAAUAGAAUAAUGUUCAAAUAAAAACGAGAAAAAAUAGCAUAAUGUUGAUGAAUCAUGAUAAGCAUCAAGGCAUGAUAGUGAGAGAGAGGAAAGAAGACAGUGUAAUUUGCAAUCCUGAUAAUCAUUAUAUAGCAGUAACUUUAAUCAUUUUUCUAUCACAGGGAACAUGACACUCAUCUUCCUAUGGAGAUAUUGCAUAAGUUUUUUUCUUUGUAUGUCAACACUAACCAAUGAAGCAUGUUAGCUGGUUUGAAACUGAAACUGUAGCCCUCUGUUUGGUUCUUGAAAAACUUGAGAGAAAAUGGAAGUAAAGUUAAAAGGAAAGAAAAAGUGAAAAAAAAUAAAAAUAGAUUGAAAGUUAACAAAUUAUUUUUACAUGUUCCCUCAAAUUUCUUUCACUUAUUUUUCCUUUUCUAUAUAAAGAUUAAAUGAUUUAAAAAUCAUAAAUUUCUAACUAAUUAUAACUAUAUUUGAUUUUCUUUCAUAUUUUCCAAGAUAAAGUCAGACAUGAGAAAAUCAUUUUCCUUAAAAAAGAAAUUCUUUCCUUUACAGUUUCUUAGAACCAAACCUGGCACAAAAGUCCAAAUUGGGGUUUCUCCAUGUUCCAUUUUUUAUGGCUACCUUUAUGGACCAUAUAAUAUAGAAUGUACUUCUGCAUACCUUCAAGAUCAAGCUGAACUAUAAGAAAAAGACAAGCCAUGGCCCACGGAGCAGGGAUACCAAGCUGCCUUCUCCUAGAUUAAGUUCCAAGAUUUCAGUCUUCAAACCUGCUAAAAGCUAAAGGCAUGUUUCCAGCCUGCGGCAGAUAACAUGCACUGUCCAACAAUAAAUUGCAAACACAUUCGAUGCAGUUUAUUAGUACAAUAAGAUUAAAUCCACCAAAUCUUUUACAGUUCAACCAACACUUGAACUAGUAGCUAGCUUCACUACUGGGUAAUAAUAUAUAAACCAAACUCUUGAUAGGAACCAACCUAUCGCAGAUCGAACUUCUUACAUCCACCAUGAAUUACUGAACCAAAAGAAGAAUCGAAGAGACUGCCAAGGAGGAAAGCCUUCCUAUAACUAGAUAUUUAUAUUCCAAAUUAGGGAGAGCACCCACUGCCCAGGCCUCGCCCAGCAUAAACAGAUAGUAUACAUAUACAUGCAAAAAGCUCCAACCUUCAAGAUUUUAACUAUUAACUUAACACAAUUAAAAAUGUAUCCAAAAAGCAAAUCCCCUUGAACUCCUGAAGCAAUUACUCCAACCAAAUAAAGAUUUUAAGAGUUCCAUGUUCAUAUCCUGCAAGGAAAUCAUUCAAUGUUCAGACCUCUAAUUUCUGUCUUUCUAAAUGCCCAGCCAAAAGGCAUAAAGUAUCAUCCAAAUUGGAUGCACAGCAUAUGUUCUUAAAUCAUGGGAUUUCACCAUAAGUUACUACACUCUAACAGGGCCCAGAAAUUGACCUCCAGAUAUGCCUAUCAAAAAAUUAUCCCCACAUACAUUUUUCUGCUGAAAAGACAAUAUUGUUACAUUUGACAUUCAACCACUACUUGAACUCAACAACCAGGGAAAAGAAUAUAGUAUUUCUACCAAUGAGGAUGAGAGGGGCUGGUGAAUUAACAGGUAAAAGUUUGUUUUGGGUUCAUUGUUUGCAUAAUAAUGUAAAAAUGGAGUAGUAUAUUAUAAAUUAAUGUAAAAAUGGAUUAGCAUAACAUAAAUUGCCAUAAGAGAACCACAAACUACAAAGAAACUUAUUUUCCAAACAAGGAAAAUUAUUCAUAGCCAUUAUUACAUAAGAAAGGAAAUUGAUAAAAUUAUUAUCCAGUUCCCCAUCAGGAAAUAUGAAAGUACUCCUAAAAGCCUCAAUUCUAACCAGAAAACCAUAGAAAUGUAUUAGAAAUAUUGUACAGGGUUCUCUCCAAUAUUAGCUUCAGUUGCUAAGGAGAUCAGAACCUUGAAAGUAAGUCACAAAGGUCGUGUGGGUUUCCCAGAGUCUUCAACAACCAGUAUUCACAUAUGUACACAUUAAAAUUAAAUAAAGCAGGUAUCAAUUCCACAGGCUUUAAGAUUUGAAUUGCUUCUCCCUGGAAUCAUACACCACUCAUAUUGUCACUGACUUUCAAUUACUUCUCCCUGCGAUCAUAUGCCACUCAUAUUGUCACUGCCUUAGGGAACAAAGUGAAAAUCUGCAAUUUCAAUUAAUUCCAACAUAAAAAUAAAAAUCAAUCCUCAAAAAAUGGAUUGCCAGGAGGUAAAUAUAAUAGAAGACGAACAACUCUCACAACCAAGUUAAAGAAACCAGCCGCUAGGUACCUUUGAGUUCUAUACUACCAGGAACAAAUUGGAUGAGAUUAUUUAAAGGCUAUUCCACAGUGGAAAUUCAUUCGUUCAAAAAACAUUUGUCAUGCAUAUAGGCAAUCUAUCCUAUGCAUUCAUACAUCAUGGUCUCAUGCAAUCUUAAUAAAAGUGGUCCUGGAAAAAGAGAGAAAAAAGUAAUUACAAGCCUGUGCGACCAGAUUUCUUUUGUUUUUUUUUUUUUUUUCCUUUGCCAAACAACCAUGUUCAUAGUUUCAGAAGUUCAUUCUGUCUUUAAGAGACCAUGGCAGUGACUUGGCCAUUCAGCUAAGANNNNNNNNNNNNNNNNNNNNNNNNNNNNNNNNNNNNNNNNNNNNNNNNNNNNNNNNNNNNNNNNNNNNNNNNNNNNNNNNNNNNNNNNNNNNNNNNNNNNUCACCAAGGACUCCUCAACCUCAAAAUAAUAGAGAAAGUCUAGGACACCAUGUCACUACUGAGGACAACCCAACACCACAACAUUUCAGUCCGUUCAAAAAGAGUAAUUGGAAUUGUUGCAAAAAAUGUUCAACUAGUCCCAACAGGAGGCAAAUUCCUCCAUUUCUUCAUCGGGUCCGGAUCCUUUGCUCAAAAAGGUAAUUUUCUUACUGCCCUAAAAGAAAAAGGGAAAAUGUGAGUCAUUGGAUUGUUGACUCAGGAGCUUUUGAUCACAUGACUAGAGUGCCACAAUUUUUCAAAAUUAUACACCUUGUUUUGGGGAUGAUACAAUUCGUAUGGCUGAUGGUUCUCUCUCAAAGGUGACUGGUACAAGUUUUAUUGUCAUCUCUAAGGACCUAACUCUUGACUCUAUUCUUUUGGUUCCAAACUUGGAUUGCAAUCUAUUGUCCAUUAGUAAACUCACUUAUGAAAAGAACUAUGUUACUAAAUUUUUCCCAAACCAUUGUGUUUUUUAGAAUUUGAAUUCGGGGAAGACGAUUGGCAAUGUUGAAGUGUGUUUAGGACUCUAUGCCUUCAAAGUGAAUUAUUAUAUUGAAAGACAAUCUUAACCAACAGUUGGUGAAAAAUGGUGUCUUUUUGUCUUUAGUUCUAAUAAAGAUAGUGAUGUUAUGUUAUAGCACUAUUGUCUAGGACAUCCUAGUUUCUUAUAUCUCAAAAAACUCUUUCCAUGGUUUUCAGUGUGAAAUUUGUCAACUAUCCAAGCAUCUUUGCAAGCCCUAUCCAUAGUUUUAAAAGACUUAAGGCACACCAAGACGCAAAGUCCUCUUGGAGCCUUAGGCGCAAGGCACACCUAAGGCGCGAACUUUAGUAAAGUGAGGUGCAUCCUGUUUUACAUAUAUAUUUUUAUAUAAUACAAUCAAGUGCCCGAAAAUUUUCCUCUAAUUUUCCCCUUCUUCUUCAUCCUCUUCUCUUCUUCACAUUGUUCGGGAGGCUAGGACAUUUUUUUUUUUUUACAUGUCUAAAACAAGCAUAUAUUGGGUUUUGGAAGAAGAACAAGCCAAAAUGACAUCGUUUUGGAGCCUAAUCUUUUAAAUAAAUAAAUAAAUAAAUAAAAACCAGCCAAAAAUGACACCGUUUUGGCCCCUGUUCUUUUAAAAGAACAAACCAAACAACGUCAUUUUGAUCUCAGGAAAUUAAAAAAACAAAACCCUCGUCAUUCUCCCUUUGCUACUCUACAACUCAUCGUCAAAGGGUAAAAAGAUGACCAAAAGAAGAAGAAGAAAAAAAAAAAACGACGACAGAGGAUAGAGGUGCACCUGUUGAGGGCGUUGCGCCUAGCCAAGAGGCGAGCGCCUUGCACACUUAAUCAACGCCUCUGUGAAGGGGCGGCUCCUGCAAUCAGGCGAAGCGCUGAAGGGUGAUGUCACAUCGUCUAGAGCCUAGGCGCACCUUUCACAACUAUGACCCUAUCCAACUCAACCAUACAAACCAUCUCAUCUUUUUUCCAUACAUAGUGAUGUUUGGAGGUCAUCUAAAAUAAAGAACAUAACAGGGACUAGAUGGUUGAUGAUCAUACUAGAAUUUCUUAGAUAUUUCUAAUGAAAAAAAAAUCAAAAAUUAGUCAAAUUUUCUAAAAGUGGACCAGAAUUUCUUUAUUGAAUUAAAAAGUUGAAAUUAAUAUUUUGGAAAAGUUAGGGCCGCUCAAGAGGUAGAAAUAGCGCUCGAGUGGUAGAAAUAGCGCUCGAGUGGUAGAAAUAGCCCUCAAGUGGUAGAAAUAGCGCUCAAGCGCUAGGACCGCUCAAGCACUUAACUAGCGCUUGAGCGCUCAUAUAGAAUCUGCCAGAAUAUGGAAGAAUAUUUUUUGGAUAAUCAUGAAAAUUGGAUUUGGAAACUUUAGAAUAUCAAUCUCCUUCGGCCUAGAGGUUUAUAUAAACCCUAUUAUAACCCUUUAGGGUUAAGAAAUUCACCAAGUGGUUUACCCUAACUUGUCAUACCAUUCCCGAUCUCUCAUCAAGGAAUCAAAGUGUUUAAUCUUGGGUUGUUUGAAGACCUGCAUCCCUUCAACAAGGCUAAGGUGUAUUCACUAGAACAAUUGAAAUUGUUGCAUUGCGGACAUGAAUCAAGUUGCAGGUUCUAGAGAGUAAGUCUUUAGAAUAAAGCAGACAAAGAGUUCUAUGUGACUUUAUCUCAUAUAGUGGAUUUAGCUUUGAGGUCUUAGACCUCGUGGGUUUUUAUCUCCAUAGUUAGUGUGGGGGUUUUCCACAUAAAAAUUAUUGUGUCUCUUGAUCUUAUGUUUGAUUUUAGAUAUUCUAUUUAUCCCUGAUAUCUCACAGGUUAACUUUAGGUUAAAAAUUCAACUCCCUAUUUAAUAAUUUUUAAAAUACACCCAUUCACGAGUGUUAUCCUACUGGACAUUGGUUUUUCACCAUAUAUAACACUCAUACCAAAACCCAUGCAACAUGGACUCCAACCUUAAGCUUAACUUUCUACGAAUGGAAAAAAAAAAAGACAUAACAUAAAUAGACAGAUUUAACAACAUGCUCCUAAUCAAGGUGAAUGUCCCUCUUUUUGAAAGAUAUGACCUUUUCCAUACGAGGAGCUUUCUUUAAAAUUUCACCUCUACCAAUUCCCAUGCCUUUACAAAGUUGUGGAAAGCUCCAAAGAGAAGGCCCAGACAUGUAAUGGGUAGAUUCCCUACCUUAGAACCUUACACCAAAGCUAAACCCCUAAUAUUUGUGACUUCUAUAAGAAUCAAUUCAUUUUUUUCCAUAUUUAUUUCUAAAUCAGACAUUGCCUCAAACCACAUGAAGUUAUAACUUGGAUGUUACAGAUGCUCUUAAUUAGUGUCACAAAAAAAUAGGGUAUCAUCAUCAAACAAGAAAUGUGACACUUCCAUCCCCUCCUCCUGUCUUCCUCCCACUUUGAAACUUGAGAUGUAACCCCUUUUAUCUAAUUCUCCUCAAAAUUCAAUUGAAAGCCUUCAUUGCCAAUAUGAAAAUGUAAGGGGAGAGAGGAUCUUUCUACCUCAAAUCCCUUGAGCUCUCAAAGAAACUGAAUAGGACACUAUUUACUAGAAUAGAGAAUUGAGUAGUGGAAAUGAACCAUUUGAUCCACCUCACCCACUUAUGAUCAAAGUCCAUUUUAUCCAACAUCAUUAACAAAAAGUUCCAAUUUACAUGGCCAUCGUCCUUUCCAAUGUCUAACUUGCAAAUUACCCCACUAUUGGGACUCUUUAACCUUGAAUCUAGAGCAUCAUUUAUGAUUAGAACUGCAUCUAGAAAUUGUCUGUCUUCCACAAAAGCAUGCAAAUAAACUAAAACUAUUUUACCCACCACAUUUUUUAGUCUUUUAGCCAAGACUUUUUCCAAUAGCUUGUACAAAAAAACCCCCAACUAAGCUAAUCAAUGUAAAAAAUUUUAGGUUCUCUGCUGCACCUAUAUUAGGGAUCAAGACCAAGAACAUGACAUUUAAAUUUUGCUCAAAGGAACAAUUAUCAAAAAACUCCCCAAGCUCAUUUGCCAAAAUAUUAUAAUAAAUCCAUUUGGCCCCUACAGCUUUAUCCCCACUCAAGCUAGACAAGGCAACAAGAAAUUCCUCAUCAAAGAAAGGUAACUCCAAUUUCCUAGAAUCAGCACAUAGCAUAACUUCAAAGGUCAUCCCAUUAAUGUUGAGUCUCCACUCGCCCAUAUCAGAUAGGAGAUUUUGGAAGGCCCUAAACUCCCCUUCCUUUAUAUUUGCUUCCCAAGCAACCAUUUUGCAUUCACUCAAAUUUUAAACAUGAAGUUUUUUAUUCUUUGGGCAUUGACCAUUUCAUGGAAAAUUUUGGUGUUUUUAUCCACCCCCUCUUUUAACCAAAUUUCUCUUUAUUUUUGCCCCCAUACAUAUAGAUUCUUCUAACAAGGCCCACUUGCUAAACUCAAUCACCACUAACCUUUGGCCUCAACGAUUUCAAGAGAUAAGGUAACUGCUCUCUACUUUGAGUCCCAGAAGUUGAUCCAGUUUAGCACCUCUAGGUUUUUUGUUGAGACAUUCCCAAAACCUUCUUCAUUCCAAGAUUUUAAAUCUCGUUUGACAGCCUUUAGUUUAACUUCCAAAAUAUGACCAUACAAGCCAUCCACAUUAUAACCAUCAACCAACUCCUCACAAAAUCUUUUAAGCCUUUUGUUUUAGGCUACAUAUUUUAAAAUGUAAACUGUGUUUUCCCACUCCUUAUCCUACCUCCAUCUAAAACUAUGGGGUAAUGACCAAAAAUUGGUUUAGGUAAAAUACUCUAGAUUAAAGUAGAAAAACGAUUCUACCAAUCAUCUGACACUAGGAAAUGGCCAAGCUAGCCUUGAAGAAGACAAAAGAUUAUGAACACCACUCCAAGUGAAUAGCCCUCCAACUAGCGAAAGAUCCCAAGGUCAAGUCCUCUAUGUCCUCUGAAAAGAACCUCAUAUCAAACAACAUUCUAAGGCAAUUCCUCCUUUUCAUGGGGAACUUGACCAUAUUAAAAUCCCCUCUGAAGCACUAGAGGUCAUCCCAAAGGCCUCUUAUGGCACCCAACUCUACCCAGAAAUCCACUCUUUCUCCCCUUUAAACCAACCCAUAAACUCUUACGUAUACCUAGACAAAGCUAUCUUCACAAUUCAUAGACAAGCAAUAGAGAAUGCUUCCACCUCCUUACCAAUUAACUCUAAUACCCUACUAUCUUGGAAAACCAAAAUGCCUACUAUCAAGCUUCUAACUUCCAAUACCAUUUCAAAAAUUUUCCUACUCCUAAACUCCUUACCAGUUGAACGAACAUCUAUCGAACCUUGGUUUCUUGUUAACAAACUAGAUCAACCCCUUGAGACCUUAUCAAUGACUUUAUUAUCAUAUACUUUUCCUCAUCAUUUGCUCAUUUGACAUUCCAAGACAGGAUUUUUAGCUUCAUCAUGCAACCUAUGUUGGAUCCUAACUGCUACUCUUGGAGCCCUUUUCCUUUUUGUUGAGCUUUUAUAAUUGACUAAGCAUCCCAACUUGUUGAGGUCCCUCUCAAACCAAGAUAUCGAGGUUAACUUCCUCUUCACCUCCAACGAAAAAACAGAAACCCCUCUCCUUAGCCUGCCACACAAGGGAAAAGAUCUCUUUUUCAAAUCCAUCAACUGGCAUUCUUGAGAAACUAUUGAAAUUUGCCAACUUACAAGAUAUACAAUUGGAGGAGUGCUUCUCUACCAAACAACUACUAAAAUUCACCUCAAAGGUGACCUUUUCCCCUGAUCUCUCCCCGGCCUCCAUACCCACUGACCCUUUCACAAAAUUUUCUAGAAUUUCCACUAUCAAGCCGUUACGGAGAACCAUCCUCAACAAACUCCUUUGACUAAUGUGAAAAACCCCACCCAAGAGCAUCUUCCAGAAGUUAACUUACAAGAUUAACUAUAAUCUUGUGAAGACUCGUUACCUAAUGGGUAAAAAAUUUGAAAUUCUAUUAGUAUAAUUCUUUUUAGGCACAAAAGCUGUGAAAAUAGCAUUGGUGCUCUAAUUAAUAACCCCAUAAUUAUUAAGCAAUAAAACAACUUUUAAUAAAUUCUCUUUCACCACAUCCCACCAAUCCUAAUGCAAAAAAGCUAGGAAAAAGUCAUCAUUGCUCUAAGCAUUUCUCCUCACUAGUUGAAAGACUGCUUUAUGAACUUCCUCUUCGACAAAAGGACAAUCCAACCAAUUAGCACCAUUUUCCAAAAUGAGAGACCAACCCCCACUCUUCUAUCCUCUAAGGAUCUUCAUAUAACCAUUAAUGCCUUUCUAUACCAGCUAGUAUAUAUCGGGUUUUGGGCAAGUCCUAUAAAUUGGUUUGAGUAAGAUUUUUAAUUACCCUGUUCUUUCUUUUUAGUUGAUAAAUAUGCAUAUAUGUAGUAAUUCAUACAUCAGAAAAGAUUUUGCUAAAACAAAAGAAUUGACAUGCAGAUAGUGACUUCUUGAUAAGAGUAAUAGCUUAAGGGAGGAAAAUGAACUCCUCCAGUGGCCCCAAAGUGGUAAGUUCCUUCAGAUCCCAUGUUGCUAUUCUGCAUUUCUUUGUGUUUUGGCAUCAGCCCUCUUAAUUAAUUCACUAUCCAGCUUCUCAAAUUCCUCGGAUUCUUCCCUUGUUCUUGUGGAAACAUCUGCAUCUUGUCCUUGCAUUGUUAUGGAUUGGUGAUUAUCAUUCUUUGAGAACUGUGUGGCAGCUGCUCGUGCACCAGCUAUGGCUGCAAGGAGACCUUCUGGUUUCUUGUCUUCAGCAGCUUUGGAGCCAUCAAAGCAAGAAACAAGUAAUCCUGGUUUCAAAGAGAGGGGAUCUUGUGGUUCUGGAAGCAGAAACUUGACAGGUAGUGGAGCUUGAACAGGACGAAGACCCCUAACUGCUGCCUCAUAUAUCUGCAACAAUUUCAGGGGGGAUAAGUAAUUAAAAAUCAGUCACUCUAUUGCAUUAGUUAGACUUGCUUUCAAUGCGAUAGCAAAGAAAGAAUCAUCAAUGAAAAAAGAAAAAAUAAAUGAAAAAGAACAAAAAGGAGAGGGAAAAAAAAAUGAUGGGUGCUCAAUUUGUACUUUUCUUUCCAGGUUAUAAAUACGUUGGUACCCGCGCAUCUCAAAUGGUAUGAUUAAUUUCUGCAUCAGGUCAGGAGAACUAAGUCCAUCAAUAUACUAAAAAGCAAAUAUACCAAAAGGCAAGCAAAAAUGUUUAACCAUCUUGAGUGUCAAACUCUCCAAGAAACUAUAUACUUUUAGCUGAAUGAAAACACAUGCCUGUGGUUGCUCACAGAGCCAGCAAAACUCUGUUUGCGCUUCUAGCCUUACCUACAAAUAGAGUUUAGGUUAUCCAACCAAAAUGGAGAUACAUCACACAAAACAAACUGUACCUAAUCAGUUUACGAAGGGGACGGGGGGAAGCAAAAAGCAAAAGUAAAUUUCUAAGAUGCCCACCCCUUCAGGUACCUCCUUCCAGCACGCCAGCUCUUCACAUUUAACACAACCAACUACUUCAAUACAACCUGUGGCAAGAAUAGAGUUUGUUGGAUUUAUUGUAGCAUGCCAUACAGAAAAAUUUAGCAUUUCAGUAAGAAUAAGAAUAAGAGAGCUACUUUCCACUAAAAUACGAAUCACCCAUCAACUGUUGCAAACAGACAACAAUGUGAAUAACAGGUUUUAUAUAUAUAUAUAUAGAGAGAGAGAGAGAGAGAGAGAGAGAGAGAGAUAGAUAGAUAUAGAGAGAGAGAGAGAGUCAAAUAAUAAUAAAGGACAAAAAUAUUUCUUUGAGAAAGACUAAUUAGAAAGAAGAAACAAAGAACCCACAUGAAAUCAAUUUAGAUAAGAGAAAUACCUUUAAGAAUCUAGUUCUUUUUGCAAAUUGCAACUUAGAAUUGGAAUGCCACAUAUUAUUAUAAGGUAUCACAAGAGAUUAUUGCUUCAUUUUUUUUCUUUGCCAGAUCAGUUUUAAUAAAUAUAAAUAUAAAAAUAUAAGCAUGUACACACACACACGCAAACACAUUAUGUGUGUAUGUUUAUGGAUAUGUAGAUAUAGGUUUUUAAUAAUAGAGCAUGAAAACAUAUCUAGUCAGAAAUUCCAAAAAUCCAAAACCAUUAGCAACACCUAACAGUCUUGAAACUGGGUAAUGUUCUGGAAACUUGAGGUCUGCUAUCCCAUUCACAGCAUAGAUCUCCCUGUAGAAAUUCUCCAUUGCUUUGAUUGUGUCUGAAUCUGGGACCUUACUAGCAGCAUGAAUCCAGAGUCGGCCUUCAUAAAACAAAACAUGUAUAUUAAGAAAUAUCCUUGUAGAACAGUAACAUUUUUGCCAGCAUGCAAUUCGUGUUAAUAAUCCUUGGUUCUCACCACUCAUUGUACAUUACAAUGUAAAGACCUAAUAAGCCCUAAUAUAGGUAGGUGUCUGUGCAGAGAGAGAGAGAGAGAGAGGGGAGGGGGGUGAAAGGAAAGAUGAUUAUAGAACAAAUACAAGUUGAAUCUCCUGAAAUAAUGUCCAUCAAGUUAUUUCCUAGCAACAAGUACUGAUUAUGCUUUUCCUGAUAACAUGAUUUUCUUUGCUAACAACCAUACUAUAUUUUAUCAAGAAAGAGUAGUGCAUGUGGCGUGCAUCAAGACCCAUUAGAGUUCCGCUAAACCUAUAGUUCUGUCAACGUUAUCAUUUACGUUUCCUCUAGAUAAUGGCAUUUUCCUCUAAAACUCUUGCACCAUUAGGCUUCAAGUCAAAAUUUCACAUGUGAACUUUGGAAAUUUUCUCCAUUUGCCCCUAAGGAUACAGUUAGAAUUGACUUAAAAUCCUGAUUGAUGUAUACUUUUAACCGAAGAAUAUUGUAUAUAAUAAUUGAAAUAUUGUUGAUUCAUCGUGGAAAUACAUUUUGUAAGGAAAGUUGUUAAGAAUUUAGUAUGCUAUAUGGAGAAAAAAGUCAUGACUUAAGGUUGAGUAUGUAUAUUCUAUAUCAAAUAUUAGGUAGGAAUGUGGAAAAGAGCAGAGUGUAAUUAUAAGAAACAAAGAAAUAUAAGAUAUUCUUGAAAGUGGAAAAUGUAAAAUGGCUAAAAGUCAAAUUUAUGAUGCAUAAGGGGGAUCAUGUCACAUAAGAAACUCAUGGCAUACCAAAUACGUGUGGUAUGGAGUAACAAUUUUGUUAAAAUAAGUUUCUCGUUGGAGUACAUUAGGUGACAAUUUUUUAAUAUCAAAUUAAAGAGUCAAGUGCAUCAAUGAAGUCAUAUGUAGAAAAUUUGUUUGUGACAUGUACCAUAAAGAUAAGAUUGACUUGAUAUAAUUUAGUCCAGGUAGGAGUUGUUAAAGGUGUCUCAAAUUUCUAAUUGAUAUAUAUUUUUUUCUAAAAAAAUAUUAUAUAGAUAUUUCAAUAAAUGAUUAAUUCUUUGUAAAAAUACUUACAUAAUAAAAAACAUCAUUAGAAAUAUCUCUAUAAAUAUUUUAAAUCACAAAAAGAAAAAAAAAAUCACUAUGAGAUAAUUAUAAACAUGCAACAUUGUACCAAGUAAACAGAAAUGUGAUAAAAAAAUUUUGAGAAACACUAAAUAAAGGAAGGGCUUGUAUAUCAAGAUGUAAAUAUAGAGAGCAAUAUUUUUAAUCAUAUGAUAGAAUUAUUUUCUCUCAUUCAUGAUUAUAAGCAAAAUUGGGAACCAUUAUAAAAUCUUGUACACCUCGUGUAAAUUGAUGUUUGUCUUCAUAUUUUACACCAACAAAUGACAUUGAAGUUGUCAUUGAUAAAAGGGAAAAGGCAUGGCCUCCACACCAUGUGCUUGAAUCGUAUGGUUCAAGUUUAAAGAAUUUUCUCCAUAAUUUGAAGAUCUAAAACAUUUUCACCUUUAAAUUUCAUUUAAUUAUUAAUAUCUACAAAAAAUAGUUAAAUACUCUUUCUAUUUUUGAGUUGUUGAAUUUUUUGAAAGUUUUUAUAUUUGUUAUCAAGAAUUUAUAUUUUAUUAAGUGUGAAUAUUUAUAAAUAAGAUAUUAUAUAAUAUUUGGAUAAGAGAGAAUGGUGGAAUAUAAUAAAGUUUUAAUCCUUCCCAAUUUUUAUCUUUUUUUUUUUUUUUUUUUAUAAUCGCCUUUCUCUUUCAAUCCUAUUAUCAGGUACCUUAUAUUUGCUGAUGCUAUCUGGAACUAAAUUCCAAUCAGACAUUGUCCAAUUACUAAUAGGACAGAUCAUGUCUCUCUGUUUCUAAACUAACAUGUAUCGUAAUGUGGCCUCAUAAGGAAGGCUAGGAAGAUGGAGGAUUUUGUGGGAAGCGACCAGAAUCAGAUGGAAGAGAGAUAGCCCUGUUGACCUAAUGGCUGUAAUAGGAGAAGCGUGUGGAUUUAUGGGACUUAACUGAUACUAAACCUAUAUGAUGCUUGGAGUGGUGUUUCUUUCAUUUUGUUAAGAAAAUAUGGCAGCAUACAUCCUUUCAAUUGAGUGCAUCAGAGCAUCCAUAAUAGAUGGUCUGCAACCCUAGGUGCAUGCCACUUUCUGACUGAUAAUGAAACUGUCAGGUACUUGGCCUUGACUAAGCUCAACAGCAUCACAUAAAAAGAAGCUUUCAUACUUAGAUUACUGUUUAAAGCUUUUGCUUAUUUGCUUUCUUAAUGCCAUUAUGACAUUAUUGUUUCAAUUCUGCUACCGAUUUUCGAAGUUCUGGGCAUCUACUGAUUGCAUCAUUAUAUGAGAAGUUGCAUGAGUUUAUGUAUCCUGUUAUUGCUCCUUUGCGAUUUCACUGCUCACGGGACUAACCUCUCCAUUCAGUCGAAAUGAAUUGUAAUUUCUUUACUGGUAGCAGUAGUACUUUUCAUAGCAAAGAUAAUAGUAAAUAUGAAAUAUAAAUAGAAGGAAAUCUGAAUUGUAGAUGGCACUAUAAGUAACACUCAAUAUUCACUACAUAAUAAAAUAGACAGUGUUACAAAGGUAGAGAAACCUACAAUGAGUACUCAUCACCAUUCUCAAACAGAAACAUAGCAGCGACUUAUACAUAGAACCUAUAGGCUUGCAGGGAAAGAAGGGAAAGAGUAACAUGAUAAGUUCACAGCGGGUAGCAGCUCUUAUUUUACGUAUUACUCAAAAUCUCAAACUAACCAAAGUCACUCAGUUGGGAUGGGUAGGAGAUGGUGGUUUGUGGGGUGGCUUCUGGGUAGGAGCUGGUGGCUUCUUUGUUGGAGUUGAAGGAGGCGUAAUCUUCUGAGGUGGCUUGUAUGAGUCUUCGGCACUCUCUGCAGGAGGGUGCCCAGGGUUGUGACCGGAAGGAGGUGGCUUCUGUCCCUUUGGUGGUUUGCCUAAUGGGCUUGGUGGCUUGUGCUCCGGGAGUUGUUUCUCUCCCUCGAGUAGGUUUCGAGUUUUGUCAGAUGGCUUGUGUUCUGGUGGUGGCUUCUCUCCCUGGGGUGGUUUGCCGAAUGGGCUUGGUGGCUUGUGUUCGGGGAGUGGCUUCUCUCCCUGGAGAAGGUUACGAGUUUUGUCAGAUGGCUUUUGUUCUGGUGGUGGCUUCUCUCCCUGGGGUGGUUUGCCAAAUGGGCUUGGUGGCUUGUGUUCGGGAACUGGCUUCUCUCCCUUGGGAGGUUCAUUUGGUGGCUGGUGUUCCGUAGGUGGUUCCUUCACCGGCGGCUUGUGCUCCGGAAGCGGCUUCUCUACCUGGAGAAGCUUACGAGUUUUGUCAGAUGGCUUGUGUUGUGG
rnacentral:lncRNA from 1 species